rnacentral:lncRNA from 1 species
AAGGGUAGGGGUUCUCCAACAAAGCAAACCUGAGUUUUCCUUCAAUCUGCAAUUAAGACAACAAGAAUCUUAAAACAAAAAUUUAGGGCACCAACAAACAGAAAGAAGACCACAGCAAAACUUACGCAUCCUCAUCUUUAUAGCUGUCAAUGUUGCUACAAGAGCCACUGCAGAAGACAUAUGAAUCAUUUCCCACAAGACAUGUUUCAAAAGAUGUCCUGCUUGGCGCAAACCUGUUCUGUAGUUUGGUGCAAAAUGUCAUCUGGGAAGCAUCUGAUGAAUGCAACUUCUUCUGAAGCCUCAUAGUCCUAGGGAAACAGUUUGGUUGAUGUUCAGGUUCUUCAGACGAUAAAACCUGGCUUUCAUGGUUGCUAUCCUCUUCCUUCGAAGAAUCAACCAUUAACCCGGGUGCCUUUGAUGUAUCAUCUUCAAAUGAUCUACGGGAUGAGGCAGUCCUUGUGCUGAGUAUAUUUCCUUCACUAUUUCUCAAGGUACUUACAACCACCAUUCUGUCACGGCAGUUAUGUGGCAUUUGAUAGGCACAAUCAGAGGACAAUGUAAAAUAGGUCUGUUACUUAUAUAGGCUUUUCAGAUGUGUACUCAGAAUAGUCUGAAUCACUUCCACGUCCAGUAGAUGAUUGUGACUUCUGCUGUAUUCUGCGGGAACAGCUGAACAACCUAAAAGAUGGCUUCUUCACUUUUGCAUACUUAGAAUCAGAAGCACAAGGUACAAGAUUGAUCCUGACCUCCACAUUACAACCAAAUAUAGAUUGAAGUGAACUGGCAAUGAUCUUCCAUGACUUCUCAGCCUUAGAUACAUAAUCAGGAUGGCAGAAUUCCAAUUCAGCAAUUGCUAAACCUAAAAUUGAGCAUUACUCUGUUAGUGCCAUGAGCAUAAGAAAACCCAUUUCUUAUAAGAGCCGAUGUUUAUGAUUAUAAACCUAAGUCAGCUAAAACAGUUCGCAUGUAUGGAAAUGUGAUCUAACAAGCGCAAGCUAAGAAUAUAAAGUUGCUGAUACAUAUCUUCUUGAAAUGUCUCCCCUGGCUUUCAUAUAUGUUCAAAUGUGAUUUCACCAUAGAAUUAGUGAUGAAAUUCUAGAUGUAUGUACCUUGGCUAACAAGCAAGGAAGAUAAUUUUCCUUGUUUCUUCAGAAAAUUCUUGAGUGAAUUGGAUUGGCAUGAAUCUGUAGCUCUCUUCCAUAUGGAUUCCAACUUUCCAUCACUAUCCUUCUGCAUUCCCAACUUGUCCGGUAUAUCGACAUUGCAUGAACAAGUGACAAGGGUCUUGAAGCUCUCCCCUGUGGAUGAUGUACCACAAAACUUGAUAUCAAACUUUUACCAAACUAACCACUUGAACUUACGGAAAAUAAAAGGCAUUUCCAUGAACAGAAUUAAAAUAGAAGCUAUUCAUCACAAUCGGAAUCAGCUAAUGUAAUUAUUCUCACCUCUGUCUUGCGUACUUCUCAAACACAACUUUGUAUCAUUACCAUCCAAGGAAGAAGACUCCACAGAGCUUAGCUGCAGCAGAGCUGCAGUAAGCCAUGUCAUUUGAUUUUUGGACACCCUUAAUUGCUUCUCAGUUUCAGAGAAUAUUUUCAAAGCAUGACUCAGUUUCUGCAAGUCCACCUCAGCUGUGACAGAGGAAAUAGAAAGAAUACCACCAUAGUAUAAGUGUAUAACUAUAAGAUGACACAGUAAUUAACUGCAGUAAACAUAAUGCAGGAACCACGACAACCAGCCAACAUAUUUUAAAACCAAAUUCUUCAAGGUACAUUGAAGGAACAAUAAGCAUAUUAUAAUAUUAACUUAUAAGGGCAAUGCAUGAGCAACUUAUAUAAGAUGACCUCUUGAAACAAGAAUAUGAUUUGAAGCAGAGAAGACAGAGUGGUAAUAACUAAGUACAGUUUAUAAUGUAUAAAAACCAUUAGUGGAGUACUUGAAAAAUCAUUAAUAAUUAAUUUCGUUUACAGUAGUAAGUUAUGACCAAAAUCAAACAAAAUUUAGGGUCUAAGACAGCAUGCUUAAAGAACUUUCAUUUCCUGUACAAAAUUCUGAAGUGAUCUUCAGGAAGCAUGCGACCAUAUUUAACUACUUACAUGUAUGCCUGCUAGAGAACCUUUUCUGGACUUCAGAAGCACCAUCCUGACAUUUACCAGCUAGAAUAUCCAUAACAAGAUUUGCCAGCUGCGAUAUGAGUUGCAUGGGAUCAACCCGGGAUCUCAUCAACUCCCUGGCCCUUAUUACUGUACUAGAUGUGUCAGAUGAUAAUGCCAGAUCAAGCAAACCAAGUAAUUCAUCAUCGGAGACAACUCCAAUCUGCAUAACAAUAUAAGGGAUUUUUUUUUUGUAAAUACUGGAUAUAUAGACUGCGCUAUAUAUAAAAGUAAUUAGUAUGAAUAAAUAAAAACUUCCAAGGACUCACAAAUUCGUAUGCCUGGGCCAUUGUGAUUUUUUUACCAAGCAAACUUAGCUGAUCAAGCAUCAUCUCUGCAUCCCUAAGAGAACCAUUUGAAUUGGAAGCAAUGAAGCCUAAAGCACCUUGAUCAAAUUCAAGACCCUCUUCAACACAGAUUUUCCCUAAUUUUUUUGCAACAUCAGCAUCUUUAAGCUUUGGAAAGUGAUAUCUUUGAGACCGUGACACUGCACUUCGUGGAAGCUUAUCGAUGUCAGGAGUGAUCAUCACGAAGACAACAUGUUGAGAAAGGUUAUCUAUGCUAUUCAAAACAGUCGCCCAUGUUUCCCCACGCAUCAAGUGGCACUCAUCAAUAAUGAAAACCUUAAAACGUGACGAAACUGGAGGUAUAGCUGCAUUCUUAAUAAGGGAUCUAACCCUGUCUCUUCGAUUGAUUCUCACAGAAUCUACUUCCUUAAUGUCUCUACUCCUUCCAGAAAAGAAGGAAACACAUUCACAGCAGAGACCACAUGGCCUAUGCUCCUCAUGUGAAAGGCAAUUUAGUGCCGCAGCAAAAAUCCUUGAGGCAGAUGUCUUUCCUGUACCACGCGGGCCAUGGAACAUAUAGACUGAGGUUAUUCUUCCUCUAGAGAUAGCACCCAAAAGAGACCUCGCUACUAAAUUUUGUCCCACCAAUUCAUUAAAAAAAUUUGGCCUGAAUUUCUGACUCAGACUCCUAGGAUUUUCUGAUAGUGGGUUAGUUUUAUUACCAAUGUGUUUCAAGCUCCUCUGCUCAUAAAGUACACUCUCAUCUACAUUCUUGUAUAACAAAGGAUAUUCAUCUACAUCCAAAGAACGGUUAGCUUCUCUGAAUCUAGGGGUUCUUGACCAGCAGCAGCUGACCUCACAACUAGGACGAUUGCAAUCUACAGCAUCAACCGCUUCAUUUGCAAAUAAAGAUGCACUAUGGCUUGAUAUAGCAUCACUAGCUGAGGGGCAUGGACUGCCUACUUCACUUGUAACCUCACCAACUUCCCCACAUGAAUUUACACGAUUGUUGCACUGUGAUUUUCGCUUUGAUGUAAUCUGAUCUGUUCUUUCUAAAUAUGAUGAUCUGACAUCUGCUUCAUAAUCCACAUCCUCCAAAGUAUUGACACGUGUCAAGACCAAUCCUGUAUCCAUUUGACUACUGCAGUAUCUAUCACUGAGUGAUUUAUUUCCACAAACCUCUUCCUUAUCUGAUUCUGAAAAAUCAAAUUCUUCAGCCUGUUUGCUCCUAAUAGGACGACUCCCUGUGCUUCCAACCCACUCUGAAUUCUCAUGCAAGAUCAACCUAGAUUUUUCCAAAUCACAAUCUAGCUCAAAAUCAUCUAAGAAAUCUCCUCUGUGUCUGUAGAAACCCAAAUUCUUUGGUCUCAAAGAACGAUGUUGGUCAGAGCCACCUUCUUGGAAAGUAUUCGUGAAUCGCAUUGAAAUGUCAUUACUUGAAUUUGUUUCCCAAUUUACAUUCUCAAGUGGAGCAGAGAAUUUGCUCAUAGAAUUAGUUGAUGGAUCCCUUAGAGACCUCACCCUCCUCAGUGCCACAAGAGUUUUAGAAAUAGGAAGAUCAACAGAAUGCCGCCGCCCAUCCAUCAUUUUCUCGGACAGAAAAUAACAAUCAAACACAAGAACUCAAAGAAACACCAAAAUUUACCAUGAAAUUUCAAAUUUCAGGACUCAAAAGGACCUGCGCAUUCCCAACCUGAAAGAGGCAAGGCAGUAACACCAGAGAAAACCUCUUAAUCAAAAACAGGUAAAGAACUGUAGUGGAUUUAACUUUCCACAGAGAAACCAAAACCACAAAAUGGUAGACGAAACAAUUUUUUUCAAAAAUUCAAAACUAAUGUUAAGUUCUGUCAUUCACUGUCUGAAAGACCAAUCAGUGAGCAAAAGAAGGGGGGAGGGGAGCAAGAAACAACGAAUACACUGAUUUCUCAUCAAAGGCAUUCAAAAUUGCCAUUUUAGAGAAAACAAAAAUCAAAACUUGAGCAUUCACAGAAGUACAUAACACCGUUACAGAAUAACACCAUGGAAUUCAUAAAAAGCUCUUUCAUCCUACCUCUGGAUAACAAAACGAAAAACCCACAAAGCCAUUCCCAAGAAAAAGCAUCAAAACUCACCCACAUGCAGUAAACAAGCAUUGCUGAUUAAUACAUUCCACCAAAAGCUGCAAGCCCAUUCCCAUUAGUCAACUAAAAACCACCAUCAUCCAGCUCAACACCACACAGUCUACACAGAGAGAGAGAGAGAGAGAGAGAGAGAGAGAGAGAGAGAGAGAGUCAAAGAAAGAAUCUACAGUUCCAAAAUAAACAAUAAAAAUAUUCAAACGCAGAAAAAAAAACAAUGCGAAACGACAAAGAUGAGAAAAAAAGCCCAAACCUUUCGAAAUAGAAAUAAUCAAAAACCUCUUGGAACUUGACGAUAUUUUUCAAAGGGGUAGCGUAGAAAGCGGAGCAGAUUAAAUAAAACCCUAACCCUAAAACAGAGGUCUUGGUGGUUGAGCUCCGUUGUCGUGGACAAGCAUAGGUAGGGGAAGAAGAUAGAGGCGCGGAAGUGGCAGAGUAGUAAAUGUAAUAAAUGUGAGGGGCGGUUAGGUCUAGGCAUGCCAUUGCUUGUGAGCGAGGAGCCGACGUGGACAGAGAGGAGAGGACACAGCUAAAUUCUGAGUCAGAAAUUUUCUGAUGCUUUGUUGCAGAGUUUGUGCAGAGAAAAUAGGAGCGUAGGUCUGCUUGUCAGUCUCGGAGAGUGAGCUCUUCAGGGGUUUUAUGGUCAUUUCAGCACUCGGCGGUCUUUCAGUUUAUAGUUUACCCCGGGAAAACGAUGUACUGUAUGUCUCUGUACCUGACGGAUAAUUCAGUUGGAUGACUUGGCCACCGGGCAUGAAUGACACGUGUCAGAAAAAUUGUACACAGGUGCUGUGCUGGGCUUUGUAUUUUUUCGGUGAUAUUGCCUUGGUCUGUUUGUUUACCGGGAAACCGGAGGAAAAUGCCAAGAAAAUUCAAAUUCGAAUGAGAUUUAUAUAAUGCAACAAGGACUUUGUGGCAGAAGUGAAUUACUUAUAAAUUUAUAGCGUGGCCCCUGCGGAAUUUAAUAAACAAUAACAUUAACUUCACACAUCAACCACGUUAGAAAACAGUGGUAAAAUACUAGUUUUGUACACCAAGUUUUGGAACUAGGUGCAAAAAUAAUCAAAUGGAUAAUGUUUCCAAUGUGAGAUUAAUAUCAAAAUAUUAUCACCUAGGUAAAAGAUCAAAAUGCUAUUUUGGAUUCUGGGAAUUUGAAUUCUAGUCUUGUUACUAAAAGCAUUGCCUCCUCCACCAUUCAUCUCAUCCAUGUUAUUUUUAGGCAAGGCAUACCUAUUUGUUUGUUUUUUAACUCAUCAUUUUUAGUUAGAGCGUAAACUAGCUUGUUAUAGUUUGAAUUUGACUCGUAUUUUGGCUUGAUUCUGACUUUUUAAGUAAUAUUAUGCAAGAUGAGUUUGAGAAUCUUGGUGUUUAGUUGAGCACUUAUAUAAUUACAUCCUAAUUUUAAACAUGACAUGACGCGAUGUGAUUGUUAAACAUGUUAUAUUUAAGUUAGGCAAGUUAACAUGGUACGUAAAUUGUCAAUAAUUAUGUUAAAUGAGACGGCAUGUUUUUUACACAAACACAAUUAUAACUCGAAAAACGAUCGUAUCCAAUACUAACUCACUGACUUCUUGUUGUUCCUUGAGUUAUGUCCAAAAUUUGCAUUUUCUGCAUAAUAUGCAAUAGUUUCAUAUGAUCUUGUUGUUGUUGUUUGAAGCUGCCCACUAAUGACAAUCACUAGAUCUUGCUCCACUCUCUAGAGUAGCAAACCCCCCACCCUCUAAUGUGUACCUGCAUGCAGAAAGGAACAGUCACUUUGUAGCUAGCUUCAUGAGAAGUAUGGAGAUGUAUCUAUAUAUAUAUAUAUCUCUCUCCAUGCCUUGCAGCUUUUGAAUUUGGUGUGCAAAAAAGUAUUGGCAUGUGACAUGAUGGCUUUAUGAAAAAAGUGACACACCAUAAUUAACUCUUUGCAUAUAACUGGGCAAGACAGCCUUCAUUGCUGCAACCUGUAUUCUGAAUAUGUCGUGUUUAUUUUGAGCCAAUAGGUGUAUGCAGUUAAAGUUUGCAUUUCUGACAUUACUGGCUUCAAUUGAGACAGAAGACCAGCUCACAUGCUGCCGACCUAACUUAACUCAACCCAACUCGACCCGAACCAACUCAACCCAACCCAGUAGAGCUGUAGAAAUAUAAAGGGCUGGUACAGUCAAUAUGAGCCAAUCAGUCUUGUACAGGUCUCUUAGAUUCUGGCCCUCUUUUGGGUUGGGCCAGGCAGGCCUAAAUGUUGAGGUAAAAUUUGGGCUGGGCCAGAUCAUAAUUGAGCAUAUGAGAAAAAUAAACAAAAAAUAAAUAAGAAAGUGGUUGUAUAUUUUUGUGAGAGCACCAAAUAUCGAUGAAUUCAAAAGGGGAGACAUGUGAGCAGUCUCAUUCGAUCAAGGGAAUUGUCCUGAACGUUGCCAACAUCCUCUUCACAAUUUCAGAUUCUCAGAGUGUUUAUGAGAGAGAGAGAGAGAGAGAGAGGGACCAUUGAAAUUGCGGUGAGCUGCUCCAAGUUUAGGUUUUCACAUUCCACACGAAUUCUCCGGGAUUCAAAUUUCUCUGCAGCUUUCGAUUUUCUAGACCUAUACAAAUAUUCUAGUUAAAUAUGCAUUUGUCAGUACAUGGAUACUUUUUUGCUGUUGGAUGUUUUUGACAAGAAAAAUAAAAAUAUAAAAUACAGUAAUGAUCUCACACGUACAUUAAUAUUUAGUGAUAUCGUAUAUCAUACCCUUUUCAAUUAAGUCAUUUUUCGUUCAUAUCAUCAGAAUCUUUGAUCUAAUUUUGUUCAAAUAAAGCAAAGAGCUUGUAGCUCAUAUACUUCGAAUAUUCUGUUCGAUUUCUCCUUACUCAAAUAUCGAUUAUGUACAAUUCAAAUAACUAGUCCUUGAUCUACUUAAUCACAAAGUAUUAUUUGAAUUAAGUGGUAUAGUAUUUGUGCGUUUCUUUACGAUUUCUCUCUGUUUUAACAUCUGUUUUCAGUUAAGUUUGCAAAGAGAAUUAUUAUACUUAUUUUGAAUUAAUUAAGAAUUGGAGAUCUGAUACCAUUUGGUUGUUGUUGGUUGGACAAAAUUGUCUGGUUCAUAUUUAACCAUUUUAUUUAUUAUUUAAUUUCCUGCAUGCAUGAAGAGUGCAUGACAGAGUUGUCUUUGAAAAUGGCGAAAGCAGUGGUGGCCGUUGGAAAAUCAUGGAGACUCACGAGAGAGUAACAACAAAAUGAGACAACCUGUAAACCGCGUGUUAAGUUAAGCUAAGCUGAACUAAAUAGCUAAUUAGCCGAUUUAGAAGGACCAACUCUGCAAAUAUUUUAUCAUUAAUCUCCUUGAUACUCAUUUAUGGCCUCUUGCUAAUAUUGUUUUCUUUCCUGCUUGAUAUGCCCUUGAUUUACUCCUCCAUAUAUAUUCUUCCAUUUUCGUGGAUUCCCAUAUCUUUUUCUUCUCCCAUAAAUUUUGCUCAAGAAAACAUGGAGAUUUCUGUAAUGGCAUUGGGGCAGAAGUAUCCCCACCCAUGGAUCUAAUUUAAAGUGUAGAAGGGCAAAUUCAUUGUUCGUGAUUCGAACUUGAGCGUAAAAGGACGAGCUCACUAUCCUGAUCAAUUGACCUAACUCAUGUUUGUAUAAUAUAUUGCAUUAAUGUUGCCGAAAGUUUAGGGUGCGAACUAACUUUCAACGAAAGCACACAUAAACCAUAAUCAAAAGCCUUUGAUUUGCAAACCGAAUAGAGAAAAGGAAUACGGCAAUUUCAAGAAAAUAACAGGACAAUACUUGUAACCAAAGAAAAUAUGAAAACAACAGGACAAUAAUACGACACGUGAGCUGUGAGCAUGACCCUUGGUCUACGACAAAGUACAAACCCAACCACAUGAGAUCGACUGCUCAGGAUAUCAUCGCCACUAAAAUCUAAUAAAUAUAUUUUGGCAAUUUAGAAAAAAGCCAGAAAAAGAAAACCAAUGGAUUGGAAAUUUCAGAGUAAAUAAGAGGCUCUGUUUCCUUCUGUCUCUGCCCAGCGCGAGAAAAUUGCUCACUUUUUCACUUCAAACCCUCUGUCUUCACUCAGCAAACAGUAGAAGAAAAUAGGAAUGUCAAUUUGCUGCUUCUGAUCUUCAAAUCCCACAGGACUAGUCGCAGAGAGAGAGAGAGAGAGAGAGGAGAGAGAGAAUGGGUGGGGUUACUUCAUCCAUGGCUGCAAAGUUUGCCUUUUUCCCACCCAACCCACCAUCCUACAAGGUAGUUAAAGACGAAGCCACUGGUCUCUUGCUCAUGGACCCUCUUCCUCAUCGUGAAAACGUCGACGUUUUGAAGUUUCCCACUCGCCGCGGCAAUGAGAUCGUGGCCGUUUAUAUACGCCACCCAAUGGCCACCUCUACCCUGCUGUACUCUCAUGGCAACGCCACUGAUAUCGGUCAAAUGUACGAGCUUUUCAUCGAAUUGAGCAUUCACCUCCGCGUCAAUCUCAUGGGGUAUAAUUUCGCUCUACCCUUUACUCCAAUUUUAAAGCUUUUGUUUUUUUAUCUGCUGUUUUGGUUUUGUGUCCUUGUGUCUGUGAUUGGUUUUCUCAUUCUGAAGAGGGUGCGUUGAUGAAAUUGUGGUGAAUUAGAAAUACCAGUUGAGAAAUUUUGGAAAGUUUGCAUUUUUGUAUUGAUUGGAAUUGGGGGUGUGCCAUAAGAUAUUUGUGGAUUGUUAUUCAUGAUUUGAUUUAGAAAUAUGAAUAUCUUAAGAAUUCUGAUUUAGAUAUACAAGUAUCUUAAGAGUUCUGUUUAGCUCAAGUAGUGUUUUGGCUCAUUCAAUCAAUUAGCAAUGAAGUUGGAAUAACAAAGCGGUUUGGGAUCUACAGUUUAACUGGAAGAGGUUUUAUAAAUGAAUAUCAGAAGUAGGUGAACCUAAAUGUACACGGUUGGAAGCUGGGACAGUUAAUUUUUAAUUGUCAAGGUUAUAGAAGCAAAAAAUUUGUUUAUGAACUGCCCAGUGCCCAUUAAGAAGUUAGUUAGACUGCUUAUUCUGUGGUAUAUCAUAUUGAACUAAAUUUCACUAUUUCCUCCCAUCGAAUCAAAUUUUGGUUAUUUGACUUAAAAUGGAAACACAAGUACCUGAAGAAAACGUGAAAGUUCAACUGGCAUUCACUUCAAUAGCUCAGAGGCUAGCCAUGAAGGCGAAUCUCCUUUACCCAUGCACAUUUUGUUAUAUCAGCCGGGAUCCUGAUUGUAUGCAAACCUAGGUUUCAAGUGCAAUUGUUUAAUUGAACUAAUUUGAUUUUACCACAUUAUUUGGAAAACACGGAAAACAUUCUGAACCAUAUUAUUUGAACGUGGGCAGGUAUGAUUACUCUGGCUAUGGACAGUCAUCAGGCAAGGUAAGUGCCGUAUGAAUCAUGUAUUUGUCGUGAUUCAAAUUCUACUACACAGGUUUAUCUGAUGCUCAUUUGUAAACCUUUCUGCAGCCAAGUGAACAUAAUACUUAUGCAGAUAUUGAAGCUGCAUAUAAGUGUCUUGAAGAGAGGUAUGGGGCUAAGCAGGAAGACAUAAUCCUCUAUGGUCAGUCUGUUGGAAGCGGUCCUACUGUUGAUCUUGCUGCCCGUUUGCCUCGACUGAGAGCAAUUGUUUUGCAUAGCCCUAUAUUAUCAGGUUUAAGAGUCAUGUAUCCUGUGAAACGCACGUACUGGUUUGAUAUCUAUAAGGUUAGAUUCUUGAUAUCAAUUUUGGUGAAGACUUUUAUUGAAUUACUUUAUAUUGAGAAUGGUGAUGCAUAUGUACAUGUCUGAACCUGAUUUUCAUUUAUGUGCAGAACAUUGAUAAAAUCCCUCUGGUGAAAUGUCCUGUGCUGGUAAUACAUGUAAGUACUCUACAAUUAUUAUUUUGCCUCUGCUGUGAAAUGAAGUGAUUGCUGGAAUGUUACUAUUUUCCAUAUGUUUGACAUCUCAUUAAUUUCAUUUUUCGUAGAUGAUUAAAGCAGAAUUAUCAUGCAUUUAUAUUUGCAAUCUCAUGCUGAAGGAUCCAUCUGAAAUCAAUUAGAAAAAAGUUGAUGUUGUUUAAUCUUGGAUUUCACCACAAAUUUUGAAUUUCUUUUUUUUGACAUUUUGUGUUUGUUAUUCUUCUCCAGGGAACAGCUGAUGAAGUUGUCGACUGCUCACACGGCAAGCAACUUUGGGUACUGUGUCAAGAGAAAUAUGAACCUCUAUGGCUAAAAGGCGGAAGUCACUGUAAUUUGGAACUGUAUCCAGAAUAUCUUAGACAUCUCAAUAAGUUCAUAUCAACUGUUGAAAAAUCAGCUUCGCGAAGGAUUAGUUCUAGAAAAAGCACAGACCAUAGGAAAAGCACGGACCGCAUCGAACUUCCUAGGAGGAGUGUUGAUUUUUUUGAGGCUCCAAGGAAGAGUACUGAUCGGAGAGAGAAAUCAAGGAAGAGCACUGAUAGACCCGAAAAGCUGAAAUUUAGUGAAUACAAGUUUAAUAACGUUGACAAGGUAGAUAAGUUUAGGAUCUCUGCUGACCAGAUAGAGAGGUCACGAAGAAGCGUGGAAUACCAUCACGAGAAAUCUAGGAGAAGCAUUGACCAUCAGCUAGAAAAAGCGCGGAAGAGCGUUGACUGGCUGGACAGAAUUCGAGCUGGGUAAAUCUCCGGUGAAACUUUGUAUUGGGUUGGGAUAAAGAAACAUAGAACAAGUGGGGUGGGGAAAUUAUUUGGGAUCUAACUUAAGGUUGUAGAGUUUGUGGUUUCAGCCAAAGUUUGUGGUUUCAGGAUGUGUAUCUUUGUUAUUUUAUGUAACUUUGUCAUGGCUUGUAGAGUUUUAAUGUGUUCUUUUGGGUGUCAUUGCCCCUUGAUUGUUAAUGAAAGAACUCUAACCUCUUUGUUUCUCAUAAUUGAAAGGAAAUGAAGCUCAUGGUUCACAAGGGGAACUGUAGAAAAUGAUACAUGGCAAUGACCUUUGAUAGUCUUGGCAAUUUUGUUUUUUGUUCAUUCAAAGGGGUAAUAAUCAAAAUCAAACUUGUCGCAUUUUGUUAUAGCCUUAUGGCAAUUGUGCUUUUCCUUUUUCCCUUUUUCUGUUUCUACUAUGAAUUUAUGUGAAGAGAGAUUCGAACUCGGGUGCAAGAGUAAGCAGGCCUAACCCAUUCCAUUUUGUUUUUGGCUCCCAUUAGAGUUCAAGUGAAGCAACACAAUUGAAACAACGAGAAUUUGAUUCAAUAAACUAUUAUCUAUCAAUUAUAAUUAAUUGAUUGAAAAAUUGGAGAUUUAAAAAAUAAAAAUAAAAAAAUUCACCAAGCUUAAAGCGAAAACGUUGUCGUUUUGGUUAUUGCCUCGCCAUACAACACCCGCGUCUCCUUCUCCUUCGUUCGCCUGCCUCCUCCGACUUCAUUUUUUUGGGUUGGAUCUCUAGCAGUCUACGCAACCCCUGCUUUUUCCGGGACACAGUUGGAAUUUGCAUUCCAUUCUUUUCGAUUUUUCCAAUUUCUCAAGGACUUUGAGUUCCCGUUUCUUUGAGGUUAAAGGCCUAUCAGAAUUUUCACAUUCCGGAAUUACCCCUGCGCCUUUAGCAACAUGAUUGCAUCCUCUUCGUGAAGCCCUAACACCAUCGAUUGCUUUGGCACAGUACUCGAUUCGAUCACAAUGUAAGUAUGGCUCACUUCAAUCAACUCGUCGUUUUGGUCUUCAAGUAGAGUUUUGCGUGAUUUUGCUUUCACAAAGUUUCAUGAAUUUUCUUUUUGAUCGAUUUCUCAGCUGCCAAACAGAGAUGACUAUAUACUGUAGAGAAGUUUAUUAUGCUCAGUCAACUUUGUUUGUGCAGGUCACAGGAGGAGAUAGCAAGGGAAGCGAUAAAGCACGCACUGAAGGCUCUUCGGAAGCGGCAUUUGCUCGAAGAAGGUGCUCAUGCUCCGGCUUUUAUCGCUCUUGCGAGGCCAAUUGCUCAUCAGGUCUUCUCUUAGUUCCUUACAAGCUAGGAUUUAGGGUUUUGGUGCUGCUUAAAAAUUCUCGAUUAAGACAGAUAAUUAAUAUUCAUGGGCUUUGGUGCUGCUUAAUUUGAUGUUCAAGGUCAUCAGUUUCCAUGCAAUUAAAAUGCUUACAAAUUUGGCUUCUUUUUUGUCUUUUGAUUGUUUUGAAUUAGAUAUUGAGUUACUUUUGAAUGUCUUUGAAAGGGCUCAGAAUGGAAGGAGAAAGCAGAGAGUUUGGAACUCGAACUUCAGCAAUGUUACAAAGCUCAAUCUCGAUUGUCCGAGCAACUUGUGGUGGAAGUAGCAGAGUCCAGAGCUUCAAAAGCUUCACUUCAAGAGAAAGAAGCAGCAGUGGCUGAUCUCCAAAAGGAGUUAACAGAAAAAAGGUUGACUUUUUUAACUAGUAAUAGCAAGCGAGAUGCUUUUCAGAUUUCAAGAUUCUGUAUGAUUGAUUGCAAUUGUUGCAGGGAUGAAUGCUCUCAAUUAACGGUUGACUUAGAAGAGAAGAUUAAAGCCUUAGAAUUGGUUGUGAGUGAGAACAAGGAAAUAAGAGCGCAGCUUGAAGAAAUGUCUAUUAGAGCUAAGAAUGCUGAGGCUGAAAGUAAGGUGUUAAUUGACCGCUGGAUGUUGGAAAAGAUGAAGGAUGCUGAACGCCUUAACGAGGUAUGUAUAUCAGUUUUAUAAUCAGACUGAACUUUUGGUUUGGUAUAAUAGAUACCUUUGGUUUGGUAUAAUAGAUACCAGUAGAUGUCAAUUGCUUUAAGGUGUGAUAUUAUGUUAAAAGACUAGAAACAUAGCUAUAAUGCCUUAGUCUCCUGGGUUGAUGUUUCUCGAGGCUCUGAUUAAUCUCGUGGCUUGCUGUAAGUGGUACCAAGUAUUGACAUUCACUCUUUUUAUGUUGGAUGACUAGGCCAAUUUGUGCUUAACUGCAUACAUAUGUAUUCUUGCCAUUGUCAUAAGUUCUACGGAAGUACUAGAAAAACCUAAAUAAAAAACAAUGGUGUAUUUUAGCUAAUCAAUUAGGAUAUUUGUUGGCAUGGGCGUUGCCCCUUUCUUUCAUGAGUUUUGAUUAUUAUUUGACGUAACAUAAAGCCUUCAGAAAGUAUAUGUGAUAUUUUGUUGUUUUGUUUUCCAGUGUAUAAGAGUAGGAUUUUGAUUUUCUUUGGCUCUUGAAAGGGAUUUGUUUAUAAAUUUUCUACCUGUUUUACAUAUAAUGUAUAUUGGGGUAACUCAGUUUUUCUUUAUUUAAUUUAGGCAAAUGCACUCUAUGAAGAUAUGAUUGAGCGGCUCAGGGCCAGUGGUCUGGAAAAACUUGCUAGGCAGCAAGUAGAUGGUGUGGUCCGCCAAAGUGAAGAAGGUGCUGAGUACUUUGUGGAGUCAACAAUUCCCUCUGCAUGCAAGAGCAGGAUCCAUGCCCAUGAAGGUGGCUGUGCUUCCAUAUUAUUUGAGUACAAUUCUGGCAAAUUGAUUACUGGAGGACAGGAUGGGUCCAUCAAAAUGUGGGAUACAAACACUGGGGCACUAAAUCAUACACUUCAUGGUUGCAUUGGUUCCGUUCUUGAUAUUACCAUUACCCAUGAUAAUAGAUCUAUCAUUGCAGCAAGCAGCUCAAACAAAUUGUAUGCCUGGGAUGUUAGCUCGGGGAGGGUUCGCCAUACUCUCACUGGCCACAUGGAUAAAGUAUGUGCUGUAGAUGUUAGCAAUUCAAGUCGUCAUGUUGUGAGUGCAGCCUAUGAUCGUACCAUAAAAGUAUGGGAUUUGCAGAAAGGUUACUGCACCAACACAAUUAUUUUCCCCAAAAACUGCAAUGCUCUUUGCUUCAGCAUGGAUGGACAAACCAUAUGUUCUGGGCACGUUGAUGGAAACCUUCGCUUGUGGGAUAUUGAGAAGGGAAAGCUACUCAGUGAAGUAGCUGCACAUUCAAAUGCUGUUACAUCCAUAUCUUUGUCCCGAAAUGGCAACGUUGUUUUGACAAGUGGGAGAGACAACGUGCAUAAUUUGUUUGAUAUGCGGUCUCUGGAAGUCUGCGGCACAUUAAGAGCCACAGGAAACAGAGUGGCGUCUAACUGGAGCCGGUCCUGUAUCAGUCCAGACGACAAUUAUGUUGCCGCUGGAUCUGCCGAUGGUUCUGUGUAUAUUUGGUCAAUCUCUAAGGCCGACAUUGUGAGCACUCUGAAGGAACACACUGCAUCUGUGCUGUGUUGUUCAUGGAGUGGGCAUGGAAAACCUCUAGCUUCUGCGGACAAGAACGGCAUUGUUUGCACUUGGGCGUGAAUCGUUUGGCUGAGGCCGUCUAUUCUUGUUUCCACAAGACACAUCUCACUCAUACAUAAUGUACACAAGUGUUAUUAGAUUUGGUGUAAAUAUUUGAUUGAUUCAUCUCGAAUUGUACCAUGUGUGCAGUCAUUCUUCUCUCUUUCUCAUACAAAGUUCCUGAAUAAAUCUUAUUCAUUUUUUUUCUGUUCUUGUUUCUUGGCCAUAGUUGAGAGUAGGCUUAGCUAUGCCAAUUGCCACUAUAAAUUAUGAUUCAAACAAUAUUAAAUACUUUAAAUCAAAUUUGCCAAUUUUACAAUAACUUCCAUUCUAUAUGAAAAAUUCCAAUAAUUAAUCCUUACCCAUAAUAGCUUUCUUGGCCCUAGAAAAAUAAAAUUUAAAAAAAAAAAAAAAAAAACCCUAUCUAAUCUGUUGUUCAAACUUCAAAUGGGCCAAAUAACAACCAUGGAAUCAUUCCUCAAUCGGGCCCAACAGGGAGUGGAGCUUCUCUACCUAGUUACUAUAAAGCAUUCUGGGGUUUGGAUUCGACCCGUUUUCGAUAACGGAAAGUCCUGCCGGUGGUCUCACUCUCUGGCCUGAAACCUAAAACGGAGAUUGGAAGAAGUGAAAGAGAAGCUGAACGAUGGUGAAGGUAGCAACCUACUUUGCUAUGACUUUGGGAGCUUUUGUGUUCUGGCAAUCCAUGGAUAAAGUCCACGUCUGGAUCGCUCUCCAUCAGGACGAAAAGGUAAAAAACUCUUCUUUCUCAUCAUCGCAAUUUCUCUUUCGAAUUGGGCUGAGAAUGUUGGUAAUUUUGAAUUUGUAUUUAGGAUUUCAAUUCAAUUUCAGCUCCAGAAGCUCAAACAUUGAGAUGGGUCAUAAUUAAAUUGCUCAAUUCUUCGUGAAAAAUGUUAUUUUGAUGAGUGAAAUGACAUGAAAUUUGGGGGGGUUAGGUUUGCUUAAAAUGUAGUUACUGUUUCCUACCUUUGAGCUUGAUUUAUUCAUUAAUUGUUUUCUUGUCAAUCAAGAGGGUAAUGCUUGGUUAAUGGGGAUUGAGGAACAUAGUUGAACUUGGAAUUUCUCCUUAAUCAUUGUUAUUAUGCUAUAUUUAUGCAAUAUAGUGACACUCCUGUGUAGAUUAAACCUUUAUGAGUUAGAGCCAAUUCUUAUUCAUGGAUUUCUUAUAUGGAGCUCGUCUUCCAUGGUGGAUUGUGUGUUUCCUCGUGUGUUGCUUAUUAUCUUUACUAGUUGGGUUACUUGUGUUUCGUUUGUUUCUUUUAAACCACGUACAUAUUGCAUGCCAUACUUUGGGUAGAAAGCACAAAAUUGUGUAACAGAGAAAAAAGCAUUUGCAUUUUGGAGUAAUAAAACCAUUUGUAAUUAGAUUAAUAUUCAAAUGAUAGCAGGAAGCUAUUAUAUUGUGCUUACCUUUUCAAUGAACCUUUUUAGUUGAUCUUCUCUUAUCUUCACAUAUGGAUCAUUGUGUUUUGGUGUUUUGGUAUUGAUUUCCUUUCAAAAUCUUCCAUUCUUCGAUACUGAUUUGGGUCUGCUACUGUGUCAGCAAGAAAGACUGGAAAGGGAAUUGGAAAUUAAGAGGGUUAGAGAAGAGCUGCUGCAGCAAGCCAAACAAAGGGAGACUCAAGCAUGAUCUACUCGAUUGAUUUUCUUGUACCCUGGUUUCCCUUUGUUUCCUCUACUUCUGAUUUUGUUUGAGCAUAGCUCUCUUGAACAGUCUCAUGGUUCUGGAAUAAUUUAACUUGGCAUUCAUGGGAUAGCUAAGUUUUGUCGUAUGAAUGACUUUGUGUAAGAUUUCGAAAAUGAUAUCAUAUUUUUCAAUGUUAUAGUGACGCUUUGAAAUGUUAAUUACCUUAUGUUCAGGCACAAUUAGAAACAAGUUGUUGGAAUAUUGUCUAUAUUUUCCUUUAUCUUCAGGCAUGAAUUCUUGAUGUUAGAUAUUCUGUUACUUACCAAAUCAUCAAUGUCAUCAGUGAUUUUAGUUGCAUCUCAUCUCCUGACUUGUUUGACUUGCUAGCUCCAUUUCCUUAGAGAUGAAACUACGAUCACUUUCCCCCCAGUUUCCACCGUAAACUUUUUAACAGCAUGAAGUCCUCAAGCCAUCCUCAUUGUGAGGUUGUUGCUUUCCUGUGAAAGGGUAUCUUUCACUACAAGAUGCGCUAGAUUUCUAUUGCUGUCAUUAGAGGUUUUUGUUAUUUCUUUCAUAUUUAUGACCUUCAUUCCUUUGGCUUCCUCUUUAAUGUACACACUUGUACCUUCUCUCUUUAGAUUGGUUUGUGAAAGUUGGUUAUCAAAAGCACUGCAUGUUUUUCUUGAUAAGCUGCACUGGUUUGCACUUUACAUGGUCACGCAGCAAUACACAGACGAGCUAGCCAGUUAGGCUUCAUGGCGUAUCAUUUUGAAUUUUGUGCUGCCUUUUCACAUACAGCCUCACACUUUGAAUCCAUCGAAUGAUUUGAAAGAUGAGGACAUACAAGCAGAGCCAUCAACAAACUAUUGUGCUAAAGUUGAAUGAGAUUGAGCCAUUGGUUGUGCAGAUAAGGUGUUCUUGCACACAGGCACUCUAAAAAUUAUUGAUGAAACCUACCCAACAGAUUUUGGAUUCUCCUGCUAACAGCUUUUGGAUUAUUGUUCAUUACAAAGAUUUUUUCUUCUCCCACACUUAAUUGACUUUUUUUUAUUUAUCACCAUUCUUAUUGAUCAUAAAUCAUCCUACCCAACAAACGUAGCAGUUCUCUUUCAUUUUUGUUGUUUUAUUUGUUAAUACACGUCCAUUCUAAUUCUUUUUUAUCUCUAACACCUAAAAUAUUGUUACAUGUCAAAUCAUUUGGUGAUGAAAUUGUUGCGUGCCACCUUAUGAUACGUGUCGCAUCAUUUGAUGCUUAAAAUUUUUGAGACAUUUUGUAGUGUAUAACAUUAUUGAAGGUUGUUUUUAAAGUUGUUCUUGUGUCUACAAAGAGAUACAAAUCGAUAAAGCCUCCCUCGCUUUUUUCCGUUUUGAUGAAAAAAAAGGCCGUCUCACUUUCUCUACAUGUACAAGUGACUAGUCGCCAAAUACACUACGCCCGCGUCUUUGUGUGUGAAGUACAAGCGAUGUUUUACUUCAACUGCCGACCUAGUCAAAUGGUUUGGACUUGUAUUUACAAGGUUGAGUCAUCUCUUUCUUUGAUUGCUUCGGCCUAAAGGAAUUUCUUGCAUCACAUGUUUCUCUAGGUUUCUAUAAUUUGGGAUCAUGUUUUUAGAAUCUUAUUGGCUGAAAUUAUGGAAUCAUCUUAAUCAUAAGGGAAAUUCUAGUUACGAUCUUGUAUUCAGUUCGAUCACAUGGAAACACAAUACCUAUUAUGUCAUAAUCACCCAUUGAGUGAUACAUUUGACCCUUGAGUCGGCACAUUAAAUUGCAAGAUUACUCAAAUAAAGAGUAUAUUAUCUAUCUUUUUUUUUAGCACAAGCGAUUGGGGGAGGAGGUUUACACAAAUAUUCAUUGGGUGCAUGGGGUUUUGAAUAUCAACCCACAUGGGUGGAGGUGAAAGAGUCCAACCAAUUGAGCUAUACCUCACUUAGUGAGUGGAUUAUCUUAAUCUAAACACAUUAAGCUUAACCACCAGGGAAAAGGCAAUUAAUUGACUACGCGACAAGCUCAAAACUAUCCAAUUGUUGCCUAUGCCUUGAGUUAAAAGAUGAUAAAGCAAGCAGUUAUCACCACCACUUUAUUUUCCACUCUGCAAAGUCGUGGCAAAAGGACUCAAUCUACGUAACCCAUGCUCCCUUUGCAUACAUGGUGAUGGUAUUAUAACGUGUUGGGCAUGUAAUCAACAGAGAGAUCAAGUCUAAAUGCCCACACAAGCUUUCCAUUUUGUAACUGCUAAAAUACCCAAAUUCUUGCUUCCUUUUUCAAAAGUUCAAAAGCCUCGUAUGAACAAAACUAACUAAUCUAGGGCAUUGCUUGCAGAACCAAAACCAAAACCCAUUUCCCACACAUCUUUUUAAACUCCACAAAACAAUCAUCACAGCCCAUACAUUUUGGCUCUUAAUUUUCCUCCAUUAUUUGAAGAAGUUUGAUUUCCACAAGGAACCUGCAACUUACUCUAUCCUUUCAUCAUCACCAUCAUCACUCUAAUUCUGUCCUGAAUUCUUUGAUCCUCUAUAUAAAGCAGCACUGAGGUCUCUGCAUUCUCAUUCUCAUCUUGUGUUCAAUCUUCAUAAGCCAAUAGAAAUGACUAAGUUUAUUUGGGUUGCUCUUGCUCUGUCACUUGCUUUGGUUGUUGGGGUUGCUCAGAGUUUCGACUUCCACGAGAAGGACUUGGCCUCUGAGGACAGCCUGUGGGAUUUGUAUGAGAGGUGGAGGAGCCAUCACACGGUUUCCAGGAGCAUUGAUGAGAAGCACAAGCGGUUCAAUGUAUUCAAAGAGAAUGUCAAGCAUGUCCACAACACUAACAAAGGAGAUAAGCCUUACAAGCUGAAGCUGAACAAGUUUGCUGACAUGACCAACCAUGAGUUCAGGAGCGUUUACGCCGGUUCAAAGGUUAAGCAUCAUAGGAUGCUCCAGGGGGAGCAGCGCGGUGAUGGGGGCUUUAGGUAUGAAAAUGUUGACAGUGUCCCACCCUCUGUUGAUUGGAGAAAGAAAGGUGCCGUCACUCCUGUUAAGGAUCAAGGCCAGUGUGGUAAGGAAAAUUUCCUUCUUUUUUCUAGUUUGUUUCUUUUUGUUUGCCUAUAGCAGCACAGAACUGGAAAUGUAUGAAACUAGGGUGGCCAUUAACCGAAGUUCCUUUCGAUGAUAUUUUGCAGGUAGUUGCUGGGCAUUUUCAACAGUUGUAGCUGUUGAGGGCAUUAAUCAAAUUAAGACCAAUAAGCUGGUUUCAUUGUCUGAGCAAGAGUUGGUUGACUGUGACACUGAACAAAAUCAAGGAUGCAAUGGAGGGCUAAUGGAAUUGGCAUUUGAGUUCAUCAAACGAAAAGGUGGCCUAACAACAGAGACUAAUUACCCUUACCGAGCAGAAGAUUCAACAUGUAAUGUUGCAAAGGUACACGUUUUGUGCACUUACUUUUCAGGGAUCGAUAUAUCUUUGUCCAUUUUGGAUGCUCCUUCACCAUAUACCCAACAUGCUUUUGCAGGAAAAUGCUCCAGUAGUGUCAAUUGAUGGUCAUGAGAGUGUGCCUGCAAAUAACGAGGAUGCAUUGCUCAAAGCAGCUGCAAACCAACCUAUUUCUGUUGCCAUAGAUGCGGGAGGUUCUGAUUUUCAAUUCUACUCUGAGGUAAACUUUCUAACUUGUAUUCACUUUUGCUAAGCUAGUGAAACAGAAGGAAAAAGAAAAAUCAGAUGGUUCAUACCGCCAUAUCUAAAUCUGCUCGACGAUGAUUUGCAGGGGGUAUUUACUGGACAAUGUGGCACAGAGCUUGAUCAUGGAGUUGCAGUUGUUGGCUAUGGAGCAACACUAGAUGGAACCAAGUAUUGGAUAGUGAAGAACUCCUGGGGCCCUGAGUGGGGAGAGAAGGGUUACAUAAGGAUGGAGCGUGGCGUCUCUGCGAAAGAGGGGCUCUGUGGAAUAGCAGUGGAGGCUUCAUAUCCCGUCAAGAACUCUUCCACCAACCCUAAAGGAUCACUUACCUCCUAUCUUAAGGAUGAACUCUAAACAACAUCCUCCAUUGACUCUAAGCUUUGCUGAUGUUGCUUCGGUUAUAAAUAAAAAUUGUUGCAUGACACAUGGCCUCAUGGCCAAAUAAUGUUUCUCAUAGAUUUGAAUUAUUCAUAUAUCAUCUAAGAUCUGUAUUUGGUCUGCUAAGCUGAAAUAACAUUGUCGAAUUAAUUUCCCCAACUCUAUGCCUAUUCCUACCAAGCAUAACAGAAGUAUCAUCAAAGCAAGAAAGAAAAGAAGGUUCAAAAUCAGAGUAUAUUUUCAAUAUAUAAAAGCAUGAUGCUCGAUUAUCAUAAACAAUACGAGUACACCAAAACAAAUUAUAAUGUUUUGGACCCCCAACUGAUGCGGCAACGUUUCAUUUGUACAUAUCCGGUCUCACUAUGAAACCUCAUUUAUUUACGACAAGUACGGCAUUCACGCAUCAUAUGUUUUAAGUUUGAAUCCUAUGGCAUCAUGCAUGCAUAAACUUGUCAACCAUAGCACCUAAUAGGAUCCGUGCAACCCUUUUCAGCAGAUUGUUUGUUGCCUUGACCUCCUCCCUUUUCCAGAUAUUGCUGAUGAUACUCCUCUGCCCUGUAAAACCUCUUUGCUGGCAGAAUCUCAGUCACCACCUUCUUAUCCUUCAACUCCACUUGCUUUGCCUCCUUUGAUUUCUGGGCCAGACGAGCCUGGUUUUCAUUGUAGUAAUAUAUUCCAGAUCGAUAUUGUGUACCAACAUCACCACCCUGAUACAUAAACACAUAAAUUUAUUAUUUAAUCAAUCAGAAAAUCAUCUAAUUUCAAGGUAAUAUUCUCUUUCAUUGGUUAUCAAUUUGAACCAUACACUCAUACAUUACAGUCUAUAUCAUGUUUAUCGAGAAGCAAAUAUGGUAACCGAUAAUUUAGCACAUUUAGGACAAAAUAAUGAUCACUCAUGUAUUUAGUUUUGUAAUUUUCCUUCUUCAGUUCUUUUAAACUAAAAUUUAACGCCUUCAGAAAUAAAAACAUUCAUACAUUCAAACAAACAAAAAUCUAUUGAGAAAAUCAAUUAACAAAGUACAAAAUUCCCAAAUUACAUAACCAAAAAAAAAAAACUACAGGGCAUGAGUUGUACAAAAUAUAUUGAAACAAUCUUGAUUGAUAUUCUUUCCACAUGUCACUGUCCCAUCAUAUAACUUUUUGGUGCCAGAAAUACAGAAUUAGCUGAAAUUCAGCAAUUACUGAGACAGCCUGACAAACCCAAAAAUAAAAAAGAAAAGAAAUUUGUAGAAUCAAUUUUAUUUGACAGUACAUCAAAAUUCAAAAGAAAACGCUCAGCACAAAAUUAAGUCCAAAAGUGAAUCAAAAAAGGCUGGACUGGGCUGGGCUGGGUUACAAAAUCAACAGUCCAGAAAACCAAACAAGAUUACCUGGCGAUUGAGCGUCGUUGGAUCAUGACGAGCCCAAAAGACAGAGAGCAGAUCAGUGUAAGGGCAGACUUCCGGGUCAAACUGGACCCGAACCACCUCCGCGUGGUUGGUGGUUCCGGAGCAAACCAAUUUGUAAUUCGGAUCCUCCACGUGGCCCUGGGAGUAGCCGACUUCGGUCUUGACCACCCCGACCACUCGCUGGAACCUCAGCUCCGCUCCCCAGAAGCACCCGGAUCCGAAUUGAGCGAACUCGUGACCCGGAUUGUCCGGAGCAUCGAGGUCCGGUAACAGAGCAGGGUUGGCGGGUCCCGUCUUUUCUGAAGUAGCGGCCAUUGUUGGUUCCUGACUGAGUUUUGCGAAAUAUGAUUGAUGCAGAGCAAUGCGAAUUAGUCUUCAACGUUGAAUCUGGCCGCCAAUCCUCGUCACGUACAUUCCCAGCGAUCCCGAACGACAUGUCGUUGAACUUGCACCACCACACUUCGUAUUACUUCACGUGCUUAUUGAAUAUAAAUCCAUAAAUGUACAAUUAAUCUAACGUGUGGUGGACGUGCCGGAGUGGUUAUCGGGCAUGACUAGAAAUCAUGUGGGCUUUGCCCGCGCAGGUUCGAAUCCUGCCGUCCACGUUUUUGCAGUCCGAAAUUAAAUCCUUUUUUCUUUUUCCUAGUUGAGAGUUGAGACCACAACACAUGCCCAAUUACUUUCUAUGAAUAAAUGAGAUUGGGCUUUGGCAAAGGAAAAAAAAAUAAAAAAAUUGGGCUGAAUUUUUGGCUGGGCUCGGGUGAAUAACAUGUCUAGAUUUUUGUUGUGUGUGUGUUUUUUUAAUAAAUAAGAUCGAUAUUCUAAAAUUAUUUUAAUGUACGAGAAGGAGGGGGUUCGGACUAGGACGCAAUCGGGCUUAUACAAAUGUGAUGAAUGAGACGUUGACCAAAACAAAGGGUUUAGAUGAAUGAGAUUUGACAAGGCAAUAUGCUGAUAUGAUGUUGUAGGCUUUGUAUCAUGGUCCGGUUAGUCAUGAUGAUGUUUUGCAGAUCCCUCUCUCAUGGCAUCUUUGAACACAAAAGUCGUGAGAUGAGAGGGCUUUUGAGAAUGGUGUUUGCAAAUGGAAGUAUACAACAUCAAGUACUCCAACCAGAAGGGGGCCAUGAGAAGAUUCCAAGCAUGCUUUUGUUUUGUUGCAUAAGUGCUUAGCUCAGCUUUUUUUUUCCACUAUGUUUUGUUUGCCCUUUCUUCUAGCAUCCUCCCUCCCCUACCAUGAUUUCCCAAUUGACCCAGAUGGUAAUUAGAAAGUGGUGCACAAAACAUUAAUGUCAGACAAGGCAAUAGGAAGGAACAUAAUAUCAUUAUGUGUUUGGUAAUAAGAGUAAUGUUAUGGAACUCAUCAAGCGGUUGAUCUUAUUUCUAUUCGAGAUGUGGUACACGAGGCGGAGUAUAAACGUAAUCAUCCUAGUAUUUUCAUGAUAAUCAUGAAGUCAGUAAGUGAGGGCUGCUGAUGGUGUCUGGACUAAAAAAAAUCUUUAAAAAGGCAGCACCAACAAUGAGACCAAAGAAAGAUCGAAUCUAUAAUUACAUCUUUAAUCUUUUCAGUCUGUUUAGCAUUAGAGUCCUAGUUUGCAUUUUGCAGUGAAGAAAGGGACCAAAACGUUGUCGGCUUGCACUAACUUCCACCAAUUGUGCCCUUGUAUUGACCUCUCACAGCUACCAAAUUGACCAAUCAACAUUACUUGGGAAUGAUUCUUCCCCUACUGAGCUACCAAGACUAAAAAUUCCACAAGAUAGUAGCGUAUAGUCAAAUGGAAAACAAGAGAGGCAUAUGUAAGAUCUUUGUAAGCACACAAAUAGUAUUACUAUUACUAAGGUUAGUUUUGGUUAUGCCAUGACUUUUAUUACUUUACCGAUAAGAUUUUAUGAGACGUCAUAACAUCUUAUGGUUGACAGAAACUUACAUGUAACGAGGUGUAUAUGUUUGAAUAUGAUACGUUAUGUGACAAAUUAUUAUAUUUGUACAAGGAUUUCAUCAGGCUUGUACGGUGUUAUACGUGAAAACAACCGUUAGCAUUUAAAUGAUUAAAAAAGUUAAUGAGGAUUUAUUAGGAUUUCGGAUAUAUAUCAUGUUGACAGAGAAAUCCAACUUUGGCCAUUAAACAAUGUCCUUUUAACCACUUCGUUUAGGACGUUUUGUAUAAUUAAUUAUUCUGAUAAUGAAUAGAACCUUGAACUAAUCUAGAAGUACAUGUGCAUUAAAAGGAUCAAAAUAUUAAUAUUUUCUUGUUGAGUAUCAGUUUUUAUAAUAUUUUCUAAUUUCCAUGAUGUGUAUUCGAAGGAGGCUCAAGUUUGAAGAGGGAGAGGCUCUUCAACAUGCUCCGGCCGGCUUAGCAGUGGUUGAGGCUUCAACAUCAGUAUUGUUAAUGUUAUGUACGUUUUUAAGGACGGGCAAAGAAAACAUUUGCAAGUUACAUAUUUUUUAAACAAUAAAGUGUGGAAAAUGUUUGAUGUACACUAUAAGUCUUCUUAUUUUUUAAGCAACACACUAAUGUAACAAUUUAAGUAUUCACAUAACGCAGAACACGCUAUCAAUUUUCUUUUCACAAAUCGGUUUACGGAUAACGUUUUUAAUCAUUUGAAUUAUAAGUUUUUAAAUACGAGAUUAAACAAAAUCAAACGGAAAUGUAUAGAUAUUCUAAAUUAUACCAAAUCACAUGAGAAAUCAUAUGUUUAAAUAUAAAUAUGAAACCAAACAGGACAUGAUAAUACCCCCCCGAUUUGGUAACAAGGCAAACUAUGUUAACCCAAAUUUCUACUAGGGUUAACCUUCUAUCCUCCCUCAAGGAAGAAGCACAACUCCCACUUCAAUAUACAAUACACAAAUUUUGGACAUCUGGGGGAAAAUUGACAUUGUGGUAACAAAAAAAAAAUUCAUACCACUAAUUUGCCGCAGACCUAAUUAACGACGACUAAUUAAUCACAAUCUGAAGGUUCGAAUCCCAUGGCUGCAUCUGGUUUCUCCUAAUUCCUCCUCUCUCUUCCUCUUGGGCAGGGACAAGGAAGAUAUUGUUCUGGCUGACACCACCUUCCUCACAAGCAGUUUCCACCUUGCAUCAUCUUUCUUUUUCUCUUGCUGCAUUUUCAACUUGAAUUGCCUGUCGCAUUCCCAAAACGACGCCAUAUUAAUAAAUAUCAAUGCUAGCUGCUAAAUAAAUUGGAUACUCAUAAUUGACUAAUGGACUAGUUGCACAAGGAAAAGCACAAUUAGCUGAGCUUAAUGCCCCACCCAUCCAUGAUAUUUUAUUUGCCACUUGUUAUUUUAUGAACCAAAAUAAGCCAAGGGAUUGAGGGAACCUCAUUUGUUUGGCUUUAUUAGCCAACUUAUGUCUCCUUCCUCCCUAUUAAAUCAUGAUAAGCACAAGCUGUCACACUGGUACCUUCUAUCAGAAUUAAGGGAACAGCAUCUAAUUAAAAUAUCUAGUAGUACGCAUUGUAUGGUCGAAAUUUACAGUUUGACAAAAGAACAUUAACCGCGAUAUAACUUUGGGUUGUCAUGAGUUAGGUUCCACCCCCAUGCCAAAGAUGCCUCUAUCGUUGAAGUAGGUUUCAUUCAUAUAGAGUAUAGACUAGUCAAUUCCAUCUUAGUCCUAUUAUGAGAUUCCAAACCAGAAAAGGCCAACCCCUCUAAAAAGUGAGUUUUUUUAUUUAUUUAUUAUAAAAUUGGUUUAAUUUCAGGUGGCAUACCAAAACAUAUAUACAAAUAAAACAUGCAAAGAAAACCCAUUACUUAUUUUAGCUGAUAGAAUCUUUUGGCAUCCUACCAACAACUCCUCCUUUUUUCUUGGUUAUUCAUUAAACCAUAAUUAGCAUUAAUUUGAUCAUCGUUAAUUAUAUGUUUACCUGCAAAGAGGAACUCUGCAAGAGUCGGGUUGGUCACACAUUGACGAGUGAAGCCUAAGAAGCUGCCACAUGCGCUUGCAACGCAAGCACCCUCCAUUCACCCUCCUUUUACAGGUGGCGAAGUGCUGGAUCAACAGCUGCAGCCCUUGACACGUAGAGAACUUGCUGCAUGGGCCCCUAUUGUGACCUGGCUCCAUAUCGUAGGGCCCAACACUCGUGCACCCUUCCUUGCAUAUGUGCUCCAAGCACUCCAUGGCCUCACUUAGCUGCAGAUACAACCUUUGCUCCUCCCUCAGCUUCCUUGUCUUCUUCUUCCUCUGCUCACAAAAAGGGAAAAUUAACUUUCGGUCCUUACAAUUACAAUAUCAAAUUGGGGUCAAAAUAUAAAUAAAAAUUCCAAGUACGAUGUACAUCAACAGUUCACAAUCAUGCGUGAAAUUCUAAAAAUUUGUCUUACGAAAUGAAAUAAAUAAACAUCGUAUUAACUUACCGACGCGGUUUCGUCGAUGAAUUGUAAGAUGUCGAGUUCGAGCCAAGGGUCAUGAUCUUGGAGGAAUUUCCAGCCUUCAGUAUUCUCGACAGCCUUGAAGUGAUUAGCGACCAACUUCAAGCACUUGAGGUAGAGAUCCGCUGCGUCGCACAUCUUGGCCAGUUGGAGCACAUCCACAACGUUUUCGAUGGUCAAACGUUGACCCAGCUCCUUGAUGCAUCUGUGCUUCAGCUGUGGGACCAGGUACACGUGGGACAGCGCGAGUAGAUGGAUCCCGUACUUCUCCAUAUGCUCUUCCGUGCACCUGCAUCAGGGGGCAUUUUCGUCAAUUCACUAAUAAUCAUAUUUUAAAUGUUCCUCCAAUUUUGGAAAUUAAUAAUUAAAUUAAAAUAUGUCCGAAACGGACGGUCGCGAUGAAAUGGUCGGUGCAGAUAAUUGAUACGAGUAAAAACGUGCUAAUUAGGAAAAGCGGGCAACGGCAACGAACCUAGAGGAGUAGAGGAAGCGAAGGAAGGCCAAUACGGCGUCGUUUGGGACGCCGGUGAUCGGAAUGACUCGCUCGGAGCUCCGGUGCUUACGUGGCCGAUCAAUAAUGUUUUCCAGCACCGGCGACACUGAGGCCUUCAAAAUGCAAAAAUGAAGAAAGGAAAAUUCAGAUCUCUUUUCAAAAAUAAAAGAAAGUUAAGUAAUGUUUUUGCGUUACGAAAAACAAAAAAGGGAAAUGAAAUGAGGAGAGGUGUUUGGUAGGUGGAAUAGAAUGUACCAGAAUGCUAGAGUGCGCCGGGAUCCGCAGAGCGUCGCAGGUGACGAUGUGGACAUCGGGUUCGGGUAGGUCUCGUGGGUCGGAUUUGGUGCCGGAUAGUCCGUACAGGUCAUCGGAGAUGUUGAUGGCUACGGUGGGAUUAGUUUCCAUUUCUAGAGAGAGCGAGAGAGAGAGAGAGAGAGAGUCAGAGAAGAAAGACAGAGAUAUUAUGAGUAGAAAGAAAGGAGUCUUUUUGUGAGUGUGUUUGUGAGACGAUGAAAAUGUUUGAUGGUCUCCCCUGACUUUAUAGAGAAUUUGAGAUUUUUUCAUUUUUUAUUUUUUAUUUUUUAUUUUUUUUGUUGUUAAGUCAGGUUCCGAGAAUGAAACGCAAAAGAACAAAUAUAAAACAACCCAGUGCGACUGCUGUUUGUGCGCCUCAGUCUCACGCGCCAUUUAAGAGCCACAUAAACAUUAUGUAGGCUCUUAUUGUGUGAUUAUAAAUUGAUCAAAGAAAAUAUAUGUUACCAAAAGAGUAGACAUGGUAUAGAUUUUGAUAAUAUUUUCUUUUGGCAAUUUGAGGGCUAGAAUGGGCCGAACAAGGCUGUACCCAACCCUAAUUGCUUAUCUUAAAAAUGAAUAUAGAAAAAAAUAUUGUUUUCUUAUACACUUUGAUCUCGUUUGGUUCACUGAACAGAUUUAAGGGGAAAUUACUUCCCAUGUCAUUUCCUGAGGGAUGGGAAAUGGAAGAUUCAUUUUCCACGUUUGAUAAUGUCGGGAAAGAUGUGCAUUGAAUGUUGGCUCAUUUUCUCAAACUUUCCUAUAAUAAGGGAAAACAAAACCUAAAUUGAGAGGAGGGCUUCACUUUCCUCAUACUUUCCCAUGUACUAGGCAACUAUUUCCCAUGCAUGGACUUACCAAAUAUGAAAAAGUAAUUAAUUUCCUAUCUCAAAACCCCCUUUUUCAUGAACCAAACGGGGCCUCUAUGCUUAUAUAUUUCUUUACAUUUUUACCUUGACUUUUACCUUAAUUUGUAUUAUUACUUGGUUGACGGAAAUGUCCAAAGUAAAUUGUGCGUGUGGGAAGCAUCCAUCAUUUGCUAGCUAAUAACAAUAUUUCCAUCUCUACCCCUGCCAACUUGGGAACUUGCUUUUUUUAUUUUAGUGAUUAUCCAAGAUUAUAUAGAUAAUAUUUUCGAUCUGACGUGUAAGGUUUAGCCCACAAUACCCACUUGGCACUCUACGAACAAACCCAAUAAGGCCGGACUUAAAAAACCAGAAGGCCAAAUUAUAAUAAGCGGCCUUUCGCCGUAGGGAGAGGAUGACUCAAUCCGACGUGCCCGUCCUCAUCCUUUCCAUCUCACCUGCUCCGAUCACAAACUAAUAUCCACGUAUACUUACACGUGUCAACAGCCCAUCUUCACUGCAAAAAUAAAUAAAUAAAUACAUCAAGAUAUUAGUUUAAUUAAGUCGGGUGCAAAAUUAGCCAUCAAUUAGCGCCGUAUUUGGGCCCACUGAAACGACAGGUCUUAUUUCCUCACACGUGUCCAGGAAGUCGGCGAUCACCGCUUGCGUUUAGAGCAGACGACACGUUUUCGAGUGCCAGUGAGGUCGGUACUGGCGUGCUAACUGUCGUUUUUCAGGCAAACGAAACUAUUUUUAUUUUAUACUUCUCAAAUACCUGAGCUGACCUAAUGGGAUACGAAACUUUGCUAUGUGGUGUCUUUCUCAGAAGUUAGAAGAGAAUAAUGCAAACCUUUGCAUAGCUAAGCAUGUUAUUAACAAGCAUUUAUGGCAUGCACCUGAAGAAAAAUUAAAAAUGAUAAUGAUUUCUUAUGAAUCCAAGGGCAGGGGUUCCACCGUAGCUAGUAGCCACGUACUGUUUGAUGCAAGAUCCAAGGGGCUAUCUUCCGAGAAUAAGAAUCUACCAUGCGGGGCAUUCUGGUUAGAUGAGGAUCAAUUCAGCUCGUCAGGACUCUUUCAAUUGGAGUUCUUAUUGAAAGCAGUGUGGCUCAUGACUGUUGAUCAACUCCUUGCAGGUUCUGGAACUUUUAUGCAGUUUGAACGCAACCAUUGUUGGCUUGGCAGUUAGCUCUGAAGCAUCCAUAGAUUUACCUUGGUGUGUUGGUCUUGGUAGGCUACUCUGUUUUGCCACAAUAUUUUUGGUUAUAUUUCAUCUUCUCUGUAUAGCUCUGCUCAUAAUUUUAUAUUUUCUGACUCCAAUAUGUAGGGAACUGGGGUUUUAAUUAUGAUAUAAUAUUUCAAUAAACAGAAUAUUUUAAAAGUAUAGCCGGGCGGCUAUACCCUCAAAUAGUUGAAGCGUAUAGCCUACACGAAUCUUUAAAGAGUAUAGCCGUUCGGCUAGACCCUGCCUGAAGUCGUUGAGGAUAUUGAGGUUCAGAAGCCUAUCCAUAACUACUGUGAAGGACAAUAGUAAAAUUCGAAUUGAUGUAGAAAAGAAAUUUGGACAACAUCAUACCUUGGGCAUUACUUCAACUGCGACUGCUGAAACAUAACUUGAUAUAGCCCGGAUGCCGCGCGGCUAAAUAGAAUAUUUUAAAAGUGUAGCGGUGCGGUUAGACUCUAUAAAAUUGGGAUAUACAAAAUUAUGAUCUCACUGCUGUAUUAGCUAUAAUAAAUAAUGGAAACAAGUUGUUCCCAAUAAUCAAUGAGUGUGAGACAACCACGAGAAUAGGUAGAUAAACUUUCCUACCAAAGUAGUUAACACAUCCACCCAAGUGCAGAAUACAGAAUGAGUCAAAGGGAGAAACUGACAGUAACUUGUACUAAAAAGAUUUGUUAAUUUAAGUUUCAGCUUCUGUUUUCAACUAAAAUUGAUUUUUACAUCAACUCAACUAUCUGCAUCAAAUUUGAUUUUAUCCCCCAACAGUAGAAUUACUCGAGUCAGGUAGAAACAUGAAGCUCUCACAACCAUAAAAUGAAUAGGAAAGAAAUUAAAUAAGGGAGCUAUGGGUAUUGCCAAACUCACAUUGAUCUUCUGUAUAUAUUCAUCACAGUACCGAAGCUUAUAACCAUGAUACCUAUCCACGAACAAGAACCUCCGUAUGCCAUACUUUCUGAGGUUGUAAGAAAUACAUAGCCGCGCAGCUAUACCCUUUAAGUAGAUAUUUUAAAGCUAUACUCUUUGAAUAGAAUAUUUUAACAGUAUAGCCGGGCGGCUAUACUCUUUACAUAAAAAGCAGGCAUGCCUCACACAUCUUUCUUAUAUCAGACAGCUUCUUGUGGUUGUGGCAAUAAGCCUAGUGACAGAUUCUUUUAACUUCGUCAUUUCCAGAAGGACAAUGAUAAGAUGAGAAAGUUUUGAAUAAAACAGCAUUGCCAGAGCAAAACAUUCAUAUGGCUCACACCGAACCACCAACGACAAGGAAACAGAACACUAUUGAUACAAAUUCUUCCUCUUAUCAAAUAAGGAAAAAGGAAAAGUUUUGAAGACCAAACAAGAUGCUGCGGGCAAAAAGACAGGUAUCACAGUUGAAUCACAUAUCUGGAAUUGAUAUUUACUAGCAUGUUUAGCACAUCUGAACAAAAUAAAAAGAAAUAAGAGGCAUAACAACAAGAUAUUGAUCAUACGUACGCACCUAAAGAUAUACCUAAAUCGAUCAAUGUGAACUGUUAAAACACGAGCAGGCUUGCUAUUUAAUGUGUCUGGGCCUUGGCUGACAACUUCCUGGUUGUUGACAGCAUUAAUUCAGUAUCAUCACCCACAGAAGAACUUAUAUGUACACUUUCUUCUGGAAAUGAAUUACACACCUGUAAAGGAGUAACGACGGCCAAGCACAAGGCCUCCAAAGCUCUCUUAGCAUGGUCAGGUGGAAGUUCAGUAAUGACCUUACUGCAGAAGAGAGUUCAGUAGAUGUUCAGAUAAUCAACAGAAUGAGGUACUAGAUUGAUCACGCAACGUCAGAAGAUGCAGAAGAUAUAGUUUACCUUAAGGCUCAACUAGAUGCAACGAACGCUCAGCUGAACCAUCCAUGACAGAUGAACUAUAAGUAUUAAAAAUACAUUACCUGUCUGAAGUACUUGAGGAUGUUGAGGUAGUUUUAGAAGCCUAUCCAUAACCUGUUCACAUAAAAAAACAUAUAUAUAAAAAUAAACCCUUAAAAAAGUGAGUAUUAUUAGAUCAUACCUUGGGAAUUACUUCAUUCUCAACUACUAUAUAUCUUCUUUGAAAAGGAUCACUCCUUCAAAGAAGAUAUAUUAAUCCUUGAAUAUUUCAGACAGUGCUUUUCAAGCCUGAACAUUACUAGUAUUAAAGAACUGGCUCAAGCUUUGGCCUCUCAUUCUCCUUAUGAAGUUCCAAUAUCUACCAUUAAGAUUAGACAUCUGCAUUGCCAGAAUGCCAGGUCAGUUCUAAGUUCUGACUAUUGAUCAACUCCUUGCAGGUAUGCCCCUUUAAAUAGAAUAUUUAAAAUGUCUAGCCGGGCGGCUGUACCCUUAAAAUAGAAUAUUUAAACAGUAUAGCCGAACGGCAAUACCCUAUGAGUAGAAUAUUUUAAACGUUGGCCGCACGGCUAUACUCUAUAAAUUGAAUAUUUUAAGGUAUCGCUGCUCGGCUAUACUCAUUGAAUAGAAAGUUUUUAAAGUAUAGCCGACCGGCUAUCCUCUACAAAUAGAACAUUUUAAAAUUAUAGCUGGGCAAUUAUACUUUGUAAAGUUUUUACAGUUUAGCCGGCCGGCUAUACGCUUGAAAUAUAACAUUUCAACGAUAGAGCCGCCCGGCUAUACGCUUAAAUUAGAAAGCAGGCAUGCCUCACAGAUUAGUGCAAUCGAAGAAUGUCCAAAUGGAAUGUAAUGUGGUAUUUCAUUGCUUCUUGUUCUUCCAUUAAGUUGAAGUUCAGUUGUAGGAAAAUUAUUAACCAUUUUCCCAUAAACAAAUCUAUAUUCUAUAAAUAGAAUAUUUAAAAGCAUAGCUGCGGGUCGAUACCUUAUUAUGAUAAAUGAGGAAAUUAGUUCUCAAAUCUUUUGAUAGCCAUUUAAUUUAUGUGACAAAAGGUAUCAUGGUAGAUCCAUGUAUGAAAGAAUCAUUUCUUGGGAAAACCAGUAAAUAGAAGAUUGAUACAAACAGCAACAAAAAGGAAAAUAUAUAUACAUGCUAAAGAACAUGAACAAGUUCGAUUGCAUUAUGUAACUGUGACUUCCAGGAUCGAUUGCAUUUGUAUACAUGCUAAAGAACAUGAACAAGUUGAUAUGUUGAAUUGGAAUGCAAUGCUCAGCAAGCUUUCCUUUGUUUGAAGAAGUAAAUCAUAAUUUAGAUGAACGGCUAGAUAGAGCAUGGCUAACGAGCUCCCUCCUCAAGAUCUUUCCUGCCGGAGAUUUCAGAAUCGAGUUGAUAAACGAUACAUGUCGAAUCUUCUUGUAGGGUGCAACCUACAAUAAGAAACCAACUUCAAUGUGAGAACAGGAACUUUGGAAGUAUGGAUGUUAAUUAUGAAAAGAAUCAAUUGGAUUUUUUUACAAGUAUUCAGGAGCAUACUUGUUUUGCAACAAAAUCCAUAACUGCAGCCUCAUUGAUAUUGCUUCUAGGCUUUCUAACUACAUAGACCAUGGGAGUCUGCCCUGCUUUUUCAUCAGGAUACCUGCUUCAGAAACAGCAACGGGCAGAAAUCAGAACUAGUAUACCUUGAGGAGGUAAACAGAUACAUGAAAUAUACUGCAAAUUCUUUCAGAAACUAUGAUCUUCUACCAUGUAACCAUGCCACUAACUAUGCAAGAAAGUGGAGGCAAAAGACCAGAUUUCUCAUAAAGGCAAACUUAUCGGCAAAAUAUCCGUCAAAAUUUUCUUCAAUGAUCUCAUAAGUUCUUGAAUUUCUUUUGUUUUUUGUUUUUCUAUGGACCAGUUUCUUUUCCUAGCUAAAUACUUCUAAAACAAAAGUGACAAAUAAGAGAUUAAAGUCUUCAAUUGAUAGAUUGAUGCCAUAGAGCAUGGAAAGAAACUAGCUUUUCACAAGCAAAGAAUGUCAUAGUACUAGAUACAUACGGAAUCACAGCGGCAUCGGCAAUGUCGGGAUGGGAUUGAAGUAUAUGUUCCAACUCAGCUGGUGUACCUGCAAUUUGUUCCAGACAUAGGGAGACCAAACCACACAUUACUCAAAUGGACUGAUCAAAUACUUAUACAACCGUCUUCGUUAUGACUUUAACUCUCGAAGGAUCUCUCUAGCAAUCACCUGAUAGGCCUUGUUGUACUUGAUCAAUUCCUUUAACCUGUCAACUAUGUAGAGGAACUCCUCAUCAUCAAAGAAACAAAGAUCACCCAUCUUCAACCACCCGUCUGAGUGAUCACCUGUCUUCAACCACCCGUCUGAGUCCAAGGUCUCAGCAGUUGCCUUGUCAUAUCCUACAUAACCUGUAAGUCAAAUGGUUUUACAAAGAUCAGUUAGAUUAGGUAAUGGUGUCCUGACUCAUGGCUAGAACUUGCUCCUAUAUUAACCGACUUGUAAGAAAAGGCACCGAAAACUUAUAAAUUAUCUUAAGAUAAACUAUUUCUGCAAUGUAGGACACUUGUGACAUGACAAAGUCUCAUUAUCUUAAGAUGUUGUUAAAAUAAACACAUCUGCCGAGAGUGAGAAUCUACCCUACCAUGCGGGGCAUUCUGGUUAGAUGAGGAUCAUGAUAUAUGGGGUGCUAAAUCUAAUAGAGAUCAAUUUUAGCUCAGCUCGUCAGGACUCUUUCAAUUGGAGUGCUUACUGAAAGAACUGGCUCAUGUUUUGGCCUCUCAUCCUCCUUAUGAAGUUCCCAUAUCUACCAUUAAGGUUGGACAUCUGCAUUGCCAGAAUGCCAGGUCAGUUGUAAGUUCUGACUGUUGAUCAACUCCUUGCUGGUUCUGGAAAUUUUAAAAUCUUGGUGUCUUUUACACGUAUGAUUGAAUUUUAAAUUAUGGUUCUGUUUUCUGUAAGGUUCUUUAGAACAUUUUAAGGGAGUGCUUAGUGGUGAUUACUUUUGUUCCUCAUAGCUUUUGAUUUCUUGAUAAUUAAGGGUUGUAAUAGUUUAUUUCUUUUAUGUUAGGCCCAGGGUUCUGAGAUCUUCUACAGUUUGAACGCAACCAGUGUUGGCUUGGCAGUUAGCUCUGAAGGAUCGAUAGAUUUUACCUUGGUGUGUUGGUCUUGGUAGGUUACUCUGUUUUGCCACAAUAUUUUUGGUUAUAUUUCAUCUUCUCUGUAUGGCUCUGCUCAUAUUUUAUAUUUUCUGACUCCAAUAUGUAGGGGAACGGGGGUUAAUAUUACAAACGUAGAGCCGCGCGGCUACACCCUUUAAAUAUAAUAUUUUAACGGUAUAGCCGUUCGGCUAUACUCUGUAAACAGAAUAUUUUGAACCGUAUCGCCGAACGGCUAUACUCUAUAAAUAGAAUAUUUUAACGCUAUAAAUGGAAUAUUUUUAAAAGUAUAGCCGCGCGGCUGUACUCUAUGAAUAGAAUAUUUUAAACGUAUAGCCGCCCGGCUGUACGCUAUAAAUAUAUACGAAUUGUUUGAGAAAUAUUACCAUUCCAGACUCGUUUUCUUCCGUUCUGUUUUUUCCUUCUUUUGUUUGCAAAACGUUUGCUGGCACUUGUUAAUCUACACAUUCCAGACUAGUUGUCUUAAUUAUCAAUGACAAUUUCAGCUUUCUCUCUCUCUCUCUCUAGAUGUAAUUUUACAACAAAAAUUUUGGGAAAGAAAGAUUAUAUUUAGAAUGACAAUAUAAGUACAGAAAAAUCAUAUGCUUUUGGUUUUGGAUCCAUACAUGAAGCAACAACUCUAGUGAAAAGAGAACAAUUUUGGGAAAGGAGAUUAAGAUAUAUGAGUAUGGAAAUCUGUUACACCACAAGUAAUAUUCAGCAAGUAAUGUAUUAUGUAGGAACCCACCCUUACAGAUGAAAAAUUUGCUAAAUGCAGAAUCUUGAACAAGGUUUGAUAAUUGAUAGCUAAAACUUCACCCAAGUACAAGAUACAGAAUGAGUCAAAGGGAGAAACUGACAGUAAAUUGUAGUAAAAGUUUUUGUUAAUUUAAGUUUCAGGUUCUGUUUUCAACUAAAAUUGAUUUUUACAUAAACUCAACUAUCUGCAUCAAAUUUUUAUCCCCCAACAGUAGAAUUACUCAGGUAGAAACAUAGAGCUCACAAGCAUAAAAUGAUAAGGAAAGAAAUUAAAUAAGGGAGCUAUCCACCAACAAGAACCUUCGAAUGCCGUACUUUCAGGUUGUAAGAAAUACAAACAAGACAAAUGGCAGUCACAAGAGAAUAUUUAAAGGUAGUAUAAAUAGAAUAUUUUAAAAGUAUGGCCGCGCGGCUAUACUCUAUAAAUGGAAUAUUUUAACAGUAUAGCCGCGCGGCUAUACUCUAUAAAUAGGAGAUUUUGAAACUUGUAGGCUUCUAUUUCUCUCAGCUUCAAUGGAAGAUUCAUUGACAAACGAAAUAUACGAAUUCCUGGAAGAGUAGAGUUACUAUAGUCAAUACUCGUUUACGCAAAAUCAAGUAGGCUGUAGUUCUAGAAUGACUGACCUUUUGGUGAAGUUCACCUGAAGACUUUGCCGAAAAUUGCAUGUCGGAGGCGAUAUUGUACUAGUGAGUGGGUGUCAAGCAACUUCCAAUAAUGCAUGCACAAUCAACAUUGAUUCAUCUGAACCUGAAUACCAACUAAAAACAAAUAGAUCAGAAACAGUUCAAGCGAUUAAGUUCAAAAUAUUGUAGAAGUUUCUCGAACUGUAUAAGCAUUCAACAGCAAUGUUGAACUUAAUCUCUUGAACUGUUUCUAAUUUAUAUAUACGAAUAUUUAAAUAGUAUACCCAAGUGACUAUACUUUUUAAAUGCAUACAAAUUAUUUAAGAAUUAUUUUCAUCUUCCAAUUACGUGUUUCUUCCGUUUUUGUUUUUUUCAUUUCUCUUGUGUGCUAAACAUGAGGUGAAAAUUUAAAAAUUCAAAGGUGUUAUGUUUUGAAUCUGUUUCUAAUUGAGUUUUUCCUUUUCUUUUUUUGUCAAAAAUAGAUUUGACAAUCCCACAUCUAAAGACACCGGAGAAGUAUGAAUUAUAUAUGAUUUUAUGGACAAAAGAUUUUCUCAGCCUAAUAAGGUAUUGAGUUGUGAAUUUGCUGAAGCUUCAUGGCCCAGCUUGAUCGCUUGAUCCUCAUAUCAAUGGGCUUUACCUUCCUUUUGUGCAUUGGGCUACGAUAUAACUUGCAGGUGGCUCUAUCCAUAUCACACCGAGUAGAAUUAUAUAGACGCUCACUGUAGAAUGACUCAUCAAAUUGAAUAUAAGCGAUAAUAUGAUAAGGGGUUCUGAAAACUAGUUGUCAAAUCACCUUUAUUUUUCAAAACAACUUGAAAGUGUUUUUAAUUUUUAGUUUUUUAGUUUUUUAGUUUUUUUUUUUUGCGUUCUUUUUUAUUCACUAAUUUUACAUCACCACAUAUGAAAUGCACUCCAAUUACCAAAACUUGAUAUUUGGGACCUCCCGACUUGGAUAUGGCCGCUUGAUUCUUGCGUUCAGCCAUGGGACCUCCAAAUCCAAAAUUCACCCAAUCUAAUUCUAAAAAAUUCAUUGAAAAAUACAACGAACUGUUUGUAACAUGCACUUUCAUUUUAUGAUCUCAAAUUCACAAUUUAAUCACAACAAAUUCCAUUUUCAAGUUCCACAUAUAACUGAAAAAUGAAAUAAGUUACCAAACAACUUUUGUUCAAUUUUCAUUUUUUUUGAAAAUUGAAACUAGUUACCAUACAAGUUUUUGAGUUUCAGUUUAUAAAAAAAAAAAAUGAAAACUGAAAAAUUGAAGAUUGAAAACUAAAAACGGGGUAAAUUGAUCUAAUUUACAAGUAUUUUGAGAUUCAAACUUGGGUGUCAAAAGAUGAGCUCACCACCUUAACCAACUAACCUAAUCUACGUAUGAUGGUAACUAAGGUUCAUUAGUACAAGAUAAGCAUUUUUAUCUCCUAAAUAGAAAACAAUUUAAAUUAGCACAUGCUUUCAACUUGUGUUGAAUUAAAAAUGGAUGUCAAAUUAGCACGGUUAAAUACUCAUAGGCCAUAUUUAGUGACUAGUAUUGGAUUGGAUUGGAAAAGUCACUAAAUUUAAGGUAUAUUGAAAGAGGAAAUGAAGGUAGGGGUGAAUGACUUUCCAUGUUGGGGGGAUUAAGAGGGAUUAGUUAUAAGGUGUUGUUAUCCUAUUAUUUUAUAGGGAUUAAAUGAGAUAAAUUUUCUUCAUGAGUAAUCCAUCUUCUACUUUCAACUUGAUUAUAAAAAAAAUUAAAAAAUCAUUUCUUCCUUAAAUAUGCUUUAAAUAUAGGAAGUAUCCAAUCCAAUUCAAUACUAAUCACCAAACAGGAUCAUACGGUGCAUUUGGAUGGAGCAAUUCGCAUUAUGACAUAAAUGUGUCACUUGCCGAUAUUCAAUUCCUUGCGAAUAAACUCAAAUGAGUCUUUGCCCUCUACGCAAAACCAUUGACCAAUUUGCGUUUUGGUUCAUACUUCUAAUCGUCUGGUCGCAUUGGGCAUAAUUAGUUGUGAUUCUGUGGAGCAUGAGGUGAGUAAAAAGCAACGCCUGGGUUUCUGGGGAUAAUGCUCGUUUAUUGGUCUCAGUCGUACUCAUAUUCCUAGUAGGUCUCUUUCCACUAAUGUCUGCCACAUUGCAUUUCAUAUGAGAAUAAUUCCUUGGUCCCCCUCCCUCAAACUUCAAAUCAUCGAUGGCUAUUCCUGCUCUGAUAUUAGACAAGUUAUGUAUCCAUAAUCAUGCCCCUUAAAGUUUGUGGAUUAUUCAAACUUAACAUGAUUCUCGAGUUCAAAAUUGUUAAGUUUUUUCUUUAAAAAAAAAAUUUGACUGUCAUGAAGUGGAAGGAUGAGAUCCAAACUCGACUUUUAGUGCAAGAAAGAAGAAAAACUUACCUAUCAUACGUGUAUACAAAUGCACUGUUUACAUGCUUCUCAUCACAUAAACCCGUUUCACGUGUUAGACCAUGCCUACAAUGGUAGAAUUAGGUUGAAUGAUGCAACUAUUCUUAAAAUGUAACUAAUUAAAUGUAUCUAAAAUCAAGUUACAUAUUAUAUCUAACUUAUAUUUGCCAUGUGAAUAUAAUUAAACAAGUUUCAUAAGGUUUUUAAUGUGACGUUCGAUGUGAGAAAGAUAAACAAGUAAUCCAUUGGAGCUCUCCAAGUCCAAAGCAAAAGCUGCAUAACUAAACCUGCAGAGAUCUAUCACCUGAUGCAUUUCCCAUGUGAGAACUCGUGGAGUCAAAAUCAACGUAGGAAGGAAGAAAGGGCUACUUUUGUUCCCUACUGCAGUGAGCAUGUGUUCGCUUUAGACGUGGCUUGCCCUGAUUUGGUACUGAGCCCAGCAACCAAAAAGAUGGAAGCGGGCAACUUUGUCAAAGACGUAGUUGGUAUGUAACUUGUAGCUAAACCUAAAUAGUUAUAUUCUAAAAGCAGAGACGGCUAAUAGCUCCAUCAAAAGCAGGUCCAGUUUUAAGGCUUGCAUGUGCUUUCUGCUUUUGAAGUCCUAGCGCCUAAUCAAGGUCCCCUUAAAUUAAAAUUCAAAAUCUGGUCCCACCCAAAUGUUUUUAUGAUUUGUCGGGAAGGGACAAUUCUGGUAGGGUUUUUUUUCACUUUGUUGGUAGUGGUACUCUGUUUUAACUUUUGGUAUGUAAUCUUCUUGGUAGAUGUGCACUCUCUGCCAGUAUCUCUCUCUCUCUCUCACACGGUCAAAAAUUCUGGGAGACUGUUUGUUUGUCCUUAUUGAAAUUCAAGUAUUGGAUUCUGUUAUUCUGCUGCUUUUGUCUUUUGGGUCUAAGUUGCUUCUUAUUGGGGCAUUGUUCAUGGCUUACCGCACCAAUUCAAAAUAGAAAAAUUGGGUAAUUUCAAAUUGAGUGGAAAGAGAUUUGUAGCUCAUUAAGAGUAGUUAUCAGUGCACUCGAGUUUUUAUGUUUGAAUUCUUAGUAUGGCUCGUAAAAAAUGUUCAAUGCAGAUAGAGAAGGAGGAAAGACAGAGCUAUUUCAUCAAUAUUAGAAAUAGAUUGAUAAUUUAGUAUAAUCAACACUUCCGCACUUGUUUUCUCUUGUACAUCAAGAUUCCCAAACAGAAACCCUAAUGCUGCCUAAGAGUAACAGGCCGAGGUUGUAAUCAUCAUGAAAAUUGACUAAAUAAAGGAAAAGAAAAAAAAGGGAAAAGUACAAAACAUUGGGUAAAAAAGAGAGAAGAAUUGAAGGGAAGAAAAAAGGCAAGAGAUCCUAUAGAAUUUUUGAGCCAUAUAUAUUUGACCCAUUUUUGCAUAGCCUUUUUCUUUCCUCACAUAUUUCACUUCCCUCCAACCUAUAUAUAAUUUUUUUUAAGAAUGUCCCUCGCAAUAGGUCACAAUCUAAAAAUGUGAUCAGCAACGAGAACCCUUUCUGCAGCUAAGUGCACCAGAAGCUGUGGUUAUUGAACCCACUAGAGAAGAUGGCUUUGCCCCCAAGCUUGAAGCCCUUGCAUAGCUUGAGGAAGCUCCAGCUCCUGAUGCUGUAAAAAAUGCACCAUUUAUCAUCAAGUCUCCUUCAGACCUCCAAUUCCAAUUCCUCCAUUCACUUUCUGGUGCAUCCUCAUGUUUUGUCACCUGCACAAGUUUACACUAGAUUAUAAACCGAACCCAUCAUAAAAUUUACUAAUCACAUUUCUAAUAAAGAUGGACCCCACUAAUAUAUGUGAGACCCACCUGUAUUAGAGUUGUGGUUAAUAAAUAUGGUACAAAUAACAUCGCUCGAAUGAAUUUAUAGUAAUUGGGUUCAAACCUCUUUGCUAAAUCUGAUAUCUGGUGCAGCAAAUCUAUUCCCUUGGCUAUUGAUUGUAGGGUUGGCACUGCCUCCAAUGGCAUACAUCUCCCAAUGGGUGUAGUCAUUGUUCACCACAUGGAAAUAUCCAUGCCUACAUCUACAAAUGUGACAGAGAAAAAUUAAUUGAAAGUUUAGCAACAUCAAAAUCAUGGACCAUCAUCAAUUAAUUAAAUUUUACUUUUCUAAUUGGUACAUUAGCUUCUUAAUUACCUUGGCAUUCUCUGGACCAAACCUUCUCCAAAGUGAUUGAAGGCUAUGGUGACUUGCAUGUUCUUAUCUUCGGUAUAAGAAUCGCUAUGCCCAAGCAACAUCACUUUGUCAUGGUGAGUCAUGUAAUUGUUCGAAAUUGUUAUGGCAGUGGACCCAUGAAUUGCAUCAACCAACCCAUCUUUGCAAUUUGACAAAGAGCAAUGGUCCACCCACACGUGGCUCCCACCGAAGAUGGACACACCGUCACCGUCGGAUAUAGUCCUCCACCCGUAGUGCUCUGGGGAGGACCGCACCAUAGCAUUCCCUCCCGGCUUGCAAUCGUGUAUGUGCAGACCAUGAAUGAUAAUGUUGGUCACAAAUUGGACGGUGAUGCAUGGCCCACCAGCAAUGUGCACGCUGGCUCCUCGACCGUCGAUGGUCUUGAAAGAGUUCAUGAUCAGCUCUUCCUUCAGUUGGAUUGUCAUAUCACGCUGGAAGAUGAUCCACAGUGGCUCGUCCUGAAUAACGGCAUGUCGUAGAGUCCCUGGCUUUGGGUUUACAGGGUCGUUAUCCCCUGAAUCCGUGACCACGUAAAUCUUGCCAUCUCUUCCACCAAUGGCAUUUUUCCCAAACCCAAUUGCGCAAUCUGCCAGCCUCUGCCUGUUCUGCUCCCAAUUUGGGUCACAUCGCCAGCAAUCAUCAAUGGGGUUUCCAGUCCCGCAUGACAAGUAGCCCAAGUUCCUCCUAGAAACAGAGUCAUUGAUGCUCCUGCAGCCCCAACAAGGAAAAAAUGUCAUAUUUUUUCAAGUGUAGUCUAAUGUACGAGGAGAGGAAUUGAACUCGGAUGCAAAAAGACGGGCACAAUGCCGUGACAAAAGAGAUGUUAUAAAUAUAAAUAUGCAAGUUAGUUCUUGAGAGCUACCAUAAUAAUUAUUGGUGGAGCCUUACCUUUGUACAUCUUGUACAACCAAUUCAGGGUUUUGCUGCAGUGGUCUGGAGGCAAUGAGGGUUGGGGUGAGGAGACAGAAGAGGAGGAAGCUGAGGAGAGAGAGAGGUGAGGGGCCUAAGGAGGGCCUCGCCAUUUUGGCCUUGUGUGUGUUUUAGGUGUGCAAGGCACUAGGGUAGCAAAGCAGAGAGGAGAAAAGGAAGUGUGUUUGUGAGAGAUGAAUGGAAAAGAGACGAGGAGGGAGGGUGUAUAUAAAGAGAUUUUAAAAGGGGCUAAUUAGCAUGAUUAAACUAAACAUGUGGGACCCAAGGCCUUCGUGAUUUCAGUUUUUUACGGGAUUCUAAUUGGUAGUUUUUGCCGUUAAGCAAGCCUUGAAUAAUGGUAGAAAAAUAAAAAAAAACAAAAACCAAAUUGAAAACUAACCCCAUCUCAAUAUCUUGUUUUCUACUCUCAGUGGGGGGCAUGUUGGUUUGCUUUCUUGCUUCACUUUUCUUUUCAUUUGAUUUCUUUUUAUGUUUCGGGUAGUUAGGAUUCUGUUUUUUUGUUAGUAAAACAAGCUAAGCUCAAACAAAAUGUAAAGCUCCGAAAGGAACAUGCGUAUUGAUACACUCUUCUUGUUAAUCUCGUGACAAAUUCGUAAAUUUUUACAAGACAUGUAAAUGUAAAGUAUACGUUGGAACACGACUCGUUUGUCAAACAUGGAGAUUGAAAAUCUUUUGAUAAUACUAGAAGCCCCACCUGACCUGCAUGUGUUGAAAACACCUGCUUUAUAAUAAUGAUUUCCCGAUCCUUAUUAAUUUCUCCACUGCAUCAAGUUAAGCCGGUAGAGUAGGUUACUCUUUAAGACGAUGCACAAUUUAAGGUAAGACCCAAAAGCAUUCCCUUUGAAUUAUUAAAGCCUGGUCGCAGUUCACGUUGCCAACGACAGUGACACAAACGAAGACCUCAACACGGGGUGGAAAAAUAAGUGGGAGAAAAAUGGUGGUUGUUGCUUCCCGUUUUAUUUACACAUUUUUUUAGUCUAUUUUUUUGGCCCCUAAAAUUGACUUAUUUGCCAUUGUCACUAUUUUUUUCUAUGAAUCCGAAAAAUUGAAGCACUAAAAUAGAAAAUGUCACAUGCGAGUUUCCGGCAGCAGACAUGAAGAUGAUCAUAAAAAGAAGAUGUUUCUACUUUAUUUUAUUAUAUUAGAAAAUUAAGUACACCAAGGACUCAUCAGUACACUAGCCAUGCGUGACAAAGUUUGAUUCAGUAAUGAUUCAUAUAGUUAGUUGGGAUUUUUACUUUUGAGUAAUUACACAUAUCAUGCAAUAAUUAUAUUCUGGGCUAUCUCUAAUCGCGAGAUUUUUUUUGCAUUAGAAGCAUACUCUAUCGAGCUAUAAAUUCGAAAACAGUUAUACUUCUUUAAGCAUUUACAAAUAGAAGAUACGUGAUUAAUAAUGUGAUUAUGAUAAUACAUUACAUCGAGCGCAAUAAAUUCGAAAGCGACUACAAUUUUUUUUUUUCCUUAGGUACUCGCAUGAGCUAUAAUUGGAUAAGGCACUCAAAGUUGUGACACAACUGUGAUGUAUUUUCGCAAUGCCAGAAAUUAUUGAGGAAGCAGAAGCAUAUGAAAUCUGUUAUUUCAGAAUUUAAUUGAAGCAAUUAAUUAGACGUAAAAUCCUCCUGACAUAGGCACAUGCUUUUGCUCACAAAAUCAAACCGCAAAGCCCAGUAGGCCCAACCAACUCUCCCUCCCUCUUCAUUUUCUUCAAUAUAAUAAAUUUUCUUAGCCGCAAACUUCGCCGGGAUUAUUCCAAAACCUCGGGCCCACCAUGCUGACAUGGAACAAUGGUGACAUCCUCAGAUGCCACGUGUCACCAAGGAUGGUGGUGGCGGCCCAUUUGCUCGCAACGAUUUUAUUCUCAGCCGACGAUACGACUGUCGUCUCCACGAAUCAUGGCCGUGGAUCGUGGAUGCGAGGGCCGGUCGCAGCCGUCGAAUUGUUCGAUGGUGGGGUAGGAUCGACUUUUAAAAAGCAACGUGAAGGUCUUUGUUAUAUGCAGUUGGCAGAGAGGGUGAUGAAAUAGAAAAGGCAGGGCCAAGCAAAGCCAUGUUAGCUGUGGGGAUUUUUAUAUUUUAUUUUGGUUGGUAUUUUGGUAUUUUUGGAUAGUGGAAGUGGAGGGUGAGUGAAAAUUACAUAUCAACCUACACAUCCAUUCAACACGUGGUGGCCAGGUGUGAUGCCAUUUGGCAUCAUCUCUCAUCCAAUAGUUUUCUUUCAGAUGCACAUGCUGAAGUUUGUUAUUUCAACAUCAAUCAAAGACGAUGUUCACAAAAUUUUUGAGUCCAAUUUUCCCAAAUCGGCUGCCUAAUUUAGGGGUUUCCUUCCCCCUCUCCCGUGUGAAAUCUGAUUUUGUGGACUAAGCUUGUUUUUCUCGAGGUGUAUUGCGGUUUAUAUUACACACAGAUACAGUAGCAUCCGACAAUCACUCACGUGUAUAUUCUUAGAAUUUGGCUUUGUGAGUUAAGAAGUCUAACUGUUUAAGUUAGUGGGUCCAAAUUUUACAAGCUAAUUGAGGAGUAUUUCAAGUAUGAGAAGAUUAGUCAAGUUUUCUACAUAGACUUUUUGGUAGGAUGUGCCACCGACAUUUUAUUUCGAUGAAGAUUCGUAAUUUUGUUUUCAAUUCGUCUUCUUCUUAGAUUUAUCUUGUCAAGACAAAGAAAAGAAGAAUCCAUUUGCCAAACAGAAAAUCCUACAAGAAGGUGAAUAGGGCAUAAAGGUGGACCAACAUGGCCAGUAAUCACCUAACUUAAUUUAGGUGUAUUAGACAAACACACCAAUUAUUAGCAAUCUAAUCUCUGAUUGUAAAGACUUUAAACCAGUGGUAGACAAGCCUUUUAACCACUGGUAGACACGAGAGGAAAGAGCAAAGCAAACCCUACCAUGUUCAAGUGGGGGCUAUUUGGUGCUCUCAUUUUAAGCCUUGAUGUAAGCCUUUGAUGGAUCUUCCCAACCUACAAAAUAGAUUAGAUAACAUGAAUGCUGAAGCAGCCAGCAGUCCAGCACUUGAGAUGAGAGUCAUAAAGCCAAUCCAUACAACUGAUAAAUGCAAAAUAAGUGGUGUAGCGUUAUGCUUGAUACACAGGGAUGAGGUCCCAUAGAAGCCUUCAGGUACACAAGACAAUUAUUAUGUAUACGAAAGUUAUACAUCGCUAAAUUCAGUCGAGAGGAACUUUCCUGUCUCGGUUUUAUUAUGGUCAAUCACGUGAGAAGAAAGACAGAGAGGGGAUAAUGAAAUGGGAUCAGGAAGUAUUUUCCAAGUCAGAUAAAUAGAUUGCAAAAGCAAAGUAAUUUCACUAAUGAAUUAUGAGCAAAACGGUACUUGUAAAUUAUGAACCUAAGAUUGAUGAUAGCAGCAGGUAAUUCUUAACCAGAAUUUGAGAGAGGAAGAGAGGAGGGGGAGGGAGUUUUAUAUCUGAACAACACAUCACAUAAUCAUAUAAAGUCAUGUGGCAUGGUCUCAAUACUAUCAUGUUUAACUCAAUAUUUGCUAGACCUAAUCAUAUCAAAACUUUGUCUUCUUAGCUACUUAACCGAGGCAUAAUUGUCUCCCACUUUAAUCAACAGAGCACGACUCUUGGUUAAAUGUCAAAACCUUCACAUGUUCAAAUGAUUGAUUACUAGCAAUGCAAUCAUCCACUUUUGUUAUCGUUUUGGGUGCUUCUUCUUCUGCAUAUACCUUUUCCAAUUUUGUUCCUUGUCUCCCCUUCCCAAAUUGGCUAAGUUUCAGCUCAAACAGUACCAAUUUGAAUAUCAGCAAAAGCAGAAACAUCUAUAUAAAGGUUAAACAGAUGAUGAUCCAUCGAUUACAUAUUGGGCCAGCAAUGGGAGAAGGGCUUCUCGCAGGCCUAGUAACACUAGCUAUAUCUCCCACAAUCUUGUAUCAAACAAGUAAAUAAAUAAAUACAUAAUGUCGUAAAUAUGAAUUAGUUAAAACAGAGGGUGAACAAUAUUAUUGAAGUUAAAGUUGAACCCUAUUCACAACAAAAACUAAGAACCAAAUCUUUAAUUUAAUAAACUAAAUAGCACCCGCAAACUAAGAAACCACAUCUUCAUUUAAUCCUAAUUACAAUAUAAUUUUAUUUUCCAGAACAUAAUACCUUUUUUGUAGAAAAAAAUUAUGACAGAAGUAUCAGUAACCAAACUUAAUUCAAAUCAAACACAACAACUAUACUGAGUCUAAUAAAACAAUCAAGCAAACACGAGUGACUAAUACUCAGCUGUCAAUUAGCUAGCACCCAAAAAUAAGGAAGGUUACUACUAAAACAAAGAACAGCAAGAUGUAGCAACGAGGGAAGGAUGAGUUUCCAACAAGGACCAUGGUCAAGAAACAUAUCAGAAAGAAGAGACAUCACAAUAGCUAGGGAAGAUCUAAAAGAUUAAGGAUGAAUUAACUACACAUCUCACACAAAAAGAACAAUGACGACAUCAUCAUCACACACCACUCUUUCAAAUUGAUACACUUUUCAAUUGAAGCAAUUAAAGGUAAAGAGGACUUCGUACUAUUUCUCGUGUACAACUAUAACAAGCAAAUUCACCAUUUCUAUAGGAAGUAGAGAUUCAGCUUAGCUAAGAAUCAAAAGAUUCCAAUUCGACAACUCAAUCAAGGGAUCACCAAUUUGAAUUUUGAAAGCACCAUACCUUUAGUUGUCUCAUUGCGCUACCUACCAUACUAAUGCACGUUAGAGACGAAGGGUGGAUGCCCAUUGGCGAAUAAAGAGAGUGCAAACUAAACAAUAAAUUCCACCAUCUAUACUGGUGAGGACAUUUGACCAUCUGGUUGACUACUUGUCUUCUCGGAGCACCGUCCGACCAAUCUAACUGCCAGAAUGGAAUACCAGGAUGUUAUCUGAUAUGCUGGCAGAUGGGCAAGUAGAUGGUUGAGAAUACAACUUUAAAGUCAACACAGAUACACUAUCAAUCCCUAGAGACCUCAAAAGAAAUCCUAUGUGAGUCUAAUAUUUUACUGUACUGAACUAUGGAACCACUUCAAAGCACAACCAUGUCACGAAGACAAGCAUUCUUUAGUCCAGCAAGCAUCAGACCAGCGCAAAGCAAAUAGUAUCUUGAUUUGUCUUUUGCGAUACUCAUUAGAGCCUAUAUCAUCUACAAAAGAAAAACGAGCAUAACAUACCACAGGGGACCGAAUGGAACUUCUGUUAAAUGUGAUGUUCCAUUGAACUGUAUGUUGACACGAGGUUGUCAACCCCUUGAACAUUGAUAAGUGCAUUAACAUUUCGACUGACAUAAGAGCAUCAACAACCAAUUCAGAAAAACCAGAAAGCACCAAAAGAACACUGAAUCAAACAAGGAUACAACAGCAAAACAAAAUCUUGAAACUACCAUGAAAGCUAGCAUUGGGACAAAAGUAAAUAUAGCUAAUAACUCAAUUAAUGUCUUAUAUGCUACUAAGAGAAGUAAAACGAAGCUUGAGCAUAUAAUCUAAAAUGAUAAAGAUUUUAAACCAAAUGAUCCAUGUGUAGCCUAGAUAUCUAGCCUGAUGCACCAACCUAGGAAUGAAUCAAAUCUGAUAGAAAUGCAGGUACUAACAGUUAGGAUACUUUGUAAUGCUAAUAUUGUGACUCUAUCCACAAAACUGAUUUGAAAGCAUAACUUGCAUCUCAAACAAUCAGUAACUGCUGUAUAUCUUAAAGUUCAGAAAAAUGGAAAACUAAGUCAGACAAAAUCUAGAAACCUGGAGGAACCUUAGGAUAGUAACAGAAAGAGAAAUCCUAAUGGAUGUGAUCUAUCAGCAAGAUUAUCUUUCAUAUAACCUUAUGAUGCCUACACCGAAAGUAAGAGAGUACAAAAAUUAGCACUUACCGACACUCUAGGUAACACUGAAAACAUGAAAAUUGUGGGAAAACAUCCGUGCAUAUGGUUAGAACUGUAGCACUUAUAAACCAUACGCACAAUCAUCUGCGAAGGAAGCAUGCACUCUUCAACCAUACUAAGACGACGACUGCUAUAUAACUAAGAGAAUGAAUACGCUAUAAACAUCUAUUCAAACCAAAUAUAUGAAUACAUUUGAUCAGAAAAAUGAGAUUGUUGAUUGUUAAUCCCAAAGUGUAAUGUAUCUUAUUGUAAACUUAACAAUUCUCAUAUUCUAUAAUUUAAGCAAAACAAGCCGAUAAUUCCAUUAAAAUUUCUCAGACAAUGCAUAAUACUUCUAAAAGUAAACCUGAGUGAAGAAAUUAGAGUUCAGAAUCUUCUGAGAACACAAAAGUCUAAUCCUAAACCCUCACUACCACAUCAAGCCCUGGACUUUCGACGAAGACGCUUCCUGAGCUUCUUAUACUUGUGUUUGUUCAUCUUCUUCUUCCUCUUCUUCUUAACACUGUCUGCCCAAAUCGUCCGUGCAUCAUCAGAUUCGACCUCAACAGCCUCAAAAGCACCCAACUGCUCGAACCCAGUUGAGGACAUUGGAUUCAUGCAAUACCCAAAUGGAAAAUUGGGGAAAAUGGGAAAGGAGUUGGAAGUUUCAACAUUGUGAAAGCUUGAAGGACCCAAAUGGGGAACUGAGUUUUCUGAGCACUCGGGUUUGGGAUGGCCGAGAUGGCUGUGAUGGGAAAUGACAGAAGGUGUGGGCUUGGGAAAAAGAUGGGUUUUGAGUGAUGUUACUGUUCGUAGGGAUGGUGUAUUUUUGUUGAGUUUGUGAAGAAAGCUGGCCAUUUGGGGGCAGAGAGAAGUAUUGAAAUCGAUGAAGAAGAAGUUACAGUGUUACAGAGUAACUCACUCCUUGGAGUUUGCUUAUGCCGAAAAGGGUUUCAUUUCGAAGAGGAGAAUGGCGAUGUUGGCUGUGAAUCGCUACAAGAAGAGAGAGACGACGACGUCGUUUCGCUAAUAGACUUUGUAAACGACAGCAGUGUGAGUAAAACGACACUGUCUUCUUCAAGAUAAAAAGAGCGCCAGCAACUCAUACAAAAAGAAAAAAAAGAAAAAAAAGAAAAAAGGGCGUCUGAAUCUCUCACUCGUCUCUCCCAUGGAGGAAAAUACUUUCGAACCUGUAAAACCCUAAUUUAUUCUCUCAAUUUUACUUCUGAAUGUUUAUUUAUACUUCUUACAUUUUGUUUUAUAUAUUUUUCAGGAUCUUGUUCAUGCCAUUUUCAAGCUCGUCUGGUCCAGUAGAGCUCUCGGUUUGAAUUCCGCGCCAUUUUUGUUCAUUUUGCUCCAUUAAUUUACAACCUCUUCUUCUUUCUCAUAUGUCUUGUCCGUUUCUAUUUCGAUUUCCAGAGCGUCAAAUGAUUGAAGGCACCGAUGCUUUGGACUGCGAGGUACUUAUUGUUCUUUCUCAUUUUCACAAAUUGAUUGCUAUUAAGCUUUAUGGAACUGAUUUAGGGCAAGGGAGAAAAUCCUAAUCUUCAGCUUUACUGAUCAGCUAAUUUUGGGCUGCUAAUUGGGGCAGGUAGGAGCUGGAACAUCUAAGAAAAAUCGCCCCACAUCAGGUUUCUCACAUUAUAGUUUUUACAAUUUUGAUGGGAUUCUUUUUUAUAUGUAAUGGAAUUUUUUCUUAUUCAUGUUAUUUUUGUUGUUGUUUCUCCGCUCCAAAUUUGUUAUGCAGCUAAUGGGAAUGCCGUAAAACUGAGUUGUGAACUUCUCCGUAACUUUGUCAUAGGUUUUUACACAAACUUUUGGUUGCUUAAUUGAGACUAUGUGCUCAUACUUUGUGUGUGUUUAUUGUGACAUUUUAAGAAAGCAAUUUGUGUUGAGGCAGAGGCUGUGCAGCGCGCUGCUACAAUUGCUGAAGCAGAGGGUGUGAGUAAGAUUGAAGCAACUCACUUGGAGCGGGUUCUCCCACAAUUGCUUUUGGAUUUUUGAGGUAUUGAAAAGGAUCUUUUUCUUUUUUUCUUUCCGUUGCUUUUAUUUUGUUUUUCUUAUGCUUACAAUUUGAAUCCUUAAGAAUAUGAUUUCUUUGGAAAGUAAUACACUUGCGAUAAACUGGAGCCCUCAUAGGCCUCUAUAUGUCCACGAGACACAAAAACAAUGUUUGCUUUGCUUAAGAAAACCCUCACAUCAGUUUUAAUGUACUUGCCAUUGAAACUGAAGCUUGAUGUUUAUUUUCUGUAUCUGUGCUUCCAUAUAAUUCACAUGGUGAAACCAAUAAAUUUUUUUCUCUCUCUUUCUGUUGGUUGAAAACUAGAGAUAUAAACAAGGUAAGUGGACUUGAUUACUGCCUACGCAUAAGGUGAAAUCUAUACUUAUAUUCAUAAUUUCAUACUGCUCAAAAUGUUUUUUCUUUUGUCCAUGAGACACAAAAACAUGUCUUCUUUACUCGAGUGAACCCUUAGGUCAACUUUAAUUUACUUGUUGAAAUUGAAGUCUUGAUGUUUGUUUUCAAUUUUCUCUGCUACCACGUGAUUCACAUGGUGAAUCUGAGAAAAUUCUUCUUUGGUUUUCUUCUCGUUACGGUAAAUAUUUUGAAUUAUUAAACAGGAUAGUGGACCUGAUUACUGCUCUGUGCAUUUAAGGUGUUGACAUCACCAGUGAUUUUCAUAAUGCUUUGAUAAAUUUUUCUUAUGAAGGACAAAUGAGAUAAAGAGAAAAAUAUUUUCCAAAAGAAUAGGUGAAAAUGCACUAGGCAUGAAAAGCACUUGCCGGAGAAGUUGAUUUUUUUCUUCACAAAAGGCACUUUUAUUGUCUUUAGGGAUAGUAAUGGAAUGCACUUAUGUGGAACCUUCCUUUCUGUGGGCUGCACUUGCAUGGAAAUUUCAUUUUCUCAGUGGAAAUUUCAUUUUGUUUUGAAGCAUGAAUUCUUUCGAGGCAUGUCUUUUGGUAAUUUGACAGACUGUUUUGGUUCAGGUUUCAAAACUUGCCCGACUUGGAAGCAUCUACAAUAAGAAUGUUUCUUAGGAACCACAUCUUGUAUGAGACUGUUGUUUCACUAAUACGGGCUCACUUUGUCAUUUUUAAGCUAGAGUACUCCCUUCUAUUUCUGUUGAAAAUCUUGAGAAAUGGGAGUUGCAAGGUUUACGGCGUAUACGAGCAGGCCAUUUUGUUUUCUUUUCCUUUCUGUUAUAUAUGAGUAAACCGAAUUCGAUAUGUAGAUUUGCUAAUGACUCACUCUUGAUUGAAUGUAUACAUUCUUCCUUAUCUAUACCCACAGGCUAUAAUUACAUAGAUGAUUAUUGUAAGCCUUCCUUUAAUUAGUAUUAGGGUACAUGAUGAAAUUGACUCUCAUUCCACCCUUAUUCCACUCACUCAAUUAGCUCCACUAGGUGACCGGAGACUGGAUUAGUAAAGAUGAGCUCUGUGAAAGAUAAGUCAGGGAUAAAACUUGAACCAAAUUGUCUGAAUACAAAUCUAUACAAAUCUCUGUGCUGUAUUUAACUGCUAAUAUCGUUCAAAGUGAAACACAAUGGUUUCUUAUUCAUCAUACUAUCUCAUUACAUAACAUACGAUGCUAUUUGAUCAUAUAACAUAUGAAAAGAGGGAAACAGAGACAAUCUAUCUAGUAGGAUUCCCAUUGAUUUCAAACACAUGCUUGGGUGCUUAGUGCUUGAUUUGAGACAACAUACACCUAACGUCCUUGCUAUUAGGCCUCUCCUUGGGGUUCUCCAGAGUGCAAAAGCAAGCAAUCUUGAGAACCAAGAGCAUUUGCUCCUCAUAUCCAUUUCCCAACAAUUUUGAGUCAAUUGCCUGCUUAGGGUCGUCUGAAGUCAUCACAUUCUUCAGCCACUUAACCAAACUCAUCUCAUUAGUGUUCUGGAAAAACUCAUCAGAUGGAAGCCUUCCCAUCACCAGAACCGCCAACAACACUCCGAAACUGUAUAUAUCGCACCUGUCUGUGAACUUGAGUGUUUGAUGGUAUUCUGGUGCAAUGUAGCCAACAGUUCCCGCCACAUUCGAAGUUGUGAUAUGCGUGUGGUAUUCCGGCACUGCUUUUGCAAGCCCAAAAUCUGCAAUUCGAGCUUCCAUAUCAUCAUCAAGCAGGACAUUUGCUGGCUUGAGAUCUCUAUGAAUGAUGUGAGGUUUGUGGUUCAUGUGAAGGUAUUCAAGCCCUGCAGCCACUCCCAGUGCAAUCUUGUGCCUAGUAAGCCAAUCCAACUCUCUCGUUCCCUCCGACACUUGAUUCAAUAUGUCUUGCAAGCUUCCAUUCUUCAUGAACUCAUAGAUCAGGUAAUGACAAUCCGGUCGAGACACAUGAGCCAACAGAGGAAGAAGAUUUCGGUGCCUAAUUUGACCCACAGUGUUGAUUUCUGAUCGGAUUUGGCGCAUUUUCUUGUUCAUCAGCUUACUGUCUUCAUCAGCAGUCAGCUCUUCAGCAUCUUUAGGGGGUUGAAUAAUCUUCUUUAUAGCAAUCAUUCUGCCAUUGCUUCCAGGUAAUUCAGCUUUAUAAACCUCUCCACAUCCACCUCUUCCUAUAAGUUCCAGAGAAGCCAACCCAUCUUCUUUUUCCAGGAAAGCCAAGUCCUCCUUCCUUUUAAUCAGAGAACUGAAAAUUGCUGGGCCUGAGUCUUUGCCUCCACCUCUUACCACAGCUAAGAGCAGCUUAAAAAGCAGAGAGAAGAUGAACCCGGAUAUGCUCCCAGCCAGAGCGCCAGCGAAAAAUCCGAGCAGCCACCCUCCUAGCUUCUUCUUGUUGUUCUUAUGCUUCUUGUGCUUUGGUGCUGGAGAUGGACCUGGAGCAUUAGAAGCUCCGCUCCCAGAGGGUGCAAGAGCUGCACCUGAAGUAUUGUUGUGCCUUUUUGUGCUCGAAUUCUCAGCCAAGAUGUAACGUUUUGGCACUUCAGAUGCUGAAAUCUCGACCCUUUUCAUUGUAGGCACUGAGCCUUCAAGGAGUUCAUUUCCAGCAAAGUUGAAGAUCCGAAGAUUGCGAAAGGAACGAAUGGAAGCUGGGAUUUUGCCAGAGAAGAAAUUGUCAGCAAUGGAAAGUUUUUCCAGGUUGGGAAAAAGCUUGAGGAAACUCAAGUUCCCGGAAAACUUGUUGGACGAGAGGUCGAGGAUUCGAAGGCGAACGAGCUUGGACAACUGGGCUGGAACUUCCCCGGAGAACUGGUUGUUUCUGAGGUUGAGAAUCUCAAGUUUCCGGCAGUCAACGAUUUGAGACGGGAUUUGGUCAACAAGGCUGUUGUCUGCAAGAGCUAUCUCUUUGAGCUCGGAGAGCCGCCCAAUUGCCGGAGGCAGAAACCCGUGAAGCCGCUGGGAUUGAAAGACCAGCCUGGUGAUUUUGAGGACGUAAGUGUUGUUGUUUGAGAGCCUUCGCUCACAGAAAACACCAGGGGUGUUGCAUGGUGUUGUUUGAGGUUUACUUAUUUGGAGGCCCAAGUUUUUUUGGAUGAUGGAGAGGGCUUGGAGAUCUGAAGGGUCGAGAUUGAGCCUUGCAUGGAUGAGGAGGAGGAGGGAAAGGAAGGUGAGGACGCAGAGGUGGGCUUUGCCUGAGAAGGCUUCCAUUUUUUGGCCGGAAAAGCUGUGUUUGAAGUUUGAACUAAUGCUAGCUCAUACUCGUGUUGGUUGGCUUGGUUGUUUGUUUUUUUGGUUCUUUAUAGCCGGAGGCUGUUGAAUUAUGAAUGGUAUGUGGAGCCCAUUCACAGUAAAUCCAAGUCUCAAAUCAGACAAACCUACUCUAGUUUUGUAAUAUAAUUAAAUUAACCAUCACAUUUCUAACCCUAUUUAAAUUAAAUUAAGCUAGUUUAAUAAUGUAUCUUUGAAAAAAUAACAUAAGAGUGUCCCUUCGGAGACAUAUGAUAAAAUUGAAACGAUACAGAGAAAAAAUAAAAUAAGAGUAAAAGUGAUACCCAACCCAAACUGAGUUACCAUUAGUCUACUUUUUCUUGAUCUCUUAUUGUAAAUUCCAUCAUUUACAUGGUAUCUUGUGUUUGCAUGAUCUUUAGUAGUUGUUUGUAAAAAUCUAAAUCCCUAAGGUGUUUUUUCUUCCAGAAUAAUUAAAAUAUACUAACUAUUAGUUCUUCUUUCGGUUACAUGGAAUGCCAUAGUCAAAGAGAGAGGAGAAUAUGGCCUUGAAAGUAGGGUUAAGUGCUGACCACCCUGGAGUUAAUGGCCUCACAAUACUAACUUCAUAAAUUGAUUGAAGAGGUAAUAUGACUCAACUCAUAAAUUAGGACAUUUAGGAGGGUUAAUUAGUACUGUUUUGUUCGAUACAAGCAAUAUAAGGAGAUGAUAAAUCGAAUAUAGAACUUCAAGUGUAUGGAUGAACACUUUUAGUCUUAGCCAACUAAACCCUAUUUAUCUUUCGUGUGAAGAAACGUUUAACUCAUGAUUAAAAAAAUAAAAAAAAACAAAAAAAAACAAGAUUCACAAUUGUAAUGGUCUUCGAGCCCCCAUAUACACGCUAACAGGUGAAUGCCAAAUGGAUGCAUAGUCUGCAAACUCAAUUCUAAUUCCUAUUCCCCCUUUCAUCGGGCAAAACUAAUUAGCUUGACUUGGAAACUUCCCAUAGUCUUUUAGUCUUCGGGUCAUCGCCUCUCAAAUCACCAUCGGUCAAGUCAACGGAAAAAACAAGGCAAGUCUUUGGGAAAUUUCUGGCCGUUGGAUCAAAUAUUUUAAAUACGUAUUUGAUAUUGACCCGAAAAGGAUUAAGAUUAAAGAUUCCCACCCGCUUCAUUGGUGGGCCAGAAGUUGCUCACAAAAGUCACCACUAGCCCAGUCGCCAAGCCUCUCCCAUUAUUUGUGUAUUUGUCAUCACUCCGUGUUGAAUUCCAAGGACGGGCUCCAAGAAAAUGAAGCACAAGAAGAAGUUAUGGUUGGUUUUUUAUUAUGUCUAUCGACGCAAAUAUGUUUCACCUACCAGUCUCUAGUGAUAAGGUUUGGAAAAAUAGUAUUAUGAGUCCGUUUGAUAACAAUUUUAAUUUUAACUUUUUGUUUUCAUUUUUAAAUGUUACUAAACGAACUCUAUAAUUAACUGAAUACAUCUAAUGAUCUAAAUACACCUUAAUAUUUUAAUUAAAAUGAAAAAUUAACUAAGUACAUCCUAUUUAACUACCAAAAAUACUUCGACAUCCUAAUACACUUUAUCACACAAUACCCUAAUGCCAAUCCUAAGUAGUUAAUUAUGAGUACAACAAAUGAAACAGACCUAGAUCAUAAUAGGCCAAGAAAUUGACAAAUUCCUUAUAAUCUUUGGAAAAACCAAAUCAGACACAAAUCAAAAUACACAGAGAUAGCACAGGAAGCAACAAGAGGCCAAGAAAUGAAUAUGGGGUGAGCCCAAGACAAAGAUCAAAGAGGCCAAGAAAUCACACUUUCCUCUGCUUCUUUUUGGUUCUUCUGUGACCCCCCAAAAAAGACCAAGAUUACUCCUGUAGUAUCAUUGGAAUUCCACCCUUUUUAAAUAUCAAUAAUUAUAUUGCUUGAAUUCAUUAGCAAUCAUAAUCAGCCGAUAAAGAGAAAAGUAGCCUUCCGGAUUAAUAGAUCAGUGGAUCUAGGGAUAAAAUGAUCGAACCAUUGAAGUCUACAACAAUAAAGGGUAUCGCAAAAUAAUGGGCUUGAUUAUCAGAUUUUCUCUUUCUCUGUUCUUCUUUGUGACUCUUGCAUACUUAAAUACUUCCAAUCCAAUCCAAUCCCAUUCUCCUCUGUCCUCCCUUCUUUCUUUUUCUUUUAUGUUUGAUUAUAGUCGAAUAUGGUGAGUAUGGUGUACUUAUUAAAUUUAUAUUUAUUUUACAAUUCAAUAUAUCUUUUUUGUUUUCAUUUUUGUUACUCAUUCUUUAGUGGCGGACCUACAGAAGCGCAAGGAGGUGCACCUGCACAUCUCCUCGUCGGAAAAAAGCCAUGGAUGUGUUAGAUUUGCCCCUCUGCGCUAGCGCCCAAGGUUUGAAAGCGUUAAAUAAGGGUUCUGGAAAUCACCUCCUGGAGCUAAUCAUUUGGCAAGUUACACAUACUAGCAUAGUUCAAGGCGAUGCGAGGUGCACGAUGUGUUGUAGAGGUGUCUCUAAUGGAGGCUGGGGCAUCUCUAAUGGAGGCUGAGGAGAUGGUUCACAAAGGAGGAAGAUAAAUCUACACCCUAAUUUUCUUUUUCACAUACAGACGUCGUCUUUUAGUUUUGUUUAAUGAAACGCACGUUUCAUUGAAGCUUUUAAAGUCAACCUCUACUGUUUUUGGUGAAAUAAAACUCCUUUUUCUGCCCAAACUUUGACAAAAUUAAUAAAUAAACAAUAAAUGAAUAAAAACCUUACUUACAGCCCAACUAGUUAAAGUGAAACGUUGAAUCUUGACCGCUCUGUUGAAACCAAAUCGUUAUCAGUACAACAUAUAUGUAUGUAUAAUUCCACAAACCUCCCCUAGCUUGUUCUUAUUUCUUUAGCAAGUCAGUCUAGAUAAAAAUUGUUUUAAGAUUGAUUAUUUUGCUUCAAUUACUUAAUUAUAGCUAUUGUAAUAUAUAUAUAUAUAUAUAUAUAUAUUAUAAUAAUAAUUUUAAUAUAUUCUUUAAUUUUUUUAAAUUCCGUCCUAUCAAACUGUUACUGCGCCUUCCUUGAAAACUUCCUGGAUCCGCCACUGUCCUUCCUCCAAUCUCAUCUUCCCUCUCACUUUCAUUCUCCCUCUUUUUUACUUUAUACUCUAGCACAAAAAAUGAAAACUAAGAACUAAAAUUAAAAUAAUUAUCAAACGGGCCUUAUACACCGAAAUCUCUCUUUUCUUUUGACUAUUCUGUCAAUAUCACCUUAAACUUUAUAAUGCAUUGUUUGAUCGGGCGGAAUAUUUUGUUGAAUGCUAUUGCAACUUAUAUUGGUGUCUCUUUCGUACAACUUUCCUUAGAACACGAACCCAUGUCGUAUAAAGUCAUAAAAAAGAAAAGUAGACCAAAAUGAAUUAACAAGUGAACAGAUACAUAAAACCUUAACAACGUGCACCCUGCACUCUCCUAAUCAAUAAUCAAAAUCUAAUCAGACUCUAAGUUAUAGAAGCUGAAGGAGUUAUAGGCAUCUAAGCCUUACAUAUAAUAAGUGAUGAAGAAGGUAUCAAAUUUAAAGCCAUGUGAACAAGUACAUACCUUGCUUGCUUGCAAGAAGUUCUCUAGUUAAAGUUAAAGCCAGAGCCAGGGAUGCAUUUUGUAAUGAUUAGUUUCUUUUUUAAACUAGGGCAUAUAUCCCUCGUCAUGUCAUUUUGACAGCUGCUUACUUUUUAACCGGUGCGAAACACAUGCAUGAUCAAUUUUUUAACUUCCGUUCAUGAUCAAGAAAGAAAUUAUGACGCAACUAGGCCAUGCAUAAAAUCCUUGCGUAAGCUAUGCUUGCUUCGGCUACACGGGGGAUGUGUGAAAUAGGAUCCUCUACUAUAGCCAAUUAGGAAGGCUAUCACGUUGACUGCAUGUAAUGUUUUUGUCUUCAUUGCAGUCAUUGUAAUUAUAAAGCUUAAUAUGGAAGAUCAGAUUGACUUGUACUUGGCAAGCAAUGAAAAGCUAUAGAAACAGAGGAACCGAGAGAUGAAGAAGACGACUCUUUAUUUCAUUGCUUUUCUGAACAGAAUGAAUUGCACAUUUUUAUAUGUAAGAGAAAGCUCAUCUUUCUGACAGAAUUGGGACAACUGACAUGGACCGAGUUUUCAUUGGCAAGGCGGCAGGCUUCUCCGCUCUCUUGCGGCCCCGAAAUGCUCUUUGUGGGUUUAUAACUGCCAAUUCUUUCAACUGCAGCAUCUGAGAGUCAGUCAAAUUGUUGAGAUCGAUUCCCUUGGUAAAUUGCCACCAGAAAUAUCUAAGGAGCACAUGAUUCUUUAAGUCCUCGGCCGUGAGAGCAAAUGCUUCAACCCUUGUAAUGGACCUAACAUUUUUAUCCGAGAUGGGUAACUCAGUGGAGGGGGGAAAUUUUGAUGCCCAACUUAUCAGUUCUUCUCCAUAGAAAUCACCUUGCUUAAUAUGCUUAGGUGUUGUGGGAUCCUUUUUUACUCCGUUACUAGUUGUGUAGCUGCGAACAGUCCCUUGCGUGACCAAGAGGAUCAUAUCAAGGGCCUCGCCCUCUCGAAUAAUAAAACUAUCCUUAGCAUAGAUCACUGGCUUAAAAUGAUCACAGAUUCCUUUCAACUCUUCCAAUCCAUCUAUGUCUUUAAGCUUCGGAACCUAAAUAUGUAACGAGUUAUUCCUCCUUACAAGUCAUAGUAUACACCAGAAACGAUUGCUCAUUAAACCAAAAAGUAUAUAGAAAGAAAAGAGAAAUCACAGGGGAGUACAUAUGUAACUUACUUUCCUUAGCGUAGCCAAGCAGAGACAGCGCUUGACAUAGCUUAAAUAGUCCGGGGGAAGAACAAAGAGGAUCUCCACAUGAACAUUUUUGUUUUCUUCAAGUUUUCGAUGUACAUUUUCCAUGAUCCGUGUCUUCAUCGUGUUAGGGAGGCGAUUUUCCGACAACCACAACUCAACCUCAAGACCUUUCAUUUUCAUGUUCCGUCUUUGCUUUUCUGAUGUUGUGGUUGAAAACUGCAUGUAUGUCUGCUCCACACACAAGUUAGUAGGAGACAAAUACAAAUACAAAUAGAAAGAAAAAAAAAGUUUUAACUAGGGGCUUAAGCUUAAAAAAAGAAACAAAUUUAUAUAUAUAUUCAGAACGUACCAACCUGUAUAUUUCCAAUGAGAUAUAAAAAUAGUAGGAGACCAAUUAUAGAAAUGAAAACUGCAAAUAGGUUUUCCCAUGCGUAAGUGCUAGUCUGCAGGUUUUGACCAAAAGAACUGCAGUAAUGAAAUGAUGAAACUUUUUAGAAUAAGUAGCAACGAUAUUUUACUUUAAUCUAAUUUAAUGUACGAGAUUAUAUCAAACUAUAUUUAUACAUACGAACCUCAGAUGUCGUAGACCCCACCAAAAGCAAUUCAAAAACCUGUCUGGAAAAUUUGUCGACUGUAGCACGCUGUACUGAAGGGCAUCAACAAAUAUACCGAAAUUGAAAAGAGUUGCAUUUGGUGGAUUUAUAGGGCAUAAUUCAUUUAAAACUGUGACAUUUCUGACUGAAGAGUCGUCACAACGAAAAGUAUUAGGUUCACAUCCAUUUUCACUUUGACAUGCAUAUUGCCAGCAAGCUAUCUCUCGUUGAAUAGCAAAAAUAUACCAAAGUGCUCCUAUUACCUGUAAUAGCAAACAAGUUAGUCAAUGAAAUUUCGAGUUCAGAGAAAAGUAUGUUUGAGCCAAAUUUAAACUAAGAAUGUAACUCCAUUUUAUUUUAUUAUUAUUAUUUUUAAGUGCCAAACUGUGUGUAUAAUUUUUAUUUUUGGGGAAGCAGAUUCGAAGGCCUACACAUAUCAUUGUGCGCAUAUUUAAAGUUAACUAGGAUAGUAUUGAAACUUACAUGACUUGCAAGGAUGUACAAGAAGAAAUUUAAAAAACUUUUGACCCAUAUGCCUGCCUUCUUAUGAGUCUUCUCACGUUCAUGACACAAUAGGUAGAUGGGAAGAACUCGUGGGACAUAUUGCAACAAAACAAGAGAAUUUAGAAACUUCAUUGUUUUCAAUGAUUUUGAGCCCCUCAUUUUCGAAAGGAAAAUGGAAAGUGCUACCUGGACAAAAAUAACAAAGAUUCUUAAGCCAAAUUUUAAAUCUACUAUCUAAGCUCGGACAACCUAAAGUAGUCAACCAUGACAAAUGGAGAAAUUGGGAAAUCAAUCUACUUCAUAGACCUUUUAAACUUACCUGUGGGACGGGCAGAACAGCUAAAAUAUCAAGUAGGAUGUAAAAUUGCAAAGUCGUCCGUGAAUUCACUGAGUUACUUGCUUUCAAAGGAACUGCCUCCUUUGCUUUAGGUCUAGUUAAAAUUCGAUACACCACAUCGGCCAUAUAGAAGAGAUCUGCUAAUAAUCGUAGACCAAAAGAUAUUGCCUUCAACCUUUUGUCGUAUUUGAGGCACUUCCUAUCCUCGUUAAUGAUGGGAAUGUAUAAGAACAAAGGAUCCAGUGAGACAGCCAACACACAUGAUACUAAAAAGACGGUGUUCCAUUCUGGAAAGAACCUAUUUGGUUGAGCAUGAUUUUGUUCAUGUCCAACAAUAUUGUUCCUUAGUUUGGUCCAUUUAUCGGAUUUUUUCUUCCAAUGCUGGACAACUCCCAUUGAGAUUGAACGUUGUACACUGAAAAAGACAAAGCAAAUAACAAAUUGCGGCCAUUAGAUAGAAACAAAGAAACAUGAGAAGAUAGCCGUUCAUGCUUCUUCUCUCUUAUAUAACUAUGUCACGCGAUAAGAGAGAAAGACACAAUGUUAUAGGAUCGCCUUAUGUGAUGGUUUAAAGCUUUAACGUAAGUUAAAUAAACUAACCUGGCAGUGGCGGGUUUCUCUUCCGAGUUCUCCAUAUCUAAAUGUAUUUCGCCCUUCCGAUUAGCCAUAACUUAACCACUCAAGCUUGCUUUUUUUCUGAAUGUUGAACCCCCCCUGCAAAAAUGGACAACGGGAAAGUUAAACCAAUUAUCAUGUUUGUACUAGAAAAUGUGAUGAGAGAGAGAGAGAGAGAGUUGAAAAACCUUAAAGCUUUGCACUCAGUUUAGGAAGCUUUCCAGUAGGUAGAGCAGAGAGCAGGGGGGAGGCAUUAGAAUUUAUAUAAUGACAUGUUUGACCUGAACAGGCUGAACUAAGGCAAUAUUGACAAUGGGUCUUCUCCUCAUCGCAGAGUCUUUUUUUAAUAAUAAUAAAAAAAACAAAUAUUAUUGCAACUCGUGUUCCCAUUUAACCAAAAAGAAACCAAAGACCUCGGAAAGGAUGAGUCUGGACUGGAAACAUUAAUAAACAUUAUGUCAUGACUCAUGCCUAAACAUGCAAUUGAAAAUUGCAUGUGAAGUCAAUCGAACCGCUAGACUUUGAUCUAAGCAUUAUGGCAUCAUGAAAAAAUCUUUAUAGCGAGAUUUCUCUCUGCUGUCCUAAACAUUAACUUAAUGACCCCUUAACAUAAAUAAAUCUAAACACAAAACGCGUGACUGUUUUUUUGUAAUUUUAUUUACUAGAAAUAAAGUAAGUUACGAAGAUCGGGUCAACUGUAUAUAAAAGUCAAAGCUUGCAGAACUGUAAGUAGAGUCAACCGUGUAAGCACGAUGACGUGGUAUGACCACUGUUGGUGAACAAAGGUUCAUUGCAUCUGUCACAGGGAAGUCUCUCUGUGUGUAAGCACUCAAAACUACCACCCUUUUAUUUCUAGAAUUGGUCUCCUACUAUUUUUUAUAUGAGAUAUUUAGUUACAUACCCAUUUUUAGCACUCGUGAUAUAAAUAAACUCUACACCAUUUAAUUUCUAUAAACAAAAAAAGAAAAAGAAAAAAAAGACAGCUGAAUCUAUUGAAUAUAAUUUUGAUUAUUAAAUUACUUUGAUACCCAAUUAAAUGUUUUGGGUUUUUUUUAUAAUGAAGUUUUUGGAUUGGGCUUGUUUUAAGGAAUCGAUGGCAAUUUUGAAAUUUAUAGGAAAUUUGAAGCCUCUUUGUUAUGUUGUAAAUGAGUUUUGAAUAUGUUCCUAAAUUCUAUUUCAUGUGAGGUUUUUUAUAGUGAAUGUGCCCCACAUGUAAUAAUAUUGUGAACUUUUUGUUAACAAUAAGAAUAUUGUGAACUUUUUGUAAAUAAUAAGAAUAUUAGUUCAACUUAUUAGGUGAAAUAAUUCGGAUUGGAUUAUUGGAUCCGAUGUCCGAUAAUCAAACAAAUCAAAUAUGGAUCUAGUUGUGAAUGAUCCGUCAGAUUAUCAAAUCAGAUUGGGUCGGCUCUAUGCUAUAAAUAAAAUAUUUUUUUAACGUAUAGCCGCACGGCUAUACCCAUUAAAUAGCACAAUUUGAAUUUCUCUUUUUUAAUUAUUUUAAUUAGUAGUUAUGUUUUACUUAUUAUUUACUAAGUGAACAAUUAGUAUUUAUUUUUAUUCGAUAAUAUGUGAGUAUUUGUAUUAUACGUGUAUUAUACAUUUGCUUUUUUAAAAAAAUUUGCAUUUUACCAAGUCUUUAAGACGUUUACGAAAAACGAAAGUAUUAUUGAAAAAUACAUACGUACAUGUAUAAUACAAGUACUAAAUGGGAAACUGCUAAAUUCUUUAUACGGGUAAUAACUCUAGAAAAGUAAAAAAUAAAAAAUGGACAAUAGAGACUCAUGUAAUGGCCUAAUAAUAAUGGAUAAUGCUACUAACUAUUCUUAUCGAUAAACGAAAAUCAAGGAAAAAGAAUUAUAUGUAUAAAAAAAAAAAAGGAUUUUAGUAGAUAUUUAAAAUAAAUAAUUAUAUUAAAAUUUUUUUAAAAAAAAGGAAGCAGUAUAGCCCCGCGGCUUUACUAUUAAUUUUUUUUAUAUAAAAAAAUUGAGUGUUUUUAGGAGAUAUUUUUUAAAAAGAACUCACGUGUUUUUUUAAAAGAGUAUAGCCGUACGGAUAUAACCCAUAAAUAGAAUAUUUCAAACGUAUAGCCGCAUGGCUAUACUUUAUAAAUAGAAUUUAGUAUAGCCUGGCGGGUCUUAGUUGUUAUGUUUAAGUUAGGGGUUUUUUUAAGGACAAUGUCUUGAAUAAUUGUAGGUUUUUGGGAUAUUUACUAUUAAGCAAAACAUGGUGAGAUUAUGACUCAACUUGGCCAUGUAAAAUUCCUCGCUUCAGCUAGACAAGUGUGAUGUGUAAAAUAUCUUUUAAUGCAUACAAACUACAUAGGCUUUCAACAUAAUUAACAACAGCACAUAUAUUACAGCAAUCCUAAAGCUGUCUGUUAGACAAUCAUCUAAACAGAUGGUUAACGUUGCCUGGUUGGUUUUGAUUAUCCUCAUUUACACAUAUAAUCUUUGAUCUCCCAGUCUCUGGCGGUUAAUACUUCGAACAAAUUAUCUUAAGUGUAGAAGUAAAUGCUCUUAACCUCUUGAGCUAGUAACUCCUAUCCGAGUGCUAGAAAUCUUAAAUGUAGUACUCUUGUAUAUGGAAAAUCAGUUUGACUUUGUACAUAUAUAUUAUAGCCAAUUGAGUGAUAACAAGCAAUGAAAAGCUAUAGAAACAGAGCGACGAAAACAUGAAGAAGACUGUUAUUUCAUUGCUUUUCUGAAUCGAAUGACUUGUACAUCAGUUAUCUGAUUUUAUAUGUUACAGAAAGCAACUUUCUUACAGAACUGGUUCAGACAAUCUUAUUUCUAUUAACAACUCCAACUAAUUCUAAACAGCUGUUAACAGAAUUACUCCUUUGCAAACUUCCUUGGACAUGCUCUUAUCCUUGAGGAGGCUCAAUGCUUCUUCGCUUUCUUGAGCGACGAAAUGCUGUUUGUAAGGUUAUAACUGCAAAUAAUUGCUUCAACUGCAGCAUUUGAGAGUCAGUCAAAUUCUCGAGAUCAAUUCUCUUGGUAAAUUGCCACCGGAAAUAUCUAAGGAUGACAUGAUUCUUUAAGUAAUCAGCCGUGAGAGCAAAUGCUUCAACUCUUGUUUUGGACCGAACAUUUUCAUACGAGAUGGGUAAUUCAGUGGAGGGUGGAAAUUUUGAUGCCCAAGUUAUAAGUUCUUCUCCGUAAAAAUCACCUUUCUCAAUACACUUAGGUUUUGAGGGGUGGUUUUUCCCUCCACUGCUAGUUGUGUAGGUCCGAACAGUCCCUUGCGUGAUCAAGAGUAUCAUUUCAAGGGGCUCCCCCUCUCGAAUGAUAAAGCUGUCCUUAGCAUAGAUCACUGGCUUAAAAUGCUCACAGAUUUCCUUCAACUCAUCCAACCCUUCGAUCUCUUUAAGCUUCGGAACCUACAUAUAUAUAUAUAUAUAUAUAUAUUUAUCACGAGUUUAAUUACAUGUAACGAGUAAUUCUUCCUUAUAAGUCAUAUAAAAAAAGAAUGACAAGAGAGUAUGUAUGACUUACUUUCCUUAGUAUGGGCAAGCAAAUACAGCGCGUGACAUAGGUUAAAUAUUCCGGGGGAAGAGCAUAGAGUAUCUCCACAUGACCAUUUUUGUUUUGUUCAAGUAGUCGCUGUACAUGUUCCAUGAUCCUUGCUUUCAUGGUCUUAGGCAAGCCAUUUUCAGAUAACCACAAUUCUACCUCAAGACCUUUCAUUUUCAUCUUCCGUCUAAGCUUUUCUGACGUUGUGGUUGACAACUGCAUAUAUGUCUGCUCUACACAAUAAAUUUGUUCAUCACAUUUUGAUCAUAAAACCCCACAUAAACUACUCAUUUAUGAUCACUUGAAGGAAAUUUAACCAGAGUCUGAGAUCCCAGGAAACCUAAACAAUGUAUACAUGUAUAGAUUAUACUGAGAAAGAAAAAAGAAAAAAGAAAAAUAAGGCUAAUUAAAGAAACAGAUUUAUAUAUUCAGUACAUAUGCUAACCUGUAAAUUCCCAAUGAGAUAUAAAAAUAGUAGGAGACCAAUUAUAGAAAUAAAAACUGCAAAUAGAUUUUCCCAUGCGUAGGUGCUAGUCUGGAGGUUUUGACCAAGAGAACUGCAGUAAUGAAAUGAUCAAACUUUUUAGAAUAAGAUAUAACACAUAUAUAUAUACAUAUUUUAUUUAUCCAAACAAUAUUGUACUUUAAUCUAAUCUAAACUAUGGACAGGGGGAUUCAAACUCGGGUGCAAAGAGAGAGCAUAUCCGCUCUAGCAAACUUGGCUCAGCCCAUACCAUAUGUAUGCAAGAUAACAUAUUUGUUCAUGAAAUCAGAACUAUUUGUUAAUUUUCGAUGACUUUCAGUUGAGGGUAAAUUCUUUUUUCUCUUUAAUUACUACUCAAAAGCAAGAAUUAAGAUUAUAUCAAACGAUUACAAACCUCAGAUUUAGUAGACCCCACCAAAAGCAAUACAAAAAUUUCUCUGGAAAAUCUGUCGACAGUAACACGCCAGACUGAAUGGCAUGUUUAAAUAUACCAAAAUCGAAAAAAGUUGCAUUUGAUGGCUUUAUAGGACAUAAAUCAUAUAAAACUGUGAUAUUUCUCGGUGAAGGGUCAUCACAUUCACAGCUAAAAGUAUUAGGUUCACAUCCUUUUUCACUUCGACAUGCAUAUUGCCAACAAACUGUCUCUCGUUGAAUUGCAAAAAAAUACCAAAGCGCUCCGAUUACCUAUAUAAGACCAAAAAAAUUAGUCAAUGAUUAUUGGAUUUGGAGGUGAGAGAAAACUACAUUUGAAUUGAAAGAUAUUUAAACAAAAAAUGUAACUUCAUUUUUUUUUUCAAUUUUUUGAGCAUUUAAAAUUAAUUAAGAUAAUAUUGAAACUUACAUGACUGGCAAGAAUGUACAAGAAGAAAUUGAAAAAACUUUUGACCCAUAUGCCCGGCUUUUUAGCAGCCUUCUUACGUUCAUAACACAAUCUGUAAAUGAGAAGAACUCGUGGCACAUAUUGCAACACAAUAAGAAAAUUUAGAAACUUCAUUGUUUUCGAUGAUCUUGAGCCCCUCAUUUUUGAAAAGAUGGAAAGGACUACCUGGAAAUAAAUAAGGGGGACCAUUAAGGCAAUUGUUAAAUCUAAUUAUUGUAUGACAAAUGUUUGAUUAAUGAGUAUAUAUGAGAGUUAAAACUUAAAAUCUAAGCUCAUACGGCUCUAAAGUAAUCAACCAUGACAAAUAGAGAAAUUGGGAAAUAAAUCUACCUCACAUAUAAAACUUAAUCUUACCUGGGGGACGGGUAGAAUAGCUAAAAUGUCAAUUAGGAUGUAAGAUUGCAAAAUCCUCUUAGCUUUUGCAAGAACAUUCAUACUCAUGGAUUUACUUCUUUUCAAAGGAACUGCCUCCUCUGCUUUUGUUGUCCUAGCUUUAGGUCUAGCUAAAAUUCGAAGCACCAGGUCGGCAAUGUAGAAGAGAUCUGUUAACGAUCGUAAAGCAAAGGAUAUUGCCUUCAACCUUUUGUCCAAUUUGAGGCACUUCCUAUCCUCCUCAACGAUAGGGAUGUAAAAGAACAAAGGAUCCAGUAAGACAGCCAACACACAUGAUACUACAAAUAUGGUGUUCCACCAUUCUUGAAGGAAUGACUUUGGUUGAUCAGGAUAUUCGAUGACAGAUUUCAAAAACGGAACUAGUGCUUUUCUCCAAUGCUGGAUAGGUGUUUGUUGGAUUGAAUGUUGUUCACCACUGAAAAAAGACAUAGCAAAUAAUGUAUUGCUCCCACUAGGUAGAAGAAACAUGAAAAAAUCGUCAUUGAGGCUUUUCUCUUAUGUAGCUAUAUGUUGCUCAAUGAGAGAGAGAGAGAGAGAUACAUAAAUGUCAUGGAAUCGUCCCAUAAAAGUUUUUCUCGUGAAGAAAAGAGUUGCACUAGGACUGCCCGUAUUCAAGAGUUUCUUGUUGUUAGUAGGCAAAUCAAGUACAAAACGAAAAAGGGAUAUGGUAUAGCGCACUGUACAUUGUGAACGUUAUGGAUAAAAUCCUGGAAUAUGUUCACAGUGUGAUGGUUUAAAGUUAAAUAAACUAACCUGGCAGUGGCAGGUUUCUCUUCCACAACUAAACGUGUUUCUUCUUUCCCAUUCGCCAUAACUCAACCGCUCAAGCUUGUUUAUGAUGCAACUAAGGAGCUUUUCAAAAUCCCACAAAGUUCCCUGCAAAAAUGGACAACUAAAAGUUAUAGUAUUUAUAUUGGAACCUGGCAGCUUUCAUUUAAGCACUCUUAAUUGCUACAACGAUAAAGUAGAGCCUAUUACGUAAGCACGAUGACGAAUUUCUUUAUAGGAACAUAGGUGCAUUAAUGCACCCGUGACAUGGAGAUGGUAUCAAAUUCAAAGCCCUGUGUACGAACAAGUUCGUAUACCUUGCUUUCUUGCAAGUUGAAGCCAGGUAUUCACUGUGUAAUUAUUAUUUCUUUUUUAAACUAGGGCAUAUAUCCCUCAUCAUGUAACUUUGACUGUAAUUAUUCCAGCUGCUUACUUUUUUUACCAGUGUGAAACACAUGAUCAACUGUUUAAAUUCCCUCUCAUAACACUACAAGAAAAAGGGUCAGUAAUAGCAUCAACCACAAAAAUCAAGCCAUCCCUGAACACUGCCAAACAAAAACCGCACAAAAUUCAAUCAGACAUAAAAUUAUUUAGAAGAAAGUUGAUACCUUAGGCCUGAGGAACAUCGCAGCCCAAAUGCGCCCUCUUUCGAGGGCGAUGAUCCAAGUGAAUGAAAGGAAACUCCGUCACACGCUCAAUCUCCAUGAUCGUAGAGGGCCAUACUUCUUCGAGAGACCACGAAGGGAGGGUGCAGGAAGGCGCCUAGCUGGCGAAGGUUUCCAAUAAUAGGUAGUUUUGGUGGGGAAGGUGGUAGUUUGAGUGUUUUCCCACUUGAUCUAGCAAGUGAAAGCAAAAUGUACAGAGAAAGGAAGAAAAUGGGAAGCAGGAAAAGGUUGCUUUGUAGAUGUUGCCAUGUUUGAUUUAAAAGUGAUAAUAGAAGAGCUGGUGCUCUACUUUUUUGGCUUGGGUAAUCUACCGUUUUGCCACUGAAUUAUACCAUAAUUAUUAAUUUAUUCUAUUACUUUUUUUUCCCCGUAAAUUAAGAACUUACACUAUAUGAAAAUAAGUUCUAAUUUUUUUUCCUUGUUUAGUCAUUAAUAUUGACAAAAAUUUGGAUAGACAAUGUGCAAGUCACAUGAUAAAAAUUUAAAUAGACAUCCAAAAAAUUGACAACAAGUCUCAAAUCGGUCUAUCUCUAUUUCAUUUUUUAAAAAAAAAAAAUUUAAAAAAAAUUUAAAUUUAAAAAAAAAAAAAAGGUUCUAUGAUCAUCGCUCUUUUUUCAACAAAAAAAAUUGUGUCUAUGGGUAAUUUGAAAAUUAUAAUAUAGUUCAUGGAACAAAACGGUAGAUUACCCUUUACCUUAUGGUUUUGAUUACACACUAAAAAUCUGAGUUCUUGUUUAAUCUUAUAGAGAAAUUGUCUAGGCUUGGAAGGCCACAAUGAUUGAAGCUUACAAUCAAACCUGUGCCAAGGGACAACAUAUUGACGUUUGGGAUCCACAAGGAUGUCCUCUUGCACCAACCCUAAUUAAAUAAUGCACGCCAAGUAUACAACAUGAAAAACGUUUGAGUCGGUGAGUAGGACAAUAAUUUAUGUGUGGAAUGCUUUUGUACCAACCAAUACUGUGGGGGAAGCUAGCCCAUCCUCCAUCGCCAUUAAAGCCUUGUUCCAAAGGAGGGAGCUAAGCCUUGCGAAAAAUUUACUACCAACGCAUAGCAUUCCAAAUGGCACACUAAUUCAUUCAUCUUAUGGUACAUUCACGUGGAAAUACAUACUUGUUGGUUCCGAAUGACACAUUAAUUUAUCUCAGAGUACAUUUAUGUGGAAAUGCAUAUUCAUUGGGUCAUCAUGGUCCAUUAAGUGAUACACUUAAGUAGAUCAUGAUGACUCAACAAACGUGAUAUUUCUAUAUUAAAUACGUGUAAUAAUAUGCACAUGUAAUAAUUUUGUGAACUUUUUGUUAACAAUAAGAAUAUUGUGAACUUUUUGUAAAUAAUAAGAAUAUUGUUCAACUUAUUAGGAAAAAUAAUUCGGAUCGUAUUAUUGGAUUCGAUAUCCGAUAAUCCAACAUAUCGAAUAUGAAUCUAGUUGUGAAUGAUUUGUCAGGUUAUCGGAUUAGAUUGGGUGGAUAUUUUUUUUCUACCUGAUCGGAUCAGAUAUAUAGUGAUAUGAUCCAUCUCCGACCUAUUUACAACUCUAAACUCAUCACAUAUAUUACUCUAAAGACGAUAAUAACUCAAUGAAUGUGACAUUUUUUUAUCUAUUUAUACUAAGUAUGUAAAUACACCGUAACCCUUCGUCAUGAUAAAUGAAUGUAAAGUUAGGUUUUGAAAACUAAAAACAAUUUCAAGUUGUUUUAAAAAAUAAGGUUGAUUUUGAAAACUACAUUUUAUUUUUUUAGAAAAUUAAAAACAAAAAUGGUUACCAAAAAUGUUUUUAAUUUCCAUUUAAAAAAUAAAAUAAAAUUUUAAAAAUGAGAACAAAAUGGUUAUCAAACACUCUUUAGUUUGUUGACAUUAUUGAUGAGCUCCUUCAUAAUUCUAAGCUUCAUAUAUUUUCAUUCACGAUUCUUCUACUAGAUAUGUUUAUAUCCCAAAUCAUGAGCAUUAUUUUUAAACAGGCAGGCCAUAGUUAUUGAAGCUACCAUUAAACUGCUAGACUUUGAUCUAAGCGAUAUUAUGGCAUCAUUAACAAAUAUUUAUAGCGAGAUUUCGCUCUGCUGUCCUAAACAUGAACUUAAUGAGCCCUUAACACCUUGUAGAAAAGUGAAGGAGAGAGAGAGAGAGAGAGAGAGAGAGAGAGAGAGAGAGAGAUUGUGAGAGUAAUUUUAGUACUGAAAAGUCUUUCAUGUACUAUUAUUUUUACUUUCUUAUACGCUUAUAUAUAUAUAUAUCAUCCGAAUUAGCGCCAGACUUAACAGCCCAAACUGGCGCUUAGAGUCCUAGCCAUUUCGCAAGUUCACACAAACAAACUUAUUCUUAAUGCAUACUAAAACAUUUAGCUCUCUCAAGAAAGAGCACCAUAAUUAAUAUAACAUAAGAUCCAAUAUGGAUUUUUCAUGCUUGACUCAACAUGUCUCAAUCGGUACAGCAGCGGAACAUGAAGAACUUCUCCAUCUCACUGCCACACUCUGCGCACUCCACUCUGUCCGGGAUGUCUGGACCGAACCCUGGAAUGAUCAAACGGGUGCAGUGCUGCGGUUUGUGGCGCCGCUUCAGUUCAUCACUGAGUGUAGGCACGAAGCCUGAUUCAGCAGCUUUAUUUUUCCAGGCUUCAAAUUCAUCCAAGGUGUGCAGAGUGAGCUGUCCAUUGGCUCUGGCCGUCUCAUUUGAGCCUCUCCACACCAUAACCCAACCUUGGUCACUUCCAUCAUAGCUCAGCAAAGUCAUGACCUCCUUCAGUAUCUCAUCAUUCUCUACAGUCCUGUGGUGUUUAGCCUUGGAGCAUCGCAUGCUAUCCAUUCGGGACCAAAAGAACCAAUUGGAUGUGUAAUCAGGCCAGAACCGGCUGAGGUUCUCUGUUUCAAUGACUUUGUUCACUUUCCUGAUCCGCUCCCUGGUUGCUGUACUUCUUCCUACAUAAAGCAGUUCCAAGGAGAUACCAGCAAGUCCUGCAACAACUUUUGCUCUCACCGUGAACUUCCGAAUCCAUUCCAAAUCAUCACCUCCAUACAAGCAUAUAUAUUUUCCUUUCUCGAUCUGGUAAAGCAAAAAAGUUUCCACAUUAUCUUUAGUUCUUCAUGAAUUUUGACUUAAUAAAUGGAUACAUAUGAAUGUACGAAAAUGUUAUCUAACUUUAGUACUCUCGAUUGAAUGUAAUAUAUGGUUCAGAGUCACAGUCUGUCAACAUAUUAUGCCGAAGUUUCUAGCACUUACCCAGUCCAGUAUGAUUGGAUCAAUGCCAUUGGCAACGAGCUGGAGUCUCCAGCUCUCUGCAUUCCACAGUACCUGCUCUUUCUCAUCAGUGAAAGGGAAAGCCACAUUGCCCCAUACCCACAGCAUGUGAACAGCAUUCAGGGAGGACACCCUUCCUUGUGGAUCCAAGGACACUAUAAUCAUCUUCUUGUCAAAAUGCCAAUCGUUUCUGAUGAACUUGAUCACCGGUGGCUCAAUUAUUUGAGGGUCGUGCACCGCGUACCACGGCAUCUUUGACUUUAGCUCCUCAAAUCUAAACCGUUUUGCUUCAUCCCAAGUGGUUGCGUCCACAACGGGGAGCCAAACAAUCCCAUACUCAACUUCUGCCCUGUUCUGCUGUUGUUUGUAGAUGUGAUCAAGAAUCACAAUCUCUUCAUUGCUCAGACUAAGAUCCGUUAUCAACAGCAACACAUGCCUUCUCCUCAACACUUCAAGACUGUACUGCUUGUGGCAAUGGAAACAUAUAAAAUGAUUCAGUUUUAUGGCUCAUUAGGAAUACGAAACUGGGAAAUGCAAGGUACAAGAUAUAAGUAGACAGUACCCUGGUUGUACCAAUUUGGAGUGGUUGUGCAUCAUCCUUGUGGGAAAUCAGUGCCCUUAAGUUCUUCAGGUUGUCCAGGUGGAGGCCCUGGAAGAGGCGUCUCAGCGUCUCAUAAUCUUCAUCAUAUCUCUUUGCCACUGGAUCCCAUAUGGUGAAUUUUGUUCAAUACUUCAUUAAAUUUAAGGUGAAAUUUGAAAGAAAAACCAGCCAAGAGAUAUGUUUAACUUCUAAGUUAAACUUUCAUCAUUUUUAGACUAGGUUUAAGAGGUACAUGUCCACAGUUCUAAAGUUUGCAAAUCCAAGAGCUUACCAAUAUAUUGACGGCAAUUCUCAAGUUCACUGGUGAGGUGGUCAUGUAUGUUCUUCAGCUUAUGAGCCAAGCUUGAGAGUUCCCAAACCUCUGUGGUUGAUGCAAUGUACCUAGAAUGAGUAGAAAAAAGGAGCUGCUAUUAGCUUAGGUAUAGUUUGAAAUGAAUUUGAUGCAUUGUGGUUUCCAAUGGCUUACUCAUGUCUGCUGCCUGCGAGGAUGGCAAUAUGGGAGGCACUAGCCAGGAUGCCUCUAAUGACCCAAUAGGCAGCAGCAGGAAUAUGUGCCAGGGCAAUUGACAGUGGAGGUGUGUCUUCUGAAAUGUAGUGAGACUGCAGCUUGACCAUCUCACUGCACACCACAAUGCUCUUGGUAACGUUGGUAACAGCCGUGAUGAGGUUGUCAAUUGCCUCAAUUUGAGGCUUGACUGAGGCGGCAUGCUCUACCAUGUCCGACAGUUGCUUCAGGAUGGCCACGGACUUGGCUAAUGGAUCGGUAGUGCAAAGCUGAGCCACAAGCCAGAAUUCUCCAUGGUACACAGCAAAAGCAGCCAGGGUCAGCACCACUUUUGCUUCCCAUGAAUAGUUUGAAAGAGUCCUGAGUAACUCCAUUGUGGUCGCGUGAACAUCGCCGCCUCCUGAGCAUUGGCAACUUAUCUGCCGUUACAUGGACACUGUGCUUAAUUGCUAAUUUGUAUUUUGCAUAGAAAGGAUGUAAUAGAAAAUAGGAGACCUACAUGCAUAGUCCUCAGACAUUAAAUUAUGGUUUCUAGGAUUAAUUUGAAUAAAAGAGACUCAUUCGAAACUUCUAUUUGCAGCAUACAUGUUCCUAUAUAUCCAUCCCAUAUGCAGAAACAGUAUAGGAGAAGUGCCAUGCCAUAUGCUUUAUAAAAGAAACAGAAAUUUAUAUGUUUUUCUUUGAGUAAAAGCAUUUAGCUUUAGCAAAAAAGAUUGUACCUCGCAAUAGAUCUUUUGUAUGAGAUAAGACAAUCCGUGGAACAAGACAUCAACACUAGGCAAAGUGGUCCUGUCCUCCACCGUAUCUGCAAGUUCUCGUGUACCCUACACAGCAAGUAAAGCAAUUGGUGACCAAAAUAAACAGAACUGUUACAAAGUGUUCUUCUUUUUAAUUUCAAAAUUUUAUAACAAAAGCAAAUGGGAUAAGGAAAUACAGCUAGAACGACAGCAGUGCUGUGAGUAGCACGAUGAAAUAUUUCCUCAAUGACUUGGAGAAUUUGGUUGACAUCGACGCUGUGGGAUCGUCCCGGAGAAUGAGUCUCCCGAAUUUGCCUCAGCAAUGCACUAUCAUCAGAUUGGGGGGAUGUUCUUUUAUCCCUCAUAUUCACAUUUUUCAGCUUAGGAGCUACCAGCUGUUGGCUUGCCAUAUCUUGGAACUUCAAAUGCUUAAGAAAGUGAGAAAAUGCUAGGUUUGAGUGGUUUUACAGUUUCAGAAGCUAAGCCUUAUAUAAUAGCAAGAAGAAUGGAAUAAAAGUUAAAGCCUUAUGAACAAGUACCUUGCUUGCAAGGUGAGUCUAAUUAAAGUUAAAGCCAGACAUAUACUGGAUAAGGAUAUAAGGUUUGUUACACAGCUGUGGUGGCCCUAAGGUAUAAGUGUCACAUUCCGGGAUCGGCUCCGCCGUAGCACGAUAUUGUCCGCUUUGGGCCCCCCUCUCUGCCCUCACGGUUUUGUUUCUGGGAGCUCACGAGCAACUUCCCAGUGGGUCACCCAUCCUGGGAUUACUCUGGCCCCCAACUCGCUUAACUUCGGAGUUCCUACGACUCCGAAGCCAGUGAGUUCCCAAAAGGCCUCGUGCUAAAUGGAUGCGGGUGUGCACAUAUAAAGCACAUCACCCCCUCUCCGUUGGUUAAUGUGGGAUCUUACAUAAGUCUCCAGCAUUCUCUUGGAUUUGGGGUUUUCAGUAAAUACAUAAGUAAUAUUUGGAAAUUAAUAGAGCUAAUAGACGAAUCUAUCAAACACUCCAAUGAAGGAAAAAACUAAUUUCGCACGUACAGGGCGUGGACGAUUAUCAACUGUUGAUAUAUUUAAAACACAAGCAUAUAUAGCUCGAACUCCAAAGCUCAAAAAAUUUCUUGUACAUAGAGGAGGCCAUGCCAACGUGUAUAAUUUAGUCAUUUUAGUAAAUUUUAAUCAUUCAGAUUAUCGUAAUCCAGAUCUUUUAGGACAUUGAUUCCCAAGCAACAACCAUAAACAAGAAUUUAAUGCUUGGGAAAUCAAACUUUUGCCAAGCAUCCAAACCCCAGUACUAUUCUUUAAUCAUUUAUAUGUAACUUCUUUACUCUUUUUCCCCUUUUUCUUUUCUCUUUUGGAAAUUGUACACAUACUAAGAUAUACAUAGGCAGGAAAAUCUGCUCCCAUGAGCAGUCAUUUGUGAAAGGAUUUCCUAUUCCAGGCAAGAAUCAAGUGCUUGAGAGAAACUAAAUCCUUGUAGGAUCAUGUCUCAUUAUUUUGUGCAUACUUUUGUACUGGUGCGUGAAUCAUAUGAACUUUUUUAUCAAGUCAUAAACAAUAAACUCUUCGACCAAAAAAAAAAAACAAACAGUAAACUCUGAGCUUCAACCCCACACUGAUAUGUAUUUCCUUGAAGAAAGGAAUUAUGUGAAGGGACAACUCUCGACAAAAGGGGAAAAGAAAGGGACAUCAGACAGUUGAUGUGCUUGUGAUGCUUAAGGCAUCUAAAUGCUUUCGUCAGCAAUGCUUGCUUCACCUGGACUAGUAAUCAAGAAGCUAAGACUCUUUAUUGAUCGAAAAUUAAGAAGCUAAGACUGGUCCUUGAGUUUUGUAUAAUUAACAUCUGAGGGAACAAAAUGGAUGAGAGAAAAGAGAAUUACUGUGCUAUCUUGGUGGUAAACAGAAAGCGGAAGCCUCAGCUCCCCUCUUUGGCCCAAGAACCAAAUGAGGCAGGAUCAGCUUGCAACAGGGGACAAUGUAAAACAAGUUUUAUUGGGCUGGCCCAUGCUCAAAAUUUCUCUUAGGUCAAGUCGAGUCGAGCAUGACCUAAGAGAAGAGAAAAGAGAACCUAUACCUGAUCGUAUGGGUAUUGGGUAUGACUUUUUGGCUUAACCUUUGUUCAAUUAGGCAUUGAUCCUAACAUCUCGUUCUUUCGGGUAAGUUUUAAGUUUAAAACUAAACUUGCCUUCGAAUUGAGCGCGUUUCGAAAAACCUUAAGUCCCGACGGGUUUGGGCUUCACCAGAUUCGAACCCGGGUUUGUAAUUGUAUCAAACUUUUCUUGGACUGUCUGUCAAACUUUAGACCGGGAAAUCCUAUCAACAUCUUGGGCUUUAACAAGUGCAGCCUCAAAACAAAAAGAUAAAAUGGCCCAACUAGCUUGACCCAAAUGUGUGGGGUACGCAUGAGUCGGCGGGUGAGGGUGUAAGAAGCAAGGGCAGGGCAAAGACAAGUGUAAAGUAAAGCAGUGAAAAAUGGAAAAUUGGAGAAAGGUGUAGAGAAAGCGUGGCAAAUGCAUAAGCUACUCUCCCCAGCGAGAGCAACAAGUGCUAUAGUAGGCCUAGACCGGUUAGCGUAUGGUUCCCGCUAUCCAGCGCCCACUGUGCAACACCUCUUAACCUUUACCACUCUCUCUUUCUUUCCUCACUCGCAUCAUCGUCAUCGCCAUCGUCCUCGCACACUCACACUUCUCCCCACCACCUCUCUCUCCUUCUGUCCUCUCCUCCAAAACCCUAAUUUCCUCACGGGUAACUCCCUCUUCCGCGGAAUGGAGGUAUUUCUCUUUCUCUCUCCUUAUAUCCAAACAAAGCAUUUGUUUUUUCAGCUUAUAGAUAGAUAACUAUGUAAAAAUUUAAUCUUUUGUCUUAUUAAUCUGUUACUUCUACUUUCUUAUCAACCCAUUGGAGCUUAAGUUCAUUUGUUUUUGGUAAUGAUGUACUUUUAGUGAUUGCUUAUUAUGCUAGGAUCUGAUUCUUGUAGUUAUGUUCCCUAAUAAUAGGGAUUUGUAGUAAUUUUAGUCUUCAUUUUAAUCGGGGUUCAUUCUACCCUGGUUAAUGGUGGUAUUCAAUUGUAUUGUUGUCCGAGGGCCUUGGAUGGACCAAUUCAACCCAUAACUGAUCCUAGUGUCGAGGAUUUGGAUUUGCAACCAGACAAGGUAUUAAUGAUGGUUGUGAUCAUUCAUGGGCAAAAUUCCAAUAGGGGUUCUGCUUGUUUGUGUUUCAUUUAAAUUACUUUGUUGCUUAAUUUAAUUUGGGCUUUACUGUUAUAUGUUAGUGUUGAACAACAUUGAAUUCGAGCUUUGUUUUUCGUAAUUAUUUUCUAUCAUUUACAGCAAUUCUGGUCCCAUAGUAGCGUUAAGAAGAACAAGGCGAUGGUGGAGAAUUUGCAGAGUUAUGGAGUGAUUAGCUCCAAAAAGGUUGUUGAAGUGAUGGGGACUAUUGAUAGAGCUUUAUUUGUGCCUGAUGGGACCCCACCUUAUGUUGACUCCCCCAUGGCAAUAGGUUAUAAUGCCACCAUUUCUGCACCUCAUAUGCAUGCAACAUGCCUUCAGUUGUUGGAAGAGAAUUUGCAGCCUAAUAUGCGUGCUUUGGAUAUUGGUUCAGGUGCUUAUCUACGGAAUUUUUAUUAUAACAUGUUAAUAUCAUGUGUUUAUGUCUUUAUAGCUAGCACAUUCUUGGAAGUGAAAUGUCACACUGACAUUUGACCAUUUGAAUCUAUGGAAACCUGAAUUCUUUGCACUAGCUGUGCUGCAUCUUGAAGGCAGUACUAGAGAUCCUGAAUUUCCUUUACUGUAUUUUGCUUUGCAGGGACGGGAUAUUUGACAGCUUGUUUUGCCUUGAUGGUUGGGCCACAAGGCCGUGCAGUUGGUGUAGAGCACAUUCCUGAGUUGGCUUCUUCCUCAAUCGAGAAUAUUAAAAAAAGUGCAGCAGCACCAUUAUUGAAAGAAGGUUCUCUCUCAGUGCAUGUCGGUGGUAUGUUUCCUGAAACCCAGGGUUACACUUUUGAAAUUGAAACUAAGAAAAAGAAAAUCAUUUUUCUAUUGAAGCUAAAUGAAAAGAGUGUAUACCACCCUGAUUAGUCUUAGAAAUUACUUGCAUGAAUAUGGUGUGUACCCAUGCGGGCUGGUUCCAUGAUAUGAGUUGAGGGUUGUUGUUUUAGAAAUUCAUAAAAUGGAUUCAAUUCUUGUUGGGCUUCAAGGAAAGUUGGAAAGAUAUUUAAAAUGUUUGAAAGCUUGUAGAAUUAUUCUUUGCUGUUAUGUUUUGGAGAUGAAAAACCGUUGGGUGUUCUCCUCCCAUUCAAUUUCCCUGUCUCUCUGGACUUCUUUCUUUAAUCAUGUUCUGUUCAUGAAAUCUAUAUUCUAGGACUUCCUCUGAUAAUUUCUUUUUGUUGGAGUGAAAUAGCUUAGUCCUUUUUGGGUGCUGAGAGGAAUCAUACUUAUCAUGCCUUGAUUCUAGUGUAAUCUCCAUCUUGUCAGUUUGUAAUGAAAACUCACUCAGCUUAGUUUGCGCACCAGCAACAAAACACCAGUUUUUCAUCCAAUAUGAUUCAAGGAAUUGCCAGUCAAGGCCUAUAACACUUUUACUAAACAUAUUUGAGCUCCAUACACUGGUUGCCAAAGUUUUGCUGCCAUUCACCUGAACUAUAUGCUCAAGUAUUUCCACCCAUGAUACCGGUCUUUUUCUAGAAAAAAAAAAUGCAUCAGCUUAAGACACGAUUUUACUACUGCCAAAUGCUAAUUACUCGUUUUAUUGAUUUGAUAAAUUAUUGUUGCAGAUGGAAGGCUAGGUUGGCCAGAAUUUGCACCUUAUGAUGCCAUUCAUGUUGGUGCAGCUGCACCAGAAAUCCCACAACCGCUUAUUGACCAGUUGAAGCCUGGAGGCAGAAUGGUGAUUCCAGUGGGAAACAUAUUCCAGGAUUUGAAGGUUGUGGACAAGAACUUGGAUGGUUCUAUCAGUGUCCGGACUGAAACUUCAGUUCGUUAUGUUCCUCUCACAAGCAAAGAUGCUCAGUUGCGAGGCUCUUGAGGCCUGCUACUGGCUCACUAUUUGUGCGUAGAUGAUUUUCUGGUUUCUCUUCGCAGUAAUGGUUUGCUUUGGUAUAGUAGUUUGUUCCCUUGCCACUGUAAAUUCGCUUAAUCUCAAAGGGUGUUCAAACCUGUUGCCUGUUUAUGGCUAAAUGACUUAAAUAUACGGCAUGUAGUUUCUGCUAUAUCUGAAAUGUUCGUUCUGAUUUUCAGUUCCUGAAUGUUUAAACCCGCAUUGCACCAUGCGUUUUUCAUGCUACAAAAGAAUCUAAAAGUACAAGGCUUUACAUCCACUGACAUACAAUACAAAUGAAACUAUUUCAUUAUAAUGACGUUCAAAUGCUCCAUUAGCUGAUCAAAAUAAAAUAGCAACCACAUCAGUAGUGCCCCAAAAUUAACGGAGUCAAACUUGGACGCUAUAUAUCGUUUCCAACUAGAACAACACCUGUAAAGUAGAAAUCAUAAAAACCUCGCUGAAAAACAGCUGACACAAAAUCUCAUCUAAAGAAAAAGGAACCAAAACCAGAACUUAGGUUUCAUCCCUGUUAAGUCAGUAGGGGCUGCGCCUUUGUCUUUCUUCCGCAACAUUUACUCUGAUCGCCCUUCCAUCCAGACUCUGCAGCACAAGACAACUCAAGUAAGAUAGUUUAUAUCGUAUCCAAGAUGCACCGAUGAAUCCAUACAACAUUUCCAUCAACUAUGUUUUUCACCCCUUUAUCAAUCAAGUCCAUUAGGCAAAAUUAGACAAACCAUAUAAAGCAUAAUUAACUUAAAGCAUGUCAAUUCAACCUAAGAAUUUGGUCCAUCAUUACACGAAUGAUGGAUCCCCUUUUCCUAAUGAAUCAUCAAGGCUGAAAAUGUAAACGCUUAAUACCUGUCCAUCUAGAGCAGCAAUGGCAUCAUUCAUUUCGUUUUCACUGGCCAUUGUUACAAAGCCAAAACCACGCGACCGUCCAGUUUCUCUGUCAAAGACUACUCGUGCCUCCACCACGCUACCAUGCUCACUGAAGACCUGCUCCAGUUGACCAUUAUCCACAUUCCAUGGAAGGUUACCAACAUAGAUUCUAAAAGAAGGUUCAAAUGAACGGGGUGUGCGUUCUUGGCGUGUUCCUCUUGGAGCAGCCCUAUUGACAGUCAAGAGCCUUCCAUUUAAAUCCUAUCGCAGCAGUAAACACAAAAAACUUAGAAGCAAUCAACACAAUCCUUAAAAUAUGACAUAAAAUGCUUUUAUAAAAAUGAAAAAUAGUAUGGAACAUUGCGUGCGGUACACUUGAAUAAUAUUCUAUUCAUAUGCACCAAAAGUUGAAUAAGCGAUGCACAUUACAUAUGGGCAGUAUGCUUUACUACAAAAGACAUUCCAGGAACCUACUGAGCACUUCUCACGACAUAUUCUCCUAUAAUCAGAAGCUCUAUACUAAAUCUCAGGGCCAUUCCAAGAACCUAUUGAGCACUUCUUAGGACACAUUCUCCUAUAAUCAGAAGUUCUAUACUAAUUUUGAGAACUAACUUCAAAGUUACCCCCAUACUAGAUAUAUGAAUAUAGAACCCAUUGCUCAUGGCUACACUCAACUUUCGAGUUAAACCACCAGCACCCUAAUACAAUGUAUUAUCGGUUACCCUCCACAAACAUAGCCCAUGCUGUUCAGCCAUCAAUUCACAUCAUUUGUCCUAAUUUUCUUUAAUCUUUCAAAAUAUUGUAAUUACUCAUAUUGAGUUUAUUCCAUCUUAUGCAUGCCAUAAAUUUACAGAAAUCAAAAUCACCAAAAGAGCACUAAAAACAAACCACUUAAAGAAACGAAAUUUAGAAACAACUUACAUAACGACUGAACAGUUCCACAGCCUUAUCAGCUUCUUCAACAGUGCUCAUAGUCACAAAUCCAAAUCCACGACUCUGCUCAGUAUCCCUGUUGUAAAUGACCUACAACAACAAAAGAGAAAUAAAAAAUUUCACCCACAUAUCUAAACCUCACAAAUUUCACAACAACAUCGAAACCCAAAGACACAAACUUUAUGAAACAAAGCAAUUAAAACUCACCUCUGCAAUCUCCACAACUCCAGCCCUCUCAAAGAGCUCAGCCAAUUUCUGACUAUCAACAUCAUAAGGCAAAUUCCCAACAAAUACCUUGGCUUCCUCAGGUGGCUCAACAUUCGCCUCCUCUUCCCUCUCUGCAAAGACCCCUUCUUCACCACUCUCUGCUCCUUCGUCUUGGUCAAUGGUAAGUGUGCUGUCUUCUUCUUGCUGAGCCCAGUCUGAGGUCUGGGCCACAAAAGAGACUAUGGAUGAGAACUGGGUUUUGUUCUUGAGGGACAGAGGUGGUGAAAAGUGUGAAGCAUGAGUGUACGUGAGGUGGAGUUUAAUGGGUUUGGAUGGGAUUGAGAGAAACGAGUUGGCGGUUUUGGUCGAGGAGAGGUAGGGUAAAGAGACUAGACAUGAGUCUGCUAUUGACAAGGUCUUGAACAAAUUUGAGGUUGCAGAAGCCAUUUUCUGUGUUGAGCGGAGAAGAUGGAGGAGCGAAGGGUUUUAGAAAAGGGGGGUGAGGAUAAGGGUGGAGGAGAGGUCCUAGAGGAGUAGAAGGAAGGGGGUUAUUGGGACAGAGAGAGAGAGAGAGAGAAGGAGAUUUUCUUUUUUAUGGGCACAUAAAAGCAUGUAUGGGCUUUCAGAUUUAGAAUUAUCAUAUAGGAGCCCAAAUCUAACUCAUGGCUUCAUGGAAGUCCAGCCCAACUGCUUUUCUACUUUUACAAAUUUUACAAUUUAAAAAAUAAAAUAAAAAUCUUUUUUGGGAUCUAAUAGCGUCAAUAAAAUUUUCAGUAUUAUCAUGUGUAUAUAAUUUUUUUGUGCACUUAUAUUAUAAUAUGUGAGUAAUUAGGGUUACACCCAAACAUUCUUUUUGCUUUUAUAUUAUAACACGUGAGUAAUUCGGAUUACACCUAAACACUCUUCAUAACUAAUAACAUUCACUUCAUUUUUAGUGAAUAAAAAGAGAUUUAAUGGCAUAUUAAAGGGUAUAUCUGAGUUGAUUUGUUUUAGCAAUUCAUCUUGCAAGCUAUGACUGUAUGACUAUAGAAUGUUUUGGAGCAUCUAAAUGUAACACGAGACCAUAUCACAUGGGAUGAGCUGAAUUUUAUAUAAUGGAUCAGAAUAUGGAAAGAUAAAGCUUAUGUAAAAUACACGACACUUAAAUUGAUUCAAACAAAGUUUAGAGCCCCUCAGGAGGUGCAGACUUGCAGUCGCAAAACUCAAUACACAAUUUCAGUCUCUCUUACACUGCAUUGCCCAUGAAGUUUAAGUAGCAACAAACCAUUAUUAGCAUUGUAGACUAUAAACUCCUCUUUCUUGUCCACCAUACAAGACCUUGGUUUUUUGUUGGAGUAGGCUCCAAAUCGACCACAUCCUCGGAUUCGAACCUUCACGACACAUUCGGAAAGUUCAUUUUUGCAAUGUAGAGAUUCAAUGGUUCCUCCUGAGUUGUACAUAUACUGGACAUCCCCCCAAUGCCCUUGCUGCAGCAUGGAACUCAGCCGUGUAAUGGUCACUCUGAAAAUGCAGAAGAAAGACCAUUAGGAAUUAAUUUAGGUGCUGAUAUAUAUAUAUAUAUAUAUAUAUAUAUGAGUUGGAUAAGUAAAUCAAAGAUAUGUCAGCAGAAUUCAUCUUACAAAGAACGUGUCCCAAUCUGGAACAGCAAUCUCUCCCAUGAGAAGACUGUUAAAAGCUACAGCAGCAACAUGUAGGGUCUGAAAUGUUGGCUCCAUUUGCAUGAAAUCCUCUGAUAUCCUAGUAGCUGCACCCUGUUUUAGCUGAAAGCAACACAACACAACACAACACAACUCAUCUAAUUAAAACUGAUCAAUCACUUUUUCCUUUUUUUUCUUUGUUGAUGUCAAAGUUUCAACAAAUUAACCUGUAAAUGUGGUCAUUGCUAAGGCUCAUGCCCCAAAUAAGGUUAUUGCGAUGGAAGUUUCUUAUAACAGAUGCCUCAAGGGCUUCUUGGUACCGCCUCAUCAAUGCUUCACGGCCUCCAUAACAAGAGCCAAGAAGUUCCAGUACAUUCUGCACAUCCACCUUAACUCCAUCUACAUUGCAACUUGCAAGGUAGCUAUGAAGAUCGUCAUAAAACCUAUAAAUAUUUGAGGGGGCAAUCAUGCCAAUCCCAUAUUUCUCCAUGGGGCCAAGGGUUGUACAGAUAACGUGACUCACGUUUCCAGGGGACUGAACUAUGUGUUUGAUCCAGGGGUCGUAUUUCCUCAUUUCUUCAGAUGUUGGAAGUACCCCUCCCCACGAACCAAUUAAAGCGUGGCACGCAUAUACUAAUCUGCAUUUUAACUCAUAAUCUUUGAUUAAUCAUGUACAUUUUUCAAAAAUGACUCAAAACAAAUGUUAAAGCAAAGAGUGUACUUCAGUCCAUAUUCCUCUUCGAUGAACUUUACAAACUCACGGAGAUUAGCAUAUGACUUUCCUGACCGGAAGCCCUUGAACUUAUCAUUUUCUUCUAUGCUAGUCAAUCUGUCCACAGACCUAUAAAUUGGGAGCAAAUGAGAUCAUCUAACAAUUCAACAUGGUGCAGAACGUGAUCAGAGUCAGCAAAGAGGUAGAAUAUGAAUUAUUUAAAGAAGUCUCACGCGGCACGAUAAGAUGAAUCAGUCUCAUCAGCUUCAGCUUCAACUUCCAUUACUUUGUUCUGCCAUCCUUCAUCAAUGAUAAGAAAUUUUGUGGGGAAGCCUCCUUCUGAAAGACUGGAAAACAAAAACAUGAUGAUAUGUACUUAAGUUUUUUUUUUUUUCUAUAACCAAGUUGAACAAUCAAAGCUGUCUAUUUCAUUUGAAACUAAUUCACCUUUUAAGCCCCUUCUCAAUCCCUUCAGGAUCAACUUUAUGAUAAAAUGCAUCCCAGGUGCUCAACCAAACCAGUCCACAUGUGCUGGUAUCUGCCAUUUCAAGCACAACAGAUUUAGCAGGCUAUCUGUUUUCCAUAGUUUUUCAUGAAAUUGUAUGUGUGUGUGUAUAUAUAUAUAUAUAUAUCAAUUACCUUCUUGUUUUCUCAGUAUCUGGCACAUUAUAAUCACAAAUCUCAAAUCAAUUAAUUUUGAAAAUUUACUAAAUAUACUUUGUGGAAUUCCUAAUGAGCUUAAAAGGGUUGUCUCCUAAAUUCAUAAAAAUUGCUUCUGUUACUUGGGAGGUUUGGACGUUGGGAUCUCCUGAGGCAUAAAUAAACAAACCACAAAACUCAGAAAUAUUGAAUAGAAUCAAAAGGCAGAACAAAUUAAAACCGCAUUGAUCAACAUCCAAAAUAAAGUUGCAUAAAUUGAACGAACCGCUUUCGAUGCAAAAUUCAAGCUCAUUUACAGUGUUCCCUUGCAAACUAGCCCUGAAUGGUCCAUCCAAGACUGAUAAUAACAGAAUGUACAAACUGUUCUCAGUUGUUGGCUCAGAUAGCCCAUUUUGGACAGUGGAUUUUUCUCUUGUUUCCAAGAGGAGCAUUUGAGUUUCUGCUGGAACUUCACAGCCCGAAUCUCCGAAACUCGGUAUCAUCCACCAGAGCUUGAAUCUGAAGAGACACAUAAAAUUAUUCUUUAAAAAAAAAGCAAAUGUUUGACAUAUAUAUAGCCAACAAUACAAAAUUUGUUACACAUACUCAAGAACCCCAAAAGAGAAGACAUGACGAAAGCUAGAGUUUGAAGAAGCGGCUCCAAUGAAAGCAGCCUCAUCGGCAGCUGGUGCGACACUUAUGUUUCUUGGAACAUGAGACAGAACAACAUUGUCCCGGACCAUGAGGCAGUCAUCUUUGAUGCUUGGGACAAUCAUCUUUGCUAUAGUCGCUUCACAAACUUCAACUUUUCAAUUAUAUAUCAUGGAUGAUCUAGCAAGCUAGGGGGUUUUAUACAUCCAUAUAUGAAGAACAUGAGCUCAUAUCAGAUGACGUUGCAGCGCACCGAAACAAAGACCAGAAAAUUCUGAGACCGUCACACCGACCGAGUUUCAUGGUGACAUGUCUCUUGUAUAUUAAGUGCACCUAUAUAUAUAUAGUCUAAUUCUACAAAGAGCUUCCAUUGAGGGAUCCCUCAAAUAAGCUUAUUUGAGGGACACCCCUUGUAGGGCCCACUCCAGAUUGUAUUUCACUAAUCCAAACCGUCUACUUUGUAGAUACUCAUUCAAAGAUCAUCUAUACAAAAAAUCACUUGAAUCCGAUAUCAUUUGAUCAUUCAAUUGAGUUCUUGAAAUUUUGGUACUUUCUUGAAGCACCGUGUUCAUUGAUUUUGUAGGACACAAUUAGAUAUCGAAACGGUUUCCGAUUUGUCUAAUUUUUUGUAAGGAUGAUCUAUGAAUGAAGACCUAAAAAAUAGAUUGUUUGGAUCGUUGAAAAAAAAUUUAUAGGGUACCUUAAAGGGCGUCCCUCAAAUAAAAUUAUUUGAGGGAUCCCUCAAUAGAAGGGGACUGUUAAUUCUAUUGAGGGAUCUUUAUUUGAGGGACAUUUGGGGUCCCUUAUGAAUUUUUUUAAACAAUUUAAAUCAUUUAUGUUUUAAGUUUACAUUUAUAGAUGAUUUUUGCAAAAAAUUAGACAAAUUAGAGACCGUUUUGAUAUCCAGUUGUGUCCUACAAAAUCAAUAAAUACUGUGCUUUAUGAGAGUACUAAAAUUUCAAUAAUUCAAUUAAGUGGUUAAAUGAUAUCGGAUUGAAGUGAUUUUUUGUAGAGAUGAUCUUUGAAUGAGUAUCUACAAAAUAAACGGUUUAAAUUAGUGAAAUACAAUACGGAGUGGGCCUAUAUAACACAAUUUCAAGCAAAUUAAUGCUGUGAAAUUGAACCAAAUUUUGUUUUCUUCUUUCAAAUUCUCUCAUAUGAGGUGGCCCAACUUGACGAAAUUGUGGGGUGAGCUUACCUCAAUGGACCUACUAUGGCCACGGCAGGUUUAUAUUUUUCUUGUUAGGGCCUAAAUUGAACUACUAAAAAUCAAAAAGAAAAAUAUAAACCUUUCAUUUGAGUCAACAAGGUCUAGUCUAGUGAAAAAUGACAUUAACUUCUCUGGUAUGCCAUGUGCAUAAUAAAUUCUUUCAAUUUUCUAGGGUGAAUGACUGAGUCUGGUGUUGGAGCAGGAUUCCUUUCAAGAAAAAAUACCUAUACAGGUUCUUGACUGAAGUCCGCACGCUUCCUUGGUCGAAACAGAACUCCGGAUUUUGUUCCCGAGGUCAAAUGAUGGAAAGGGGAUGAGUACCUGCAAAAGUCACUCCAACUCUCAAGUCAGUAUUUGCGUAGCGUACUCUUAGUGUUUAAUUGAAUUUCUCGUACCUUGGCUGGAGAUCUAGCCGGGUUUUUAUAGCGCUUCGAGUUCUUGGGUUUGGCCAUGCUUCCCUAGCUUUGUACAUCCCGUCUCCCACUUCAUGGUAGUGGGAUCAGAUGAGUUGUAGUGGGAUCAGAUGAGUGAUUUGCAUCUCCCUCGCUCUGCACUUCUCUAGUGGGAGGGAAGCUCGAUCAUCCCACGUCUUUUGGUUGUAGCAUAUGGGUUAAGCCAUGACUCGAUCAUCCCACGUCUUUUGGUUGUGGCAUAUGAAUUAAGCCAUGAUAAAUGAGAUUUGGUCCCCACAUCUGGCCAGCAUCAUAUGAACUUUACUGGUUUAUCAUGUCUUCCACGACAUGGCGGGGCAAACUGAUAAAGCAAGUGCCACAUUAUCCCAGAUUAAGGAUUUUGAUUUAAUAACUUGAAAUUGAAUCAUUCGAAAUUUUCUGGUGCCUGUCAUAUCUUCCAUCAAAUUGAAUCCUGCGGUUUAGGAAGUGACCUUUGUCACAAUUAAGGUCUUUGAUAUAAUGUUUUGAACAUAAUGGUGGGGUGUCAACUUUCAUUUCACUCAUUGUCUUAAUCAUAAUUAUGAUAAUCAACCAUAACAUCAUAGACUGCAGGCCAGUUUUCUACAGCUGAGGGAGAACUUGGAUGAAUGGUUGCUUUAGCUCUUGUGCAUUUUGGAAAAGUUUCCAACUUGAAAUUGAUGUCAAGUUAAAAUUUAUAAAUUGGUGCCUCUUGAUGAGGAUUGAGUACAUAUUACAUAUAUUUCACAUAGAACAUUUUGCAGCACAGUGGCUGUGUAGUCAACGAUAUGGGGUCCACUCCAUGCAAUAAAAAGGAUCAUGAUCAAGACAAUGUGGUUACGUAAGUAACAUUUCUGUCCUUAAUGCAUGAAUUGUCUUUCUACAUAUAUUUUGGUGGGAAAUGGUCAUGUGGGGAUAAAUUUGGAUCUUGACUUUUAAGCACUAUGGCUUUACAUGGAUCUUUAUAAUAAGAAGCUUUGUCUUGCUUACUUGCUUGUGAGGUUUAAGAUUCUUUGUAGCUGCAAUGGAAGGAGAAGAUAUCACAACAAACAACAAAGAAGCUUUGAGCAUUGAACAAGGCCAAUUAAGGGGUGACCAAGAUCAAGAAUUUUCCCUCCCCUCUGCUCAUACAAUUGGCCAUGGUAUGUUCAAUUGUGUUAGUAAAAUUUUAGGAGGUGUGAGAUGAGUAUUUGUGAUGCUCUGAUACCGUUGUUGGUUUAUGUGAUAAAAUGGUUUAGGACAAUAGGACAAUAGUUGAAACAAAGUGAUUUUAUUAUAUUUGGAGGAGAAUAAUACACAGCAUAUGUAGGCUAAUUGGCCUCAGUUUUUUUUUUCUUUUUUUUUUGGCUUAUUGGCCAUCACACUUUCUUAGAUUAGUUUGGGCUAUUUGGCCCUUCACUUAGAUUGGUGAGCUUAUUGGCUCUCCUUUAGUUUGGGAGUUCUUUUCGUUGGACUCCCUCCAUAUGAUUUGGAUUGGGUAGCUUUUUUGCACCACCUUGUAUGAUCACAUGUAUGUGUAUGUCUAUUUAUAGACAGGAUCCACCGCCAUACCUUGGUCCACCGACUUAGGAAGAUUAACCCCAGCCACAUAUGUGUGGCUUUCUCUAGAUAAUUCUCCAACGUUGCAUGUAGUUGCCGACUUCCCAUCAAGCUUAUAGCACUUUCUUCAAGCUUCUAGAUUUUUCUAUACAAAUGUGUAUUAAUUUUAACAAAUUGUUUCAAGUCUUCUGAAGUACUCUGCUUUUUGUUGUUCUUCAUAUCUGGGUUUUUGCUAAAACCAGGUUCUAAAAGAAGCAAGAAAGUCAUUUCUGUGUUUUCAAGGCAUUAAUUUCUUAUAUGGGAUUGUUGAAUUAUGCUCUUUAAAGUGAAUGACAAAAUCCUACAGAUUCAUGGCAACAAGUUGGGUUGAUGCUGGUGACAAGCUUCAAUUGUGGUUACAUAUUGAGCUUUUCAAAUCUUAUGUUGGUGCCUUUGGGAUGGACAUGGGGGAUCAUAUGCCUGCUGGUUGUGGGGUUCUAUACUGCCUAUGCCAACUGGCUUUUGGCUGCUUUUCACUUCAUCAAUGGCCAAAGGUUCAUCAGAUACAGAGAUCUCAUGGGACUUUUGUUUGGUCAGUUUCAUUUGCAACAUAUUUAACCAACAAUGAUUGACUUAUAGAGGAAACUGAUAGUGUUUUUUCUUGUUUUUGCACUGUCUUAUAUUUCAAAGGUAGAGAAAUGUAUUACAUCACAUGGGUUUCCCAGUUCUUGACCCUUCUUCUUGGAAAUAUGGGUUUCAUUCUACUUGGAGGAAGGGCACUCAAGGUAAUUAGUAUUGGUAUUACUAAUUAACUCUAACACUCUAUUAAUUAUAUGCUUUCUGCAAUGAGAAUUAUAAGUUGGCUGAAGUUCAAAGGACAUGCAAACAAACAGGAGAUUAACUCAGAAUUCAGUGAUUCUCCCCUGAGGCUCCAAUACUUUAUCGUUGUCACUGGAGCGACCUACUUCAUCUAUUCAUUUCUAAUUCCAACAAUCUCUGCAAUGAGAAGGUGGCUCGGACCCUCUACCGUUCUCACUUUCGCUUACAUUGUCAUACUCUUGGUGGUAGCAGUUAAAGAUGGUACAAAAUCCUUUUUCUUUCAACUUCUUUAAUUUAUAAACCUCUCCUAAUUUCAGAAUCAUAUCCCAUAUAUAAUUUCCAAUGCUUACCAUUCAUGCAAUGAUUCUUGUGAAGGGAAAGCUAACACAAAGAGAGAUUAUGCAAUCCAUGGAAACAAAGCAGGCAGAGUGUUGAAUGCCUUUGGUGCAAUUUCAGCUAUAAUUGUGUGCAACACCUCCGGCCUGCUACUAGAGAUACAGGUAGAAUCACUAGAAAUAUACCCCAAAAGAAAAAGUUUAAAAUUCUGAUAUUUCGUGCUUUUUGUCUGUGAAGUCAACUCUGCGCAAGCCUGCAGUUUCAAAUAUGAGGAAAGCUUUAUAUCUGCAGUUUAGUGUGGGGCUGGUGUUCUACUAUGGAGUCAGCAUGGUGGGAUACUGGGCUUAUGGCUCAACUGUCUCUGAAUACCUUCCUGGAGAGCUAAGCGGUCCUAAAUCGGUUAAGGUCCUCAUAAACGCCGCCGUUUUCCUGCAAUCCAUAGUCUCUCAACAUGUAAGCCAUGAUGAUGAUGGUACACUAAAAUCAUAGUGACUGUAUAUUUGAUUUUUCAUGCAGAGGCUUAUAUUUUUCAACUGAACUUUCCAUCUUUUUUUGCGUCAACAGAUGUUUGCUGCACCAAUUCAUGAGACCCUUGAUACCAAGUUCCUCAAACUUGAAACCGGCAUGAACACGAAAGAAAACAUGAAGAGGAGAUUCUACAUGCGAGCCCUUCUUUUCACGGUGAAUUCAUUUGUGACAGCAGCUUUUCCUUUCAUGGGGAACUUUGUGAACUUGUUUGGAUCAUUCACACUUGUUCCUCUAACUUUCGUGUUCCCAAGCAUGAUUUUCAUCAAGGUAAUAUUGCUAUACCGCACCACAAUCAGGACAAAGUACAAGCUAACUUGCUAUCUUAUUGGCUUUCUUCUUUUCUCACAGGUGAAAGGAAAGACAGCUAGACUAGAGAAGAAUUUAUGGCAUUGGUUCAACAUUGUAAUUUUCUCUCUCCUUGCUGUUGUGACCACAAUUUCUGCUGUUCGAUUGAUCGUCAACAAUGUUCAGAAAUAUCAUUUCUUUGCGGAUACAUGAAGACAUGUAAAUUAUUACAGGCAUUUUACAUUUCAAAAAUAUUCAUCUAUAGUAAAUUAUUGUAGAUACAUGAUGAAGACAUGUAAAUUAUUGCAGAUACAUAAAAACAUGUAAAUUAUUACAGAUACAUGAAGACUUGGGAGCUUACAUCUAAAGUAACCAAAGGAAAAUAUUAGUUCUGUCAUCAUGCCUUACAAUAGAAAAAUAUUCAUGCAAUGCCGACGUGGUGUAUCGAGUACACACAAUAAUUUUUUCUUCAGAUGGUCAUACACCAUGGGCUAUUUAAGCAGACACUUGUAGCACAUCCAUCAUAAAUAGGCAGCCAAUUGAUUCUAUUAGGACCAUGGUCAAGAUCUCAGUUGAACUUGACAUUUCUGUCUUUCAUGCAUGGAUUGUCUUUGCAUGUGUGGUUAUGGCCGGAGACUCCGGUAGACUGUAGUAAUAUGUAUAGCUCCCCGUAAUUCAAGUGCCUUUCUGCAUAUAUUGAAGCGGGAAUGUGCAUAUAUUGAAAAAGUUGUUGUCAAUCUCUGAUUUUCAUUAACAAAAGAGAAGAAAAAGAUCAUAACCCAUUUUAGAUUUUCUUUUUAAUAUAUAAGAUCUCGUAUGAAAGGAAGGAGAAGGUAAGAAAGAAGCCUGGAGCACAGAACAAGGCCAAAUAAAGGGUGACCAAGAUCAUGAAUUUUCCCUCCCAUCUGCUCAUACCAUUGGCCAUGGUAUGUUCAAUUCAUAAGUUUCCAUUAUCAAAUCACCCAAAAGUUCCCAAAAAUACUCUCUUUCAGAUUCAUGGCAACAAGUUGGCUUCAUGCUGGCAACAAGCUUCAAUUGUGGAUACAUUUUGAGCUUCUCAAAUCUUAUGUUGGUACCAUUGGGCUGGACAUGGGGUGUCGUAUGCAUGGUGGUUGUAGGGUUCUAUUCUCUCUAUGUUAACUGGCUUUUGGCUGCUUUUCACUUCAUCAAUGGCCAGAGGUUCAGAGGUUCAUCAGAUACAGAGAUCUCAUGGGAUAUUUAUCCGGUGUGUACAUCGCAUAAGAUACCAUAAAAUGCUUGAGUACAAAUUAUAUGAUUUGUGUUUUUAAUUUAAAUUUAUGUUUGGCCCUGUGUUUUUAAGGCAGAAAAAUGUGCUACUUCACUUGGGUUUUACAAUUUGUGACCCUUCUUCUAGGAAAUAUGGGUUUCAUUCUCCUUGGUGGAAGAGCACUGAAGGUAUGCUCUAACUCAAUAUGCUGAGUAUGUGUUUCUGCAAUUAGAGCAUUGAAGUGGUGGUGGAUAUUCAAAGGAUAUGUUUCUCUGCAAACAGGAAAUCAACUCAGAAUUCAGUCACUCUCCAUUGAGGCUCCAGUGGUUCAUCGCUAUCACCGGAGUGACGUUCUUCAUAUUUGCUUUUUUUAUUCCAACAAUUUCUGCAAUGAGAGGUUGGCUGGAAGCCUCUACCAUCGUCAUCUUCGCUUACAUUGUCACACUCUUGGUGGUGGUGGUUAAAGAUGGUACACAGAAAACCUCUGUUUUCCCAUUUCUUUUAUUUCCAACCCUCUCAUAAUUUCAUGUCCAAUAAUACUGUAAUAGCACAAUAUACAUGAAUUUUACAAUGCUUACUAACACAUGCAAUUCUUCUUCUGAAGGGAAGACUAACAAACAGAAAGAUUAUGCAAUCCACGGAAACAAAGUAGACAGGUUGUUCAAUGCCUUCGAUGCAAUUUCAGCUAUAAUCGUAUCCAGCAACUCCGGCUAGCUACCGGCAAUACAGGUUCAUACCUCUAGAAUAGAUUCUGUGAGAAACUAAUGGUGCAAAAAACAGUAAAGAUUCUAAUUCUGAUGUUUUUAUCUUUUUGGAAUAUGAAGUCAACUCUGCGGAAGCCAGCAGUCACAAAUAUGAGGAAAGCAUUAAAUGCGCAGUUUAGUGGGGGUAUCUUAUUUUACCAUGCAGUCCCCAUGAUGGGAUACUGGGCUUAUGGCUUGAAAGUACCUGAAAACCUUCCUAAUGAGCUAAAUGGUCCUAAAUGGGCUAAGGUUCUUAUAAAUGCUGCUGUCUUUCUACAAUCCAUAGUCUCCCAACAUGUAAGCGAUAUACUGAUGAUGAAUGUGUAAUUAUUAUUAAGGUUCUUUUCAUUCUUCCCACCAUGCAUGUUCGCUUCUGUUCUCAUACAUAUCACUGCAGAAGACUUACUCUUCAACUGGACUUCAGUUUUUUUACCUCAACAGAUGUUGUUGCACCAAUUCACGAGGCCCUUGAUACCAAGUUCUUCAAACUCGAUAAGUCCACGAACUCGAAAGAAAAUUUGAAGCGCAGAUUCUUCCUACGAGCCUUCUUCUUCAUAGCAAACACAUUUGUGACCUUAGCUAUUCCUUUCAUGGGGGACUUCGUGAACUUGUUUGGAUCGUUUUCACUCGUUCCUCUGACUUUUGUGUUCCUAAGCAUGAUUUUCAUCAAGGUAACUUUGCUAUACUGUGCUCUUCCUUUCUCACCUCACACUCCACCCCCCACCAAAAGAUACUGCAUCAUAAUCAGGACAAAAUAAAAGAUUAUAAAACCUAAGUUGCUAUAUUUUUGGCUUUCUUUUCUCACAGAUCAAGGGAAAGACAGCUAGACCAGAGAAGAAUUUAUGGCAUUGGUUCAACAUUAUUAUUUUUUCUCUCCUUGCGGUUGUAACCACAAUUGCUGCAGUUCGCUUGAUACUCAACAAUGUUCAGAAAUAUAAUUUCUUUGCAGAUAGAUAAAGACAUGUAAAUUAUCACAGAUAAUAAUCAUUUGAUACCAUUCAAAAGAUACAGUGCACAACAGAAGAAGACUGAUUGCAGCAAGUUCCUUAUUCUGGAAAACAAUUUGCAAGUAAUUAAUACUGUACAUUGUCCACUACUUUUCUAUUCCCUGCAAUGAUGAGUUUCCAUACACAAUUCUCUGAGUUCAGAUCCCAUACCAGAACACGUCACUUUUAGACUUGGUAGCUGGCUGACAUGUUCCCAGAAGUGAUAGAAAUACGUUUCCUUGGUAGCUGCUCUUGGUUACCAUGUGUAAGCGGGCCUAUCCUGGGGUAAGGGGACAAGGGGACAACAUAGGGUGCUCACCAGUCAGGGUAUCUGCUCUUCCUUACCUGUAAGCAUACAAGUAUCAAGAGGAUUAAUGCCUUGAUGAAUGGAAGCUUAAGCAUGACUGAGGAGAACAAAGUCUGCCAGGAUUUUGUUGAAUAGCGAGGAGUUCCAGCACUGAAUUGUCUGUAACUGGCAGCACAAUGUUUAGUUAUUGUUGCAUUCCUUUUAAACUCUUCUGUUCAUCUUGGGGCUGGGAAUUCACAACCAUCUCAGACCACAUACUGACCAAGUUAUAAGAAUGAAACCUACAUAACCUCAUUGAAUUGACAACUUAAACCCAGUCUUGCACUAGCAACAGAAAGUGUGCAUUAUAAUUCAAUGAGAACAGCAUGGCAGAAUUCUACCAGGGAAUUCCGUUUACAUUUGGUUCUUCAUUUGUGUUGCAUGACCUUUGCUAAUUUCAACCCAACUGCACCCAGGAAGCUUAGUUGCACUUCUCUCAUUCAUUGCUUCCCGCACCUUUCUGGCUUCAUCCCAAUGUUCUGUCGAAGCAUAGAUACUUGAAAGUAGCAUAUAAUUUCCAGUAUUCCCAGGUUCUAACACGAAGAGUUUCUCGGCAACACUUUCUGCAAUCUCAACAUUUCCAUAAGUUCUACAUGCAGCAAGCAGAGCUCCUAAUGCUCCAGGCUGUGGUCCCAUAGGCAUUCUCUUUACCAAAUUGUGGGCUUCAUUGAGUUUCCCAGCACGUCCCAGCAUAUCGACCACACAUGUGUAGUGAUCAGCAUCAGGCUCAAUAUUGUAAUCUUUAACCAUGCUUUCCCAGUACUUCAUUCCAUCUUCAACGAGUCCUGCAUGGCAGCAGGCAGUGAAUACCCCAACAAAUGUGAUGCCAUCGGGUUCAAUAUUUUCUGCUAGCAUUCUCUGGAAGAUCUCAAGCGCUUUAACCCCAUGACCAUGAGAAGCAAGGCCUGUGAUUAAUGCACUAUAAGAGAAAACAUCCUUCCGGGGGAUUUUCUCAAAUAUACCACAUGCCUCUUCCAUAUUCCCACACUUGGCAUGCAUGUCAACUAGUGCAGUGAGCACUUGUUCAUUCUGUUCUAUACCUUCUCGAUCCACAUAUGACCCAAUCCAAUUUGCCAGAUCUGCACGGCCCAAUUGUGCCAAUGCAGAAAUCACAGCUGUCAUGGUGAAAGCAUCUGGCUUUACCGGUGCCUUUUCCAUUCUCCAGAAAAGUGAAAGCGCUUCGCUUGGUCUCCCAUUUUGUGAAUACCCUGAAAUCAGGGCCGUCCAACAAAUCAAACUUCGUUCAGGCAUUUCAUCAAAGAGGCCCCUUGCUUGAUCAAUAAGCCCACUUUUAGUAUACCCCACCAACAUUGUAGUCCAAGAAACAACAUUCCUCUCGGGCAUCCUAUCAAACACAGCCCUCGCUGAAACCAGACCCCCACUAUUUACAUAACCCACAAUCAUCGCGUUCCAAGAUAUAACAUUUUUUCCCAGCAUUCCCUCAAACAAAACCGAGGCAUCCUCCAUAUCCACCCCACCUCUCGCAUGAGCCCCUAAAAGGGCAUUGUAAGAAACAACAUCUCUCUCAGACAUUUCAUCGAACACCAUCCGAGCCCUCACCAAUUUCCCACAUUUUCCAUACAUAUCAAUCAAUGCAUUUGAAACCGGAACACAAAAGCCAAAACCCAUUUUAACAACGCGUCCAUGGACCUCAAUCCCAGCACAAAGAUCAUUUAACGCGGCACACGAGUUAAGCACAAAAGGGUACGUAUAGUUAUCGGGUCUUAUUCCAAGGCAAACCAUCUGAGAAUACAAACUUCUCGCUUCGGCACAGAGCGACGAAGUCUUAGAGAAAGCUCUAAUGGCGUGGUUGAAGAGAGAGAGAUUUGGGUUCGCAAAAGAGGUAAAGACGAGGUGGGUAUUUCGAGGCGAAGAGGAGAGAGAGGCAUAGAGAGAGAUAAGAGUGGAGGCUAAGGAGGCGUUUCGAUGGAGAAUGGACCGGACGAUAUGGGCGUGGAUUUGCUUAAGGUGGCGAAGCGAUGUGCAAGCUUUUAGCAGAGAGGCAGCUCCAUCUGCUUUGUUGUUCGGAUGGCUUUUGGUGACCGUUGUCGGUCUCAUUUCAUCUCACUUCUCAAAAAUUUCGAAGUUCGUUGGUUUAACGGCUCUUUGAUCCUUUCCCGGUAAAAAUAUAACAUAAGAAAAUUAUGUGAGCAUUUUGGGCUUUUAAAUUUGUUAAAUGUAAAAUUAUGCGCAACAAUAUUAUCUAAUUUUUUAACACUAUUAUAAUAUGAAUGGAUUAAUUAAUAGUGUGGUUGUUACACUCACAAUUUUAUCUUAUUUUUUAUACAUGUUAUAAUACAAAUGAAUUAAUAUUUUCUCUUUUUUUUUUUAUAAAUAUAAACGAUAUUUUACUUAAAUUAAUCUAAACUACGGAGAGAGAGAUUUGAACUUAAGUACAGAGUAAGGAGCACAUUCACUCUAGUCAACUUGGCUAAACUCAUGUAUGUAAUGAAUUAAUAUUCUGUCACUCAAAUCAUCUCGCUAGUAUGAAUCUCGCGUAAUUUUCGUCCAACUACAAUAAGAGAUUGUAAGAGAAAUUAAUAAAUUAGAUUCUUUCAAUGGAUAAUAUGCCAUUUUCUCUUUUAGCAGGAAAGAUCUUGGAGUCAAUAAUGCAAAAGGAGUGUUGCGACCAAAAAAGAAAUGAAUGAGAGAAGGGGAUAUAAGAAAAGAAAAGAGAGAUCUUGAAUUGAUCAAGUUUUCUUCUUCUUUUUUUCGUGGGAAAAAGGGUGAAGAUUUAUUUGUUGCAAGAAUUUGCAACCCCCUUAAGAUUUGAUUUAAUAUGUAUUGUUAUACUUACAACAGUACUGCAUAACAAAUUGUAUCAACAAUAGCUGCUCUUUUUAUUAUAAUAAAAUUAGUUUUUUAUUUCUUUCAAUACAUAUGUCGGUAGAGAGAGAUCCUUUCUACAAUGCAUGUAUAUUGUUGAAGAAUAUAAAGUCCCACAUCGAAAACUUGACUAAAUAAAUUAUAACUUAUAAUAAAUGGUUUCACUCCUAACUGCAUAGGAAAAUUUCUCUAUAUACACCCUCACACCAUGCACAUGGCAUGGCUAUAGAGAAUUUCUCAUUAAUCUUUAUAAAUAAUUAUGCUCAAACCAUUCUUCCAACAGAAUACCUUGAGGGCAAACUGCCGUGAAGGCCGCCACCAUGACCUAAAUUAUAAGGCCUCUCACCACACUUGAAAGGAAGAGGGUUGGCCUGCAUGAACAAAUAGUUUCCACCAAACAAGUCGUUCAUGUGAGCCUGCCCAUUCUUCAACCUCUUCAAAGCUUUGCUCCAUGAAACUUUGAUCCUUGUGAAAAGCCUAGCUCUUCUCCUCAGAAACCUCCUCAAGCCCAAAACCCGAACCCUUGGCCUCCUCCUACUAGUUGUUAGCUUUCUGAUCUUGGACAACCCACCACUUGUCUUCUUGAAUAUAACUGCUCUGUUUUGCUCUGGUUCUUCAUCAAAGACACCUUCGUUUCUCAGCCUUUGGUAAGCAAGUUCUGAGACUGAAGCCAUUUUGAGUGGAAAUGGUUGUGGUGGAAUAGUAGAUAGAGGAGUUGUAUGAGUAAUUAAAGAGGGUUGAUUUUUGUUUUUAUUUUGUUUUUGUGAUUUUUUUAGGUCUCUCUCAAAAUGAAAUUGACAAUUUAAAAAGUGAACAAAGUAGCUCAGGUUUAAUGAAUGCAGCUGAAAUUUUUGGUCAUGGUAGUUUAUGAGUCCGUGAUGUAUAAUGUUCCUUUAUGCUUAAUCAGAGUAGUAUCUCACAAUCACAGAAAUCAAUCCUUCAAAACUAGUCACAAACUCACAUUAAGGUUCUUUUAUAAAGAGUAAUCAUCCUUCUCGUGUCAAAAUAGUCUAGCGUAUUUUAAUCCCGGUCACACAUUGAUCAAUAUUUCAGAUUAGUAGCCUAAUAUAACAUGUCGAAUCGUCUUACAAAAAUUUCUCAUGGUUAUCUUGGGAAGCCUUAUUAGGAUAUGCUUCCAACUAGAGGUAAUUAGGCAGCAAAACCUUCCUCACUCUAAUUAUAUACGACAUAGACGUUCAUGACCUUGAAAACAUUCACAUGCAAAUGGACCAACAUCGAUAUCAUCGACCAUCAUACUAGACACCUUUGGUUAUAUGAAAUUAAAGCUUCUAUAUUAAUGUGGUAUUUUCUUUUACUGUGUUGGCAUGUUAUUUUACAUGAAUUAUUCUCAGCCCCCAUCUAACAUUUUUGGGAUUUUGUAGUACUAAUUAAAAGGAAAGGACCUCAAAGUCCUCACUGAUGUAGGAACCUAACCCACUGAGAUAUGCUAGGAAUUCCACCAUUCACAACAGUGAGCAUAUAAUAACCAGAGGGAGCAACAUUAGGAGAUGGGGGAGCCUCCAAAACUGCAUGCACCAAUCCACCUUCAGCUCUCACCACUUUCUUGCACCUCAAUUUCAGCAACCUCUGGUUCAUGGAUAUGGAGUGUGUUGUGAAUGGUGGUGCAUAAGCAUUAAACUCCACCACUUUGCUUGGCUUCCUCCCCAACCAAAAGCUCACAUUAAAAUCUACCCCAUACCUUACACCAGAGAGAUCACCAUGGCCAUAGUUUAUGGUCAAAUUUAUUGGUCUAUAUGUAUGGUAUUGCCUUCCCAUGUAGUGUGGGGCAAAUGCUUGGAGCCUAAGCUCAGUUGGGUAGGCCACAUUGCUGAAAGUGUAGCAUUCAUGAGGGUUGCCCCCACCAACCAAGACCCUCCCAUCAGGUAAAAGAAUGGCUGAGGAGUGAUACAUUCUAGCAAUUUUUGUGGACUUGAGGACAGAGAAUCUUUUGCCUAAUUUGUGAUUUGGGUUGUAGAGAUAAGGCUGGAGGGAAGCAUUUCUUGCAUUGUUCCAUCCUCCAGAGCCUCUUUUGGCACCAUUGAUGAUCAAAACAUUCCCAGUUGGGAGGAUCAGCAUGUCGCUGAGAAGACGAGAGCCCGGCAUGUUCUCCAUGUUCCACUUGUGUCUGUUGCCUGUGAUCACCAUUCUUCCACAGGAGCUUAGGCCUUUCAAGAAUCUGUUUUGUCCUGCUGCUCUGUGGGCUCCAGAGGCAGCACCACCACACACCAUGACUUCCAUUCUUUCGAAAUUGUUUGUGUGGUCUAAUGGGAGGAUCACUGAUGAGCCAGAGCCUGGAUAGUUCCUAGAGCCAUCACCGGGUAUUCGAGGGAAGGUCUUGAUCACUAUGUUACUUCUGUAAUUGAAGAGAAUGGAGUCCCGGUUGGCAAAGAUGAACAAAUUUCCAUCCGAAGAGAGGUGAAGGAAGGGAUAGAGGUUGUUCCCUCCUUCACUUCUGUCAUAAGUUUGGUGCAAGAAUGAUAGGUCAUGAGAGCCUUCAUUGGAAGACAUUUUUGGUACAAAUUCAUAAGUAAAGGUCCUUCUUCCACCAACCACAAUGAUCCUAUCAUGUUCUGGGAGCAAUUGAUUGGAAGCGUACCAACGAUCAUCAGCCAGUGAUCUCUCCGAUUGCCUCCAAUCACACUGGCCAUCCCCACAAGGCUUGAAGUAUCGAAUUCUUCGAGUGCCACUUCCAUAUCCACCCGUUUGUAGAAGUGUCCCGUUGCUCAAGAAAGAGCCUGAGGAGCACCAGGUAUCAGUGUAAAGCCUCAGAGGUCUAACUUUGUUGCUUGAAAUGUCAUACUCCACGGAGUGAGCAUAGCAGGAUGAGUCUGCUAAAUCGUCAUGGCUCUCUGUGCAUCUGUUUCCAUUGUGGCGCCUUCGAAGCCUGUACACAGAGGGGCCAGCUUCUGUUUGAUCAAAUAUAACGACAGUGUUGUCAUGUGUCAAUGCCAUAUGCAUAGCCACUACGCCUGUGUUGUUUAGCAGCAGCUGCCAUUGCCCUUUCCGGCCUACAGCAGAGAACCUCCCGACUGCACCACUAAACCCAAUACAAUGCAAUGUGAAGAACAAAGCAGUGAUCAUGGAUUUGAUUGCAAUGAGAAAGUGAUUGUGCUGCGCCAUGGGAGAGUGAGAGUGUACUUUCUCUGUGCAUGAGUGAUGUGGGAACAGUUUUAAGUCUUUUUUUUUUUAUAUAUAGACUUGUUUGCUAAAAUUUAGUUUGCCCAGUCCUUGGAAGUAGUAGAAUUUUAUGAAACAGAGUCUUGCUGUGAAAGAGUGGAAGCUUAUUUUAUUAUUGGCGUGUUUGGUUUUCUUGCAAUCAUCUAGUGUGCUGCUUGUUCGGUUUUCUUGCAAUCAAGGGGUGAAAUUGGCAAUUGGCUUGCAAAAAAUCAAUGGUUCAACCAUGCUUUUGAAGAGUGAGUCUUUGGCUGAUGGCACAAGACUCCGCCAAACUUGGACAAAGUGUAGGGUAAAAAUGUUAUUGAAUAUGCAGUUUUCUCAGCUCUGCUAACAAAUAGCCAAUGGCCUUUGGCUUGGGGCUAAGAACCCCAGCCAGAAAAGUUGACACACGACAUGUCAAUUUCGUGUUUGUGUUGGACAUAAAAAUGACAUGCCGUUUAUUCAUCACUUGGUCUCAGAAUGACAUGCCAUAGCUGAGAGGUCCUCUGUAGAUGAGCCACAAGGUAAACUUUACUGACAGGUUAUAUAAGGUAUAUCUUGUGUACAUAUAUGUGGAGCCAUAAAACUACUUGUUACAUGUUGAAUUUAAUUGGGCAAAAGUAGAAAUAAGUAGAAAAAAAAACGACAAGCAACAAAAUUCAAACAAACACUGAACUAGCCAUAGCAGCAAGUCUAACAGCGAGUGUCCUAUGCCAGCCAAUACCUCAAAAGUGGAGGUCUUUCGUUCUGUAGGUGCUUAAGCUAUUAGACAUGAUGCAUGGAGAAAUAUUCCCAGCAAUCCAAAAAAACUGAAGAUAUGUACAAGGAGCCGAGUUCCUCUCGAUGAAAGAAAAUUGUAACAAAUUGAAAUAGUCUUGGAGUUGAAGUUGCAAUGGUCCAAAUUUCAGGCGGACUAACGCUUAAUAGAGCUUUAUUCGGGUUUCAAUGGUGCUUCUGCAAAUGGGGCAUAAUUGAAGAUCUUGUCCACAGUCACAGCAUGUCUGCAAAUUAUAUUGAAGUCCAACUCAGGUAUUCAUUCUUGCAUGCAAUUCUUUAAGGUGUAAACAACGUAUAGAUGGAUUACCUGAUGUCCACAACCAAAUGCCAUAUUCUUCGGAUCGGUUAGGCAAAUGGGACAGACCUGUCAGAAUCACAAAAAUAUAAGUAUUUGAUGUCCAUGACGUAUGUUAAGCCUACUCAUCAAAAGAUUCAGUGGCACAGCAUCAUAAUUAUGCUAGAAACAAAUGCAGCUCAACUACAGAAGUAGAAAGAGGGCAAGUACAUGAUUAUCAGAAGCUGAACUUGCAGGACGUGCUGUGCUAACAAACUCAUCACGUUGCCUGGAUGGUGCACUUGGACGAAAAUUACUUGAUUGUGACGGUUUUGGCAUGCUAAAAGAAGCCGAACCAUAAUGAGGCGGGGGAAGAGGUACCCUAUCUACAGCCUUCCCUCUUGUAGAACUACAUAAGCAAUGAAAGGAAAGGAUGAUUUGCAAAUGAAUUUAUGUCACCCAGGCUCCCAGCUGCAAUAGCAAAUCCCUCAAACCCCACUAGACAGGAGUUAGAUUAUUACCCUAAUAUAUUAAGCUCGAGGGUUGCUUUAUACUGGGAGGGUAUUUCCAUCAAUGCUGCAAGAGCAAAUUCUGCUUCUUUUCUCGAACGAUCCAUAUUCUUUGUCAUAAUUUCUGUAAAAUUCACAAACUACAGAAGACAAAAGAAAGCAGCAACUUUCAGUUAAAGUUUGAAGAGAUAAGAGACAUGAAAGCUUACAUACUCCAUCAAGAUGAUAUCUGCUAUAUUUACCUGAAAGUUAUCGAAGGCCCGAGCGGGGAUGUUAUCAUCAAAUUCCUUCAUCAUAUCCCACGGCCCAUCUCCAACUCCAACUAGUAUAAUUGAUAAGGGAUACUCACUACAAUAUAACAAGUACAUCAUAAGGUAGAAUGGCAAAAAGAAUAAGACCAAGGAAACAAGUCUAAGAAUUUACCUUGCUUUCACAAUUGCUUCAACAGUUUUCCUUUCCUGUGGGCUUAACUGGCCGCGCUCUGUAUCAACACUCCUGGUCACCUGUGACAAUUUUCAGUCUCCUUUAAUAAUUUAACACAAGAAAUCAUAUCACUAUGUAAAGCCUUUGCUGCUUGAUCAGAGAAUUCUCGGAAAGGUAUAACUAUAAGAUAUAACCAAAAACAAUGUACCUGUCCAUCAGCUAUUAUCACCAACACAUGGUACUGACCACCACUUUGCUCAACAAUAGUAAUGGCCAUUUCAAUAAUAGGGGCAAAUGAUGUGGGCCCUGUCACAAGAAAAGAAGGGUAUGAAUCUCCAUAAGCAAAUAAUCAACCAAGAAAAACAAGGGAAAAGGGAGUAAAACAAAUUGCAACCGGCAAGUCGUAGCUGAGGGACUAAUUCUCUAUAUCGUCUUAAUACUUCUUCAAAUCCAUUGCAAAAAGAUCCCUCAUCUGGGUAGAAACUGAAAACUUCUUGGUCAUGGGUUGAUGCUGCAAAUAUAUGAAAUCAUAUCAAAACACUAUUGUCAAAAGGCUAAAUUUGAAGAAUGAGACAACUGUUAGAUGAAAUACCAUCUCCAAAUCCAAAACAGGGAAUCAAGUUAUCUUCAUCAAAGGAAGACAAUGUUUUCCCUAUAAUUGAUAUUGCCUGUUCAUAGGGAUUUUGCUCUUCUCCAAUGUGAUGCAAGCUUUUCCGAUGAAAUGACCUUGCACCUGGUACAAAAGUAGGUUAAGAAUGUUUCACUAUAACUGAUAAAAAGACUUCUAAGCACCCAGACCGGGGAAAACCUGUCCACUCGUUGCUCUUUGUGAAAUCAAUGCCCACAAUAAGAUUGGAUGACUCCAAACCAGCACGUGCCAAUGCAUCUGUGACCUAUCAAAAGAUGAGAGUAAAACAGAAUGUCAUCAUAAUUACUCAAGUGACAUUAGCAAUUACAACGAUCUGAAAUCAUAUUUGCUUCAAAGACAGAUGACAAGAAUAUAAAAAUGCACGUAGGUAAUCAAUAGUCUUUUUUUUUUUUUUUCAUGUUCAGAGAGAGAGAAGGGGGAUAUAAAAAAAAAAAAAAAAUCUUGAGAUAUAUAUAAAAAAGAACAUCUUGAGAUGAACUAUUCCAUUUGUAGACAACCGUUGAGUACAUUCUGACUAAAAGCAAGCUCUCCACCACAUAAAAGAAAUUGACUGUACUUUUUAUGUGCUGCAAUUGCAUCAGUUCAAUUACCUGCUCCAGGCUGUUGUAAUCAUCAUCUAUUUUUGAAUACUUCCUUUCCAACCUCUUUUUCGACCCUGGCCAAGCACUACCGUGGCUUUGAGGUGGUGGUGCAAAAUGCUGCUGUUGCCCAUAGUCUUGGCUUGGUGGUACAUAUGGUUGUGCAUAUGGUACCUCUGGAUAACUUUGUUGACUCCAAGAAUGCGAUCCAGACCCAAAAGAAGCCUGUCUCGAAGUAGCACGUUUCGAAAUUAUCCCACCCAUCAAUUGUAUAUUCUACAGGAACACUACACAUUCAACAAACAAAAAUUAAGUAAAUGUUAUAAAUCAAUCUCCCAUGGAGUUCACACAUUGAAAGGCUUGUUCUAUUAAUCUAACAAUCAUUAUAAAAGGAUCAUAUAUGGAAAAAGUAACUAAAACAAUCAAUCCCAUUUGCUUCAUAUUCUGAUUUGAAUAUAACCUCAAGAAACAGAAUUGUGAAAUAAAGACAAAAAAAUGAAAUAAAAUAUUCUCAAGAAAAUUGAACAAAAAGUUUAAGAUAACCAGGGCCAACUAUCUAUCCCAAGCCUCAUUCACAGGCAAAGAAAUGGGGUUGAAUUCGAUAAUGCUGGAAAUAUUAAGACAACUUCAUAUUGGGAUUAGUGAAACGUAAGAACAUAACCCAGAAGAUAUCAGCACAUUUUCAGGGCAAAAAGAAUGUAAAUCAAAGAAAUCUUUUGCACCCUAAAACCAGAUAUCUAGUUUCUUCUUCGAAUUCAUAAUUAUUAUCUAACAAGACCCAAACUUUUCACAACCCACAUUUUAUAUUAUCUCCCACUUGACUCAAAGUCAGAGAAAGAUGCAGACUUUUUAGAGCUCACCGACAAAUAUAUAAAAAAUAUAGCCCCAAUCCCUAAUACCCAAUUUUCAGAAAAGACCAAAGACAUGAAAACUUCACAAGCUAAGAAAAAAGAAAGAAGAAAGAAUUGGAACCUCUUAGAGAGACAUUUCUGAGUUGAAGGUGCUGCUGAGGAGCAUUUUCCGAGUUGAAGAUGUUGUCAGUGGGCGGAGAAGUCCAAAGGGCUAAAGUGGUAACUUGGCAAAGGUUGGUUGUUCUUGCUAAUGGAGUAAAAAGUCUUGAGUCUUUGUGAGAGAGACAGAUGGAUAUACUCACGUUCGGAGUUUACUGGUGGAGGCUGGUUCUAGGAAGUUUCCUUACACAAAAGGAAGAGUCUCUGUAUUUUCUUUUCUGGUUUUGGCUGAUAGCGUCACCCUCCCACUGAUUGACUUGGUUGCUUUCUUUCUUUUUCUUCUUUUUUUUGUUUGUUUUUUCCAUGUUUUUUUUUAUUUUUUUGUGUAAACAUGAUAGACAUCAAAGAUAAAGUGUGAUUGUGUUAUCAAUUUAAUUAGAUUAUUAAUAAUGUAAAUGUGUUAUACUCAAAUUACAGAGCACACUAUAAUUAUAAGUGAUUCGUGAUAUGACAUUUUGUGGAGAGAUGUCACGCGUUGUUAUAAUCAACAAACAAUUAUUCCACUUUUAGCCCUUUUCUUGAUCUUGAAGUAAAUAGUAUUGUCAAUUUGUCAUGAAAAUCACAAGUGAGUCAAAUGAUUAAUGCAUAGUUUUACACCUAACGCGAAAAGAGAUGUUUGAAACCGUGUGAAUCUCAUCAAAGAAAAGUAUCAUUCCUUACAUAGUUUUAAAAACUUGCUUAAACAUCAAUAAUUGGUGUGGGGAUGAUUAAAUAUACUAAUUACGAUAAUAAACAAAAAUAAUCAAAAAAGGGACUUGAGUUGAUAUUCCUACGCUUUCCCAAGAUUAUAGUCAAAAUAUUGCUCGACUCAGGAUUUAAGGGAACCUUUCUUUCUUCCUUCAUGAACCAAUUGCUAAUGGUGGGGAACUUGGAAGCACAGUCACAUGUUAUGCACCAUGAUUAUUUGUUUUCUUUUUUAAGGGUUUGUCCUGGCAUGAAAGCCGAAUGAAUUUAAGGAGAUGCUAGUAAUCUUUUUUCCAACUUUUUUUUUUUUUACUUUCUCCUUUCAACUCAUGAUAUGUGCUACUUUCUUUACAUUUAAAACAAUGUCAUUAAGCCAAGGAGGGUUGGUUGAGUUGGUAAGGAUCGUUCUCUUCACUAUCAAGGCUUAGGUUCAAGUCCCGCUGUUAACAAACCCUCUUGGUGGGUAAUUUGUAAAAAUCAAAAAAUGGGCUAAGACCCCCCUCUCUAAGUCUUGAAAGAGGCUUUGGUAUUCCCUGGCCCUAGGAUGGGGUAACCUCUCUUGCCCCUAAACUUUUCAAAAUUAAAAAAAAAAAAAAAGUGUCAUUAAUGUAUCACACAAGCUAAUUUUUAUUUUUCAAAUUUACCUGUAUUAAAUAUAUUAACUUUUUUUUUUUUACAAGAAGUUAGUCUUUUUAAAACUUUCUCUCUUUUUGCCUUUUUUACUUUAAACGUCAAUUUUUGUUUAAUGUCCCUUUUUUUUCUUUCUAGAAAACAAAUGUUGCUAAUAAACUAGUUUCUUUUACAGAUAUAUUAAAAAACAAACAAACAAACAAACAAAUGUUAUCUUUGAAAAAAAAAUUACACUUCUUAAAAUAAAUAAAUAAAAUUGUCGUUUUUCUUAUUUAUUUAUUUUUAAUAAGGUGGCAAUAAAAUUGUAAAAAAAACCAAUACAUUUAAUAGGGAUAAACUUGGAAAACAAAAGAUAAUAGAGAGAAGACUGCUAUUAUUCUUCAAGGAGUUAAAUGAAAAUUGGAAUAUGAAAAGAAUCAGUCAUGUUCGUCUAAGGACAUGAAAAUGAGGUCUUGUGUGAAGAUCAAAUUCAUCUUAACCAUAAGAUUAUGUUUAAUUAAAUCCAACCGCUUAAAAUAUUUUGCAACUUAAAAGGUCAAAACCCUUUUUUUUCCCAACAAGUUCACAUUGGUUUACUCAUUCCUCAAUGCCAUUCUCCCUCUUUGAUUUACGAUAGAAAUCAAAUUUCAUGGUUGAGUCAAUUGUGCUCUUCCUGAACGACAACAUAACAAUUUUUUGUUUUAGAGGAUUGAUUUAGAAAUUUGAUCUGAUUUCUGACCCAUCAUCCUUGAAUUCGUUUCUGUAGCAAAAAAUAUAUGAAAGCUUGUGUAAUAUAAUUCAUUCUGGUUAAACACAAAGAGAGGAGAAAAUCAGUUCAAAGUAAAAGAACCGUACGCCCUCGUAGCCAAAUAAAAAUGGUUUUGUCUAGAUCCAAGAUUCAACAAACCCAAUUCUGAAUUUGUUUAGUUAUAAAUUCAUGUCAUAAAGGACAUAACCACAAACUAAACCCCUAACAAAAAAAAACUGAGUUGUGACUCGGUAAAGUAUGUGAAUAAUUUGCAGUCAAAACCCACACAGAAUUUGACUCAGAACAAACUCAAUUUCCACAACGUCAACUACGUCUGCAACAAAUAAUUUGCAGUCAAAUCUCCUUAACUACUCUUAUUCUAGUAAAUUCCACUACAUCCUGGUGUUAACUUUUGGAACCCCCUGCUAAUAUUUCUCUCGAUUGUAUAUUAGAGUUAGAGGGAGAAUGGGAUUGACGAAGGAGCUAGAAAGAAAAAAAAAAGUUCCCAAUAAAAAAAAGGUUUUGACCUUUUAAGUUGGAUAUUUUUUUAAGCGGUCAAUCUUGUGGUUAAGAUGAAUUUGGUCCUCAUAGAACCUCAUUUUCAGUGAAAAGAAUUAUUGUGUCAUGCUUUUAACCUUUGGAUUAUUGUGAUGGUUCAUAUUAAACUAAAUGCAUGUAAAUGCGUAAUUGGUAAAUGUAAAGACUCGAGAUUCGUGAAUAAUAUUGGAACUAUGCAAAAACUUGGGGAGAAUGUAAGGGUGAUUAUAUGCAGCCUUAAUCACAGAGUUUUGAUAGGGCAAUCUUUAUAGCAAUAUCUUUGUCAAUCCCCAAUUGACUGUGGUGUUUCUUGGCGCUAAAGUAAUUAAUUUAUUAUUGAUUCCUUUGUUACAUUAGUAAAACAAUAUGGGUAGAAUAUUUUCAAAUAUAUUUUAUUCUCCAAAAGGAGGUAUUUAUAAUAUAAGAUUACAAACCCUAGUAGGGUUAUACUAGGAAAAUAAAAAAAGUCCUAAUUACAUAAUAUUUAUACAAAAGGAAAGAAAUAAAAUCAUAAUAGAAUAAGAAAGAAAUAUCCUAAUAGGACUAGGAUAUCUUGCCAACACUCCCCCUCAAGUUGGAGCAAAGACGUCAUGCGUGCCCAAGGACUGCAGAGGCAAACCAACUCAGACAGCUAACUAUGCAACACAUAAGGAGGAAGAAGGUACAAUGUUUUAUGCCUGUCAUUCUGCUACUGUAGUGCAAAACAAUGAUGUGUGGUAUGUGGAUAGUGCUUGUAGUAAUCACAUGACCUCACAUGAAUCACUUAUGGUUAAUAUUGAUACCAAUGUCACUGCAAAGGUAAAAAUGGGCACAAGAGAUUUGGUGCAGGCCACUGGGAAAGGUACUUUGGUGAUUGAUACUAAAUUUGGGCCUAGAUAUAUUAAAGAAGUCAUGCUUGUACCAGGGUUGGAUGAAAAUAUGCUCAUUGUUGGUCAGACGGUGGAACAUGGAUAUUUUCUGUUUUUAGGAAAAUCAAUGGUGGAGAUAUUUGAUGACAGUUCAAUGGAGCACUUGGUUGCUAAAGUUCCAAUGACAGGAAAUAGAUGCUUUCCACUCUCACUGAAUUAUGUGACCUCUGUGGCUAUGAAGGCAACAGUUGAAGACUCUACUUGGUGUUGGCAUAUGAGGUUUGGUCAUCUCAAUAUGCAAAGUUUGAGAUUGUUACAACAUCAAGAACUGGUUUAUGGACUGCCAGAAAUUUGGAGUGCAGAGAGAAUUUGCCAAGGUUGUGCAAUGGGGAAAGCACAUAAAGAAUCCUUUGGUAAAGAAAAUACUUGGAGAGCAAGUGAGCCACUAGAACUCAUUCACUCAGAUGUUUGUGGACCAAUGCAGACCACAACUAUUGGUGGAAAUAGAUACUUCUUGACUUUUAUUGAUGACUGUACUAGAAUGUGUUGGGUGUAUUUCAUGCAACAUAAGUCUGAAGUGUUUGGUAUUUUCAAGAAGUUCAAGGCUAUGGUGGAAUUGCAAAGUGGCUACAAAAUCAAAAGGCUUAGAAGUGAUAGAGGAGGAGAAUAUACCUCACUGGAAUUUCUAAAGUUUUGUGAAGAUGUAGGCAUGGAAAGGCAGCUCACUGUGGCUUACUCACCUCAGCAAAAUGGGGUUGCUGAGAGAAAAAAAUAGAACUACUAUUGAAAUGAGCAAGGCAAUGAUGAAUGAGAAGAGACUUCCAUUCAAGUUCUGGGGAGAAGCAGUGAAUACACUGUCUAUAUUCAAAACAGGUGUCCCACAAGAGCUUUGGAAAGUUCAACCCCAUUUGAAGCUUUUAGUGGAAGGAAACCAGGAAUCAAACAUUUAAAGGUAUUUGGCUCUAUAUGAUUUUGUCAUGUACCUAGUCAAUUGAGAUCAAAGUUAAAUGAUUCAGCUGUCAAAUGCAUUUUUGUUGGCUAUGGCAAAUGUGAGAAGGGUUAUAGAGUCUAUAAUCUGCACACUAAGAAAAUUGAAGUCUCUAGAAGUGUGAUCUUUGAUGAAAGAUCUUUAUGGAAUUGGGAGAAGCAGAAUGUGGAAUAUGUCAUAGUUCCUAUGAGUUUUGAAAAGCAUUCUAAUGUUACUGAAGAAGAUUAUAAUGUUACAACUCCAUUUGCAUCAGAAUCUCAGACUGAAGAUGACGCUGGUGUAACUAAAAUAAUUUCAUGUUCCUCUAAUGCUGACGCACAAGGUGAAUCACCAAGUUCUACUCUUGUGAAGCUCAGAGAUAUAACUAAGAUAUAUGCUCGAUGCAAUUUGAGCAUCAUUGAGCCAGAAAAUUUUGAAGAAGCCUCAAGGGACAAAGCUUGGCAACAAGCCAUGAAAGCCGAGAUGGAAAUGAUUGAGAAGAAUGAGACUUGGGAGCUAGUUGACAGACCAAGUGAGAAACCUGUAAUUGGUGUUAAGUGGGUUUAUAAAACCAAAUUGAAUCUUGAUGCCUCAACAGAAGCACAAAGCUAGGUUGGUGGUCAAAGGAUAUGCACAGAAGCUUGGAAUCGAUUUUAAUGAGACUUUUGCUCAUGUGGCCAGGCCAGAUACUAUUAGAACUCUCAUAGCUUUGGCUGCUCAGAAAGGUUGGAAGCUAUACCAGUUAGAUGUGAAGUCUGCAUCUAUAAAUGGUGUGCUUAAGGAGGAGGUAUAUGUGGAUCAGCCUGAUGGUUUUGUGAUUAAACAAUAUGAGGAUCAGGUGUACAAAUUGAAGAAAGCUUUGUAUGGUUUAAAACAGGCACCAAGGGCUUGGUAUGAAGAAAUUCAUGCUUAUCUCGUCAGUUGUGGGUAUGUCAGAAGCACAAGUGAGGCUACAUUGUACUACAAUACUAAGGAAGAUUCAGGAACACUGAUUGUCUCAAUUUAUAUUGAUGAUAUAGUGUACACAGAAAGCAGUGUAGAGUUGAUUAUAGAGUUCAAGUCUGAAAUGAUGAGAAUGUAUGAAAUGACUGACUUAGGUUUUUUGUAUCAUUUUCUUGGAAUGGCUGUGAUUCAAACUGAAAAUAGCAUCUUCAUAAACCAAAAGAAGUAUGCAUUGACAUUGUUGAGAAAGUUUGGUUUAAAGCAAUGUAAGCCUGUUAGUACUCCUUUGGUGGCAAGUGAGAAACUAUGCAAAGAUGAUGGAAGUGAUCCUGUAUAUGAGAAUGAAUAUAGGCAGAUUGUGGGAAGCUUGUUGUAUUUAACGGCUACAAGGCCUGACAUAAUGUUUGCAGCUAGCGUAUUAGCUAGGUUCAUCCAUUGUCCUACAAAUAAACACUAUGAAACAACUAAGAGGGUUUUGAGGUAUAUCCAAGGCACAAUUGAUUAUGGUAUUGAAUAUCAGAAGGGAAAAGAAGCUGUAUUAAUCGGAUAUUGCGACAGUGACUGGAGUGGAAUUCAAGAUGACAUGAAGAGCACCUCAGGAUAUGUUUUUUUUUUUUUUGGAAGUGGUGUGUUUUCCUUGGCAUCUAUCAAGCAACAUAGUGUUGCUCUCUCCACAGCUGAAGCUGAGUAUGUCAGUGCAAGUGAAGCAACUACUCAGGCUAUAUGGUUGAGGUUUGUGCUAGAGGAUUUUGGUGAAUUGCAGACAGAAGCAACUCCAUGGAUGAUAGAUAAUACUUCUGCCAUUGCAAUGACUAGAAAUCCUAUUUUCCAUCAAAAGACCAAGCAUAUCAACUGCAGAUAUCACUUCAUUUGAGAUGCCUUACAAGAAGGUGUAGUGGACUUGAGGUACUGCAAGUCUAAAGAACAAGUGGCUGACAUUUUCACAAAAGCUCUGUCUUGGAGUUAAACCAGUUAACAAUUUAGAAGGGAAUGUUGAAAUAUAAAUUGUUUUCUGGUUUAAUCCAUAGUUAGACAAGUGUAAGGCUUAGAUGCCAUCAUAUUGGAAGACUUGUAUGUCCUAAAUUUAUGCCAAGUGUAUAGCUCACAUUGCUGACAUAUUUUGUAAGGCUAAAUCUGUUCUUUUCCAUUCAUUGAAAAAGGGAUAAUUCCGUUGGAAUGAAAUUAGAGUGUGUGCAUGCAUUGCUAUAUUCAUUACGAAGUAACAGACGCUCUGCUCUCUCUUCUCUAUCCUCUCUUAGCUUAAUUUUUCUCCCUCUGUUCUAGAAACUAAGCUCUGCAUAUUUUCAAAAUCUCACCAGUUCUACACUAGAACUCAAUGCCUCUUAGCAGAGGGGAGGAAGUAGCUAGGAAUCAGAUCAGAUCCAAAACUAGUCAAUGUGAACUGAGAGUAAAAUAUUUUGUAAUUCUCAAGUCAAUGUGAACAGACUAAAAUAUAUUGUAACCCGCGCUCUCUCUCCAAUGAAAUGUUAUUGGUACCUAAUUAACUGCCCCAGCUUUGACCCCAAAAAAAUAAAAAAAUUAACUGCCCCAGCAGCCCAUACCUAUUAACACACACACACAAGAAAAGACGAAGGAAAAAGUCACUUUUGAUCAUAUAGUUUGUCCGUCUUCUCAUUUUGGUUCUUGUAAUUUUAAUUUUUUCAAUUUAAUCCACAUACUUUAAUUUUAUCGUAAUUUAAAGACGCAUUCAAAUUUUUAUCCAAUUUCAUCCAAAACACCUCUUCCAUGUAAGAGACAUAUGUUUAUUCCGUAAAAAAAUUGGACAGAAAUUUGAAAUUGUCUUUAAAUUACAAUAAUCAAACUACAUAGGUCAUAUAUUGCCAAAAUUAAAACUACAUACGGGAUUCGUCCAACUACACUAACGAAAAGUGACUACCCAAUAUGUGUCUCUUCUUUCUCUUCCACUAAGCAUGCAAUUAUAUUUCCAGCCAGGUAUGCUUUUGUAGCUUUGUAAUUGUUUGAUAAUCUGUUCAGCUUUUUAGAAGAGCUGAUCACAUUCAACAUAGUUGAUAAUCUGUUGGCAACUUCGAAAUUUUGGGUUUUCAAAAUACCAAAACAAAGCCAUAAACCAAUGAGAAAUUAUAGAAUAGUACAGAUGCAUCACGUCAGCAUAUGAUACUCCAAUUCCAAUUUUAACACAUGUCCACUUUUGAAAAGAAAUUAUUUACUUUAUAACAGCUGGACUUACAUAACUUUUAUCUUUUAAAAUAAAAUUAAAAAAGUCUUAAAAAAGAAAAUUAAAGAAUUUUCCAAACGAACACAAUAAUUCAUAUGAGAUUUUGGGGCUCGUGGAUUUUUUAAUAUAAUUAUUUAAUAACCAUGUGGAUUUAUUUCUUUAUUUUAAUAAAUGGAGUAUGAAGAAGAGGAAACAAUAAUGACAAAUAAAACAUAAACAAAUAAGACUCGUAUGGAACAAGAAAUAAAUUUUUGUAGUCAGCUGUCUUAUUCAUGACAUAAUAGGCUUCCUUGUGCACCGGAGCUUAUAGGAAAACAAAUAACUAGAUUUAAACCUCUUUUUAAAAAGAAAUACAGAAAGCAACACUUUUCUAAAAGAAAUACAGAAUAAUUGAAAUUUUAUACAAACUGUUCUACAUGAGAAUUUAAGAUUAACUUUACAACCUCUUUUUUUAUAUAAUUAAUUAAUUUAUUUAAAUUUAUUACCAUAUAUGGAAAAAACUGUGGUGCAAUGGGGCCUGUUUAUUGUGCAACAUAGUUUGUCAAGGAAGGAUGCACAGGUUUAGCAGCUAGAAAUAAAGGAACUUUCUUGCUAACUACAAGCCCAGCAGCAUCUUCCAUGUCCAAGUCUUCUCUUCUCACCCCAUGAGGGAGUUCCCAGUCGAAACGAUAGAGGAGAUUAGCAAGUGCAAGCUCAAUUAGCUUCACACUAAAGCUAAUACCAGGACAACCCCUCCUUCCUGCCCCAAAUGGUAAAAGUUCAAAAUGGUUUCCUUUGUAGUCAAUUGAGCUGUCCAAGAAUCUUUCAGGCCAGAACUCAUUUGGAUUCUCCCAACAUUCUGGGUCUUUUCCUAUCAUUUUUGCAUGGAUAAACACCAUUGUUGUGGUGGGAAUUUCGUACCCUUCAAUAGUGCAACUCUUUAAGGUUUCUCUUGGAAGUAGUAAGGGCACUGCUGGAUGUAGUCUAAAACUUUCCUUCAAGACCAGCUUUAGGUACAUGAGUUCAGAAAGAUCACUUUCUUCCACUUUUGAUUUUCCCUUUAGAACACUUCUCACCUCAUCUUGUGCUUUCCUCAACACUAGGGGGUUCCUAAUCAGUUCAGCCAUUGUCCAUACCAGUGUGGCUGAGGAAGUAUCAGUGCCUGCAAUAAACAUGUCCUGCAAGAAAAAAUUUCACUGUCUUUACUAUCUUGCCCGCAAGCCAGCUAAAAUUCUAUAUAUAGCCAUAUGAAUACCGAUUGUAUAUGUCAAGCUAACACGAAGAUUGUCGAAGAAAUAGCAAAAGUAUAUUAACAAAUAAGUAACACUCAAAUGCUAGAAGGAAGAAAAAGCGACAUACAGUGAGAACACCCUUAAUUUGGUCAUUACUGAGGGGUAUUGCUUGAUUGGGAUCCCUCUGAACCCGAAGCAGAACAUCGACAAGAUCUUCAUGCUCUGGUUUAGGCCUUCUAGAAUCAAGAUGUUCCUCAAUCACUCUGUCAUAGAAAUUGUCCAAGCCUUUAAAACACUUCUCCACCUUUUUCUCAAGACCAUUGAACUUGUUUAACCAACUCAACCAUGGUAGAAAAUCUGACAAGAAGAAUCCUCCCAACAGGGCCCUUGUCUCUUCAAGCAAUCCAUGAAUUCUGCUCUUGCCAAUUCCUCCUCCAUCAUCAUACUUUUUACCGAAAGCCGAACGGCACAAGACAUUGUUUGUUAAGAAAAGUGUCAGUUGAGUGAGAUUGAUGAGACCCUUAGAAUGAGCUAUAGAGUCAAGCAUAAGCCCCACCUCUUCAUCCCUCACAGACUGAAACAUUUGAACCCUCUUUGCACUAAGCAGUUCCAAGAUCACAAUCUUCCUCAUCUCCCUCCAAUACUCACCAUAGGGAGCAAAUGCUAGGUUGACACAGCCAUAGCUAAGCUUGUUUGCAACAUACAAGACUGGCCUACCUGAAAAAACGAGGUCAUGAGUUUUGAAGAUCUCACUUGCCAUAUGGUCUGAGGAGACUACCAAGGUAGAUAUUGAGCCUAAUUGCAAGAACAUGAGGGGUCCAUAUUGAAGGGCAAGGUGUUCAAGGACAUGAUGAGGUAAGCCAUUAGGAAGCUUGUGAAGGUUCCCAAUGAGAGGUAGCCUCCUAGGACCAGGAGGCAACCUCCUCCCUUGAGAAGCAGAGCUUUUCCUCCUCUGCUUGAUCAAGAGCCAAAAAAUAACGGGUAGGAGAAAAACAAAGAGGAUGACCAAUGAAGAUUGAGAAUCCAUGGCUGGUUUCUGAGGCUGCAAACAAGGCCAUGGCUGCUGAUAAGCAUUUAAGGAAGGCAGUGGCCUUGGGGUGGUGCAAGUGAUCCACUGCACAUGGCCCUGGAUUCUUGAAGACACCCCCCAAAAACAAAAAAGGAUUAUUUUGAUAUAACGCAGCCACACAAAACAAAAAGAAAAGAACAGACAUGGCUUGUUCAAUUUAGAUGUUUACCUAGACUUGUUCAACUUAGUAUAUUAAAAUUUAAGGUCUUUUCGUGUGAUUUUCUGGCUCUCCGCCGGCUCCAAGCCAAUGUUUAUUUAGCAGAUAUACCAAAUGAGCAUCAUGCUCAUCACAGAGACCGAGAAAUACAAAUGAAACAUUAAGAAAAAGACAAGCAGAAAAUGAUUUGAAAACAAUUUUUCCUUGCUCUUUCUUCUUGUAUUAUACUCAUGCAUGUCGCCCCCAAAACAAACAAGAAGGUGAAUUACAUACUAACAGUUAUAUAUGGUGGUGGUGUUUUUUUUUUCUAAAAAUCAUUGUUGAGUUGGCAGUUAUAAACAUUGGAAAUUAAGGUUGUUGAGUUCUGAUCGUGUAGGUAUUGCUCUUCUUAUAUAAUUAAAUAAAUUCGAAUAUUUUAACAUUUUACAAGUAUGGCCGGACGGCUGUAUUUCAAAAAUAAAUUCGUAUAUUUUAAUCGUAUAACCGGCUGCUCUACUGUUUGGAUAUAAUUCUUCGAAUAUUUUACAAGUACAGCCUAUCGGCUAUACUGUUUAGUAGAGAUGAUAAACCACACUGCAAGCAACACCAAAACAAUUUUUCCACACGUAUGGAAUAAUACUCGGAGGGAGAUGAAAAUUAAAAGGAAAACAUAAAUAUAGGCAAAUUACCGAUAACGAGCAGCUGAUGGCAGUAGCCUAAAGCACUAAUAUUCCAACCAUUUUGUAGUUACACUAGAAUAACAGGUAGUUUUUGCACCAAUUCUGGUGAGAUCUAUCAUAAAACCAAACUAUCGACUACUUGAACCAAACUAUCGACUACUUGAAGCUCUUGCUAGGUCCUGGACUAAUCCACAGCGACGACUACCUGUGUAGAUUACGCAUUACGUACCCACGUACUGCAUGAGAUAAGAGCUUCAACUGGUCACGACUUCUGAAGGAUACAAAUCUCGUACAGAGUUCAAGCCAUUCUCUAUUUUUGAUCCUCAAGUUAACUGCCUAUUUUUGUAUACAUGUCUUGUAAUGUUUAAUUGUAAUAAUGCAGAUAUUUUGUAAUGAUGAUCUUAUAUCCCGUAGAGUUCGUUCUAGUGAUGAUGCUGAGAAAUUUGCAGAAGAGUGUCCUUGCUGGACUGGUUGUGGAUGGAGUGUCAUUUGGUGAGCUUCUUAUUGUUAAUAUAUAAGACUUUUGCCUGAGAGCUUUCCUUCUGAUCUGUUUUAUGCAUUUUGAUUUCUUUUGCUCGACAAACUACAAGGGAUACUCUUAUGCCGUACUUGAGUGGUUUUUUCUGACUCUGAAGAGCUUUACUUGUAUCUUUCUUGUUUCUCUGCGGAGCCAUGUACCUUACUACCUUGGUCUUGUGAUUUCUGUCAUUCUUAUUGCCUAUUAGCUCAAUCACUUUCCCUCCAUCUGUGCAGUACAGCAGGAUACAACAUCUGGCAAGAAAUUCAGUUGGUGAGUGAGUGUGAACAAUUCAAGCAGAAGCAGACAAUGCCAAUAUAUUCACAAAUCAAUUGAAUUAUAAAGCUGCUGUACGAUUACAAUAUAUAGGCAUAUAAAGAUGCCCUAUAUAAGUAAAAGACCUAACUACCCUUAGAAGACACCGACUCAAAUAUAUAUUAAUAUUGGCUAUACAAUUGUCACAAACCCUGUCAAACUCACGAUGUUACAGUAUUAAGCAUCGAGAGUUUGCUAAGAAGAAAGCGGAAGCGAGCAAGCGUGUGAGACUUGGUGAAGAAGUUGGCCAAUUGCAUGGUAGAGGAGACAAAAGGAAGAGAGAUAGUGCCUUGCUGGAAAUGAUGGCGAACAAAGUGAUAGUCCAACUCGAUGUGCUUUGUGCACUCAUGAAAGGCAGAGUUGUGAGCAAUUUGAAUGGCACUUUUAUUAUCACAAUACAUAGGAGUAGGCAUAGAGAGAGAAACACUCAUAUCUUGAAGCAACCACUGAAGCCAAACAAUUUCAGCAGCAAUAGAGGCCAUAGCACGAUACUCAGCCUCAGUAGAAGAACGAGAAACAACUGAUUGUUUCUUACUCUUCCAGGAGAUAAGGGAAUCACCAAGAAAAAUGCAAUAACCAGUAGUAAAUUUCCGAUCAAAAGGGUCACUAGCCCAACCAACAUCAGAAAAGGCUCGAAGCUCCAAAGUUGAGGUGGAAGGAAGCAAUAAGCUUUGAAACAACGUCCCUCGAAGUUAGCGGCAAAUACGAAUCACAGCAGCCCCAGUGAAAAGUAGUGGGAGAGGAGACAAACUAACUAACAAUAUGAAUGGCAUAUGCAAUAUCAGGGCGAGUAAUAGUUAGAUAAACCAAGCUCCCAACCAUAGUGCGAUAAAGAGUAGGAUCAUCCAAAGGGGUACCAUCAUACGAAGAAUAACGCACAUUGAGCUCAAGAGGCGUAUCAGCCAUUCUAGUAUUUGUAAUACGAGCUUUUUGAAGAACGUCAACGGCAUACUUAGACUGAGAAAGGAGAUAACCUUUAGGGGAAGAUGGAACUUCAAUCCCAAGGAAAUAAUGUAAGGGACCUAAAUCCUUCAUUUCAAAUUGAUCAUGUAAAGCCAAUUUUAAUUGGGCAAUACCAUUCAAUUCAUCACCCGUAAGAAUCAUGUCAUCACCAUAAAGGAGGAGAAGGAUAUGACCAACAGAGGUAGAACGAACAAACAAGGCAGGAUCAUGAGCACUUGAUCGAAAACCAACAGAACCAAUAACAGCAGAGAAUUUCUCAAACCAAGCACGUGGAGCUUGUUUAAGACCAUACAAAGCUUUCCGUAAACGAUACACCUCCCUGGGAUUAUGAAGACCAUGGGGGACCAAAUACACCUCAUCGAAAAGAUCCCCAUUCAAAAAGGCAUUUUAACAUCCAUUUGUGAUAAACUCCAUUGAUGAACUGAUGCAACUGCAAGUAAGGUACAAACAGAAGUCAUCUUGGCCACUGAAGUAAAGCUCUCUACAUAAUCAAGGCCAUAUUCCUGUGUAAAUCCCUUAGCAACCAAACGAGCUUUAUAUCUCUCAAGAGAACCAUCAGACUUAGUCUUAAUUUUAUAGACUCAUCGACAUCCAACUGCAUGUUUAGGGUUUAGGGACUAAAUCCAUAUUUACCGGGAGGAAGAGGAACCAAAUCACAUGUGCCAGUUUUAUGCAGAGCAGAAAGUUCUUCAGUCAUAGCCUGUUGCCAAAGAGGAUUACAUAUAGCCUCCUUGUAGGAGGUGGGUUCAGAGAUAAGAAAGAAGAGAAAUCAUGAGAAUAACAAGAAUAACUAAAAUCAUUAGAAGAAUAACCAAACCGAUGAGGGGGCUUAUGAGUGCGCGAAGGAUAACAAGGUGCUAUUAGAUCUACAUCCACAGAAGUUGAAGCAGGCGCCAAAGGAGAUGAAGGAUUAUUAGUGUCAGAACUUAUGACAUGUUUCCUGCGACAAUACACUUGAGUAAUAGGAGGAGAAGUAACACAAGGAUUAGAAGGAGAACUAGAAACAGGAGAAAUGUUAACAUUGUCAGAAUAAGAGAAAUCAUCAUUAGUAGGUGAAAAAGGAUCAAUAUACAUGAGCUUAGAAUUCAAUAAAGUAGUAGGAAUGGAGAAAAAAGGAAUAUGCUCAAGAAAAACCACAUGACGAGAUACAUACAAUUUUUGUACACUAGGAUCAUAACAUCGAUAACCUUUUUGUCCUUUGCCAUAAUCAAGAAAAACAAACAUAGCAGAGUGAGCAAAUAAUUUUGUAUUUUCGACAGGAGGACGAAGAACAAAACAAAUACAACCAAACACUUUCAAUGAGAAAUAGUCAGGACUGUCCAAGUCAAUGUGAACAGACUAAAAUAUAUUGUAGCCCGCGCUCUUUCUCUCCAAUCAAAUGUUAUUGGUACCUAAUUAACUACCCCAGCACCAUUGUCCUACCUCGCCAUACCAAAAAUAAAAACUAAGGAAUAAAGUAACUUUUCGACCAAAAAAAGAAGAAGGAAUAAAGUCACUUUUGCAUAUGUAGUUUGCCGGUUUUUUCAUUUUGUUUAUUGUAGUUUUAAUUUUUUCAAUUUAACUUAUGUAGUUUAAUUCUUUCGCAAUUCAAGGACACAUUCAAAUUUUCAUCCAAUUUCAUCCAAAAUGCCUCGUCUAUGUAAGAGACACGACAUGUGUUUAUUCCAUCAAAAAAUUGGACAGAAAUUUAAACGUGUCCUUAAAUUACAUUAAUCAAACUACAUGAGUCAUAUUGCCAAAACUAAAACUACGUAUGGGAUUCGUCCAGCUACACUAACGAAAAGUGACUACCCAAUCUGUGUCUCUUCGUUGUCCUCUCCUUUCUCUUCCACUAAACAUGCAAUUAUAUUUCAGGCCAGGUAUGCUUUUGUAACUUUGUAAUUGUUUGAUGAUCUGUUCAGCUUCAGAAGAGCUGAUCACAUUCAACAUAGUUGAUAAUCUGUUGGCAACUUUGAAAUUUUGGGUUUUCAAAAUACCAAAACAGAGCCACAAACCAACACAAUAAUUCAUAAGAGAUUUUGGGGAUAUUGAAUUUUUUUAUAUAAUUAUUUAAUAACCAGGUGGAUUUAUUUCUUUAUUUUAAUUAAUGGAGUAUGAAGAAGAGGAAACAACAAUGACAAAUAAAACAUAAACAAAGAAGACUCUUACGGAACAAUAAAUAUAUUUUUGUAGUCAGCUGUCUUAUUCAUGACUUAAACCAAGGAAGCAACACUUUUCUAGAAGAUAAACAGAAUAACUAGAUUUGAACAACCACCUUUUUUUAUUACCAUAUAUGGAAAUAACUGUGGUGCCAUGGGGACUGUUUAUUGUGCAACAUAGCUUGUCAAGGAAGGAUACACAGGUUUAGCAGCUAGAAAUAAAGGAACUUUCUUGCUAACUGCAAGCCCAGCAGCAUCUUCCAUGUCCAAGUCUUCUCUUCUCACCCCAUGAGGGAGUUCCCAGUCGAAACGAUAGAGGAGAUUAGCAAGUGCAAGCUCAAUUAGCUUCACACUAAAGCUAAUACCAGGACAACCCCUCCUUCCUGCCCCAAAUGGUAAAAGUUCAAAAUGGUUUCCUUUGUAGUCAAUUGAGCUGUCCAAGAAUCUUUCAGGCCAGAACUCAUUUGGAUUCUCCCAACAUUCUGGGUCUUUUCCUAUCAUUUUUGCAUGGAUAAACACCAUUGUUGUGGUGGGAAUUUCGUACCCUUCAAUAGUGCAACUCUUUAAGGUUUCUCUUGGAAGUAGUAAGGGCACUGCUGGAUGUAGUCUAAAACUUUCCUUCAAGACCAGCUUUAGGUACAUGAGUUCAGAAAGAUCACUUUCUUCCACUUUUGCUUUUCCCUUUAAAACUCCUCUCACCUCAUCUUGUGCUUUCCUCAACACUAGGGGGUUCCUAAUCAGUUCAGCCAUUGUCCACACCAGUGUGGCUGAGGAAGUAUCAGUGCCUGCAAUAAACAUGUCCUGCAAGAAUACCGAUUGUAUAUAUCAAGCCAGCUGAAAUUCCAUAUAUAUCCAUACGAAUACCGAUUGUAUAUAUCAAGCUAAUAUGAAGGUUGCCGAAGUAAUAGCAAAAGUAUAUUAACAAAUAAGUAACACCUCAAAUACAAGAAGAAAGAAAAAGCGACAUACAGUGAGAACACCCUUAAUUUGGUCAUUACUGAGGGGUAUUGCUUGACUGGCAUCCCUCUGAACCCGAAGCAGAACAUCGACAAGAUCUUCUUGCUCUGGUUCAGGCCUUCUAGGAUCAAGGUGUUCCUCAAUCACUCUGUCAUAGAAAUUGUCCAAGCCUUUAAAACACUUCUCUACCUUUUUCUCAAGACCAUUGAACUUGUUUAACCAACUCAACCAUGGUAGAAAAUCUGACAUGAAAAAUCCUCCUAACAGGGCCCCUGUCUCUUCAAGCAAUCCAUGAAUUCUGCUCUUGCCAAUUCCUCCUCCAUCAUCAUACUUUUUACCGAAAGCCGAACGGCACAAGACUUUGUUUGCUAAGAAAAGUGUCAGUUGAGUGAGAUUGAUGAGACCCUUAGAAUGAGCUAUAGAGUCAAGCAUAAGCGUGACCUCUUCAUCCCUCACAGACUGAAACAUUCGAACCCUCUUUUCACUAAGCAGUUCCAAGAUCACAAUCUUCCUCAUCUCCCUCCAAUACUCACCAUAGGGAGCAAAUGAUAGGUUGACACAGCCAUAGCUAAGCUUCUUUGCAACAUACAAGACUGGCCUACCGGAAAAAACAAGGUCAUGAGUUUUGAAGAUCUCUCUUGCCAUAUGGGCUGAAGAGACUACCAAAGUAGAUAUUGAGCCUAAUUUCAAGAACAUGAGGGGUCCAUAUUGAAGGGCAAGGUGUUCAAGGACAUGAUGAGGUAAGCCAUUAGAAAGCUUGUGAAGGUUCCCAAUGAGAGGUAGCCUCCUAGGACCAGGAGGCAACCUCCUCUCUUGAGAAGCAGAGCUUUUCUUCCUCUGCUUGAUCAAGAGCAAUAAAAUAAAGGGUAGGAGGAAAACAAAGAGGAUGACCAAGGAAGAUUGAGAAUCCAUGGCUGGUUUCUGAGGCUGCAAACAAGGCCGUUGCUGCUGAUAGGCAUUUAAGGAUGGCAGUCAGUCGGUGCAGAGCCUAGUGGCAAGUUGAUUAAAAUAUCCGGCGGAAAGCAGACUAAAAGCAACUGGAUUAAAAUAUUAUGUCGUAUUGAAGCCGACUAAAACUAACUGGAAUGGAAUGUGUGUAAUACAGUAAUAUCGAUGGAAAUUGUCAAUCCUUCAACUAAAGAAUCAGUGGUGAAAUUUCUCGUAUUAAUGAUGACGUAAGGUGAAGGCUUUGCUUAACUCACAGGUGAUGAAAUUAGUCUAUUAGCAUUUGAUGUGAUAAUUUCUUAAUUAUUGUAAAUAAAUAAGAGGUCUUGUUCAAAAAUUUCUAUAAUUGUGAAUCUUUUCCUUUCAUGUCGGACAUGGGGUGGCAUGACACCACAUGUCAUCAAUCAACACUCAGUUCAAUUUUGAAGAUGAAGACAUAAUAUUCUACUUUAAGUAUAAAACAACAGAUAUUAUCCCCUUUCUUAUUCCUCUUUUGUUUAAUCAAAUUCACAUCAAAUUGCCUUUCAUAUCAUUGCCAUAUUCACAACUUCCAAUCAAUAAAUGGGGAAUGCUAACAACCUUUUCUCUAGACCUUCUUCUUUGGCCAUUCUCUCUUUUUUGCUUGACAUGUGUCAUUCUCCUUACACUUAAAACAAUGUCAUUAAUAUAUUAUACAAGUUAAGUUUUGUUUUCCAAGUUUACCCUUAUUAAAUGUAUUCAAUUUAUCCAAAAAAAUUUCACAACUUUCAUACCAUCUUAUUAAUUUUUUUUAAACGUCAAUUAUUUUUUUUAAAAAAUGUCUGCUUUUUUCAAAAAAGAGGAAAUGCCUGUUUUUUUAAAAACACAAAGGACUUUUUUUUUUCCCUAUCUAAACCCUUUUUGUUAAAAAAAUAAAAAGAAAAAAAAAGGGACAUUUCCUCUUAGAAGCAGAUAUUUUCUUUAAAAAAAAUAAUUGACGUUAGAAAAAAAUUAAUAAGAUGGUAAGAAAGUUGUGAAAUUUUUUUGCAUAAAUUGAAUACAUUUAAUAAGGGUAAACUUAGAAAGUAAAAGUUAGCUUGUAUAAUAUAUUAAUGACAUUGUUUUAAGUGUAAGGAGAAUGAGCAAAAAAGGGAGAAGGUUAUGCUAGCAACCUUCUCUUUUGGACCUUCUCCCUUCUCCUUAUGACAAGUGUCAUUUUUCUUACACUUAAAACAAUGUCAUUAAUACAUCACAUAAGUUAGUUUUUGUUCUUUUAUAUUUUCUUUUCAAUUUAUUCAAAUUUUGUUACAACUUCUUUAGCACAUUGUUAAAAAUUAAAUAAUUAACAAAAGAAGAAAAAUGUCAUAUUUUUAAAAAAUAAAAAUAAAGUUUGUUUCAUGACAUUGUUAUCAUCUUUAUUUUGUUUUUAACAAAAACACGUGCUCUCUUUGGAAAAAUUAAAAUUAAAAAAAACUUCAGUUUUUAUUUUCUUAUUUAAUUUUUUAACAAGGUGGUAAAAAAGUUGUAAAAAAAAAAGCUUGUUAUUAAAAAAAAUUAAUACAAGAAGGGUAAACUUGGAAAACAAAAACUAGUUUGUGUGAUGCAUUAAUGACAUUGCUUUAAGUGUAAGGAAAGUGACACUUAUCAUGAGAAGGUCCAAAAGAGAAUGUUAGAGAGAAGUUUGCUAGCGCUCCCUAUAAUGAAAUUAGUCUAUUAGAAAAAGAAACCAAAAAACAUAACCUUGGAAAAGACCAAACUUAUUUUCAAUUUUAAAACAUACUAGACAUAUAAUUUUUUAUAUAUUGUAAAUAAAUUAGGUCUUAUUCAAAAAUUUGUAAAAUUGUGAAUCUUUCCUUUCAAGUCACACACGGGUGGCACCAUCGCAUUGGAAAAGCGGGCCAAACUCUUCCUUUCUUCAAGUGCAUCCAUAUUUAAUUCACGUAUAAGAUAAUUUUUAGACAACUCAAUAUAAUUCUCCCCCGCCAUGGUGAUUGAUAAAAAAAUAAAGAGUCUUUCUUUUCAUGUCCACUUGAACGCAGCGUUUCGGGCCACUGGGCAACAAACGACACGCAACUGAAGAUAAACCAAAUCCGAUAAUCAUCUAAUCGGUUCUCAGUAUCGUAAAAAGCUCUUUGGCAAUGGAAGCUCUGGGAUUUCCUUCUCUCAACACCCACACCAUUUCGUGCUCUAGUUUUCAGAAACAAAGAACGACCAAAAUACCAUGUCAAAGAGAACGCUUUUCAAGCAUUUCACUUUUAUCUUCGCUAAAACUUAGACCCUGUUACAGACCAUUCCAUUUUGUAUGUAAAUUCUGCACCUUUUUCAUAUUCUAAUUAGUGGCUUUGUUUUAUUUUUCUUGUUUUUAAUUGUUUUCUCAACUGGGUUGUUCUUCUUGUUGUUUUUGAUUCAGCGUAGGAGUGCUACUCGAAUGCAAGCUGACAAUGAAGAUUACGAGUUGAAGCAAAUGAGGGAUGUGGCUGCUGCCAAGAAGAGAUGGGAAGCUCUGGUAUGUUGCUCAGUUCCUAUAAAAUCAGAAGAAAAAAAAAAAAGAAAACCGAAAAACGAUUGGUUUUAUAACUUAUGGUAAUAUAUUUAAGUGAGCUGGGGAUUUAAGAAAAGAAAGCAACAUUCUUUCGUUUGCUGCGCCUUAUUUCAGUUGAAAUUUUUGUUGUUGUUGUUGUUGAAUAAGGUUGUGUGUUUUCUUUUGCAUAUGCUUUUGAAUUUAUUUGUGCUCUGUUAAUUUUUUGAAGUAGUAGCUACUUGAUUAAUACAGGUUAGGGAAGGAAAGGUUAAAGCUUUAACACCAAGGGAAGCUGGGUAUGCAAUUCAGCUAUCUAACAAAACCCUUCUUGAUGUUCGUCCCUCUACAGAACACAAAAAGGUAGACAUCCUAACAUGAUUUUUUUUUUUUUUCUCUAUAGCAUCCUUUUUCAUUAUUUUUCAAUAAACCUCUUCUUUCCCCCUCUUUUAUAGGCAUGGGUUAAAGGCUCAACCUGGAUUCCAAUAUUUGAUGUUGGUAACGAAUUCGACGCUGGAACUCUUUCCAGAAAGUUCAUGAGUUUCACGAUGGGUAUCAUGCAAUUCUUGCUAUCUUGUCUUUCUUAACUGCUAUCCAGUUUUGCAUUGUUGCGUGCUUUAUAUUUUCAUUUUGGCAACAAAUGAAUAGGUUUCUAGUCAAUAGUCAAAUCAUAGUAUCUUUGUGAUAUGUUGGAGGGAACAAGAGAGUAUUUUCUUAACUCCUCAAAUAACAUCUGAAUUGUAACCUGUCAUUGCUUUGAAUCUUGUGGCGGCUGUACUCCUAAAUGUGACAUAAUAUUUUCGUGUAGGGGGUUGGUGGAGUGGUGUGCCUACAUUGUCUUAUAAUAGGUAUUUCAAAAAAUCAUAUUAUUGGCGUGAUUUGCUUUGUUCACAUGAUGAAUUGCAUUUUCAUUGUUUUUUCUUUUGCAACAGCCAGUUCUUGUCCAAAGUUGAUGAGAAGUUUCCAAAAGAUACAGAUCUUAUUGUUGCAUGUCAGAAGGGAUUGAGGUGCGCUUUAUGUUCAACUAAUUGUAGUUUCGGUUAUAACUUUGGUUUAAUAAUGAGGAAUGUGGAAGUUCUGCUAUAACAUAAUUCUAUUUUGGUUUUUAUAUAAUUGAUAUGAUUGAGUUUUUUAUUGCAUCAUAUAUGUAGUUAUGUCAUCCUAUAUUCAGAAUGCAUUGCAAAUCCAUUUUUUUUUUCCUCAUUUUCAUAGUUGUCUAAAAUUAGACUGGAAAAGCUUUUAGAAAACUUUAGUGAAAGUUGUCCCAAAAUUAUGAAUAUUAUAUGAUCAUUUAUUAUCUUCUCCCCACAAGGUGACCAUAUAAUUGGAGGAAAUUGUCAAGGGAUAAAAAGGGGGGAAUCUUUAUUCAGCCCUUUAUUUUCUAUGUUCUAGACAUCAGACCCAUGUUUCUGUCCAAGUUGAAUUUUUUGUGUAUAUGAAUCUUUGAUCACUAACAUAUCUCCAGCUCAAAUAGAGAACAGCAGUUCGUAACUUAUACUUCUACCCAAUACUUUUUUUUUAUUUUAAAAAAACUAACUAAUACUAUGGUUUAACUUUAAAUACAUGGAAGAAAAGAUGGCAAUGAAGAGAAUAGCCUAUAUUAAUUAAAAUGAAUCAAUCAAAUUUCACCACUGUCGCCUUUCUUGGGCAGAUCUCUAGCUGCUUGUGAGCAGCUGUACAAUGCGGGAUACAGAAACCUUUUCUGGGUUCAAGGGGGUUUAGAGGCUGCUGAAGAAGAGGUAGUUGUGGUUUGUGUAACUUAGAUAUUUUUUUUCUACUUAGCAUUUCUAAAUUUAUAACUUUUUCAGUGCUUUGUUGUGAGCCAACCUGAAAACGUCUGUUAAUGUAGUGAGUCUCAUCUUAUGUCGGAGCAGGAUCUUGUCAGAGAAGGCCCUCAGCCAUUUAAGUUUGCUGGAAUUGGUGGGGUUUCAGAAUUCCUUGGGUAACUAUCUGAUCUUAACUCACUUCUCCUUAUGAUGUGUGCAUUGUGAAGACCAAAAUUUUCUUUUUCAUUUUUUCUUGUUUCAAAUGGGAAGAUAAGAUGAAACUGUAAGGAUCAUGAAACUGGGUUGAAAGGUUAUGUCAAUGCCAUCUAGUACAGAUAACUAGAUAGCUAUUAGAUGCAUAAUCAGGUAAAUACGCAUGUAGAUUGAAUCUGGUAUACUUAAUUGACCAAGGUUGACGUUACUUUGACCAUUGAAAAGGUAAUUUCCAGCUAUAAUCUUCAAGUUAUUGCUGCCAGAUUGACUCAAGGUCUAUGAUUUGGUGAUUUACUUUGUAUAUUUUCCAUUAGUUUAUGGCUUAUAAUACAAAUUACUUGGUAUCUACUUUCUGCUGAUGCACAGUGGCCUUAAGUUAUUGGUGCAUAUUAGAGUACAACUUUAAGGCAGUUCUUAUACAACUUUACAGAAAGUGCAUUUAUUUAUGAAUCCCCAAUCCACAGUUGGACUGAUCAGCAAAGAGCUGCAGCUGCCAAAGAAGGUUGGAGUUACCGAUUAGUGUUCUCUGCCCGGCUGGUACUUAUUUUCUUUAACAUGUUUGCUAAAAUGGCCUGCUGUUUAGUCACCUCACUUUUAAGAGUCCAAUCUCAAAUGUGAUUUCUUUUUUGGCACAGGUUGGAGUCUUUCUCCUUGCUGAUGCCUUGUUUUUUGGUGCUCAGAAAGUAGCUCAUUAUCUUCAGGAUAUAAGGUCACAAUGAGAUUCAACAGCUGUGCUUGAAGUACUUGAUUGAAUAUCAAUGUACAACAUUUUGCAGUACUGGUUCACCACAGAGAACAGAUUUGCCAAGGAUAACAAUUUUGGAAGCCAGAGUACCUCAGAGAGAAGAUUGCGUUCUCCACUUUUAACCACAUAUCCCUCUAUUCUCAUAUUGUUCCAUGCUUUUCAAUGAAGUUGGAUCUAUGCAUGAUCUACCAUGCAUGUGCUCGCUCCAUGAGAAGUAGAACAAUGAUUAGUCCAGAAAAUUUUGUCAAGACAGUUAUGCCUUGUAACAAGUCCUAGUCUAGUACUAGUCUUGUUUUUUAUUUCUUUCCCAUGAAGGUUUUACGGCCUAGCAAUGUAUACCUUCUGUGAGCUCCACUACUUUUCAAAAUUCAUCUUUUAUCAAUCAAUUUAUAUUGAAAAGAACUUGAAUAAAUUCUUUUGAAUAUUUUUUGAAGUAUAUAGCUCCCUGAUAUGCAUGCGGAGGCAAGUAGGGGAAUUAACUUGUUCUUCCUUGCGAAGCUAUAACCAUAACAUUGUUCUUGGAAACCAACCUUGACACUGGGUUUAGAUCAUAGUUGGGGUAAAGGAGGGAGGGAAAAGGAAAGAAAAAGCAUAUCUUAUUUAAAAAAGACAAGUAUAUAUUCUUCCAUUAACUAUAAGAGUCUGUUUUUGAGAUACAGGCAAAAGGCACUGCGUGCAUCUUGCUCGUCUCUUGUAUGUUUGAUGAAAGCAGAGAUAAUUGGAUGAUACAUAGAGUAUCAUGUAGUUUAUUGAUGAUUUCUCGUCUCAGGAAAACCGUGGUCUGGCAACAACAAUCAGAUUGGCUAUCCUGUGCAUUGUGAUACCAAAAACUUCUGUCAUGUCCAAAUCUUUUGCUGCAGUAUCAGGGGGAAGCUCCCAAUCAAAGGUAUGCAGAAGUUGAGCUAGAGCAAGCUCAAUGGUUGCUGUUCCCAAUGUAAUAGCAGGGCAACCUCUUCUACCAGCCCCAAAAGGUAUAAGCUCAAAAUCCUGCCCCUUGAAGUCUAUAGUGCUACCUAUGAAUCUUUCUGGUUCAAAUGCUUCUGGAUUUUCCCAAGAUUCAGGGUCCCUCCCUAUUGCCCAGGCAUUGACGAAAAUUCGUGUUUUGGCUAGAAUAUCGUACCCAUCAAUGGUUACAUCUUCCAUGGAUUCUCUAGGGACUAGUACUGGAGCAGGUGGAUGCAAUCUAAAUAUUUCUUUGAUGACAGCUUUCAUGUAGUCCAGCUGAGGCAGAUCACUCUCUAACACGACUCUUCUUUCUCCGACAACACCUCGUACUUUUGGUGCAUUGUGCAGUUUAGGCUCAAGUAGGCGAACAAAGGAGCAUUUGGUGCUUUGUGCAGUUUAGGCUCGAGUAGGCGAACAAAUGAGCAAUUGGUGCCUUGUGCAGUUUUGGCUCGUGCAGGCAAAGUAGCAAUUGGUGCCUUGUGCAGUUUUGGCUCGUGCAGGCAAAUGAGCGUUUGGUGCCUUGUGUAGUUUAGGCUCUUGCAGGCAAAGGAGCAUUUUGGUGCCUUGUGCAGUUUUGGCUCGUGCAGGCGAAGGAGUGUUUGGUGCCUUAUGCAGUUUUGGCUCGCGCUGGCGAAUGAGCGUUUGGUGCCUUGUGCAGUUUUGGCUCGUGCAGGCGAAGGAGCAUUUUGGUCGAAUUUGUGUUAAGCGAAGUGAGAAGUAUCCUCCUUAUGUUUUUCACCUCGGGAGGUGCUCGACGCAUUAUUCUUGAAGAAUCCCUUGGGGAAGAAGUCAUGUAGCAUGAUGGGGCUAGGCGACCUUUGUUUCAAGAGUUCAUCUUUUGGAACCAUUUUGUUCAUAUUUGAUAAUUCAUUUCCUCUAUGCCUUUUAUGUGAUUGAGGAGAACUUCUUUUGCUUACAAAUCUUUUUGAUCGAGGAGUUCUUGGCAAAGGUGCACUCGUAUGUAACUUCUUCCGAGUAGCCAAUGCCCAUCCUUCAUUAUCGUCAUCGAAUGAAUCGACACUACUUUGACUUUUCACUCCAACACACUCAUACGGAUUGAGUUGAUGGGUUUCAGAGAAUGCCCCCAGUGAUUGAAGUGAGGGCGAAUGUGCCUAACCAGAUAAGACAAACGAGAUCGUAGCAUGGCUAGACUCUACCACCUUGUCAAGAUCCAUUUCGAUUCUUCCUUGUUGUGCCAACUUCAUGAUGAGAUCUUUCAACACGAAGCACUUUUCCACUGGGUGACUGAUGACAUGAUGGUACAUGCAGUAUUUCGGGUGGUUAAUAUGAUUCAUCUCUUCAGGGCGUUUGCACUCAGGUAACUCAAUCACCUUCUUCUCAAGUAAGUCUUCCAGCAUGCCUUCUAUGUCAGAGUCUGGAAAAGGAUACUUCUUCUCCUUCAUUUCUUUUAGGGUGUAUCCUCGCGGUUCUUGAUCUUGAGUCGACUCGGCCUUCCUCGCAUCUUUCUUGCCUCGAGUGGAAAUCUUCAUUGGAGUAGCACUGAUCGUCAUUGACUCCAAGAUGCGUGUCCUCAAAGAGUCUGCCCCAUUUCUCGAUGACUUGUCAUUUCGAUGACCACUCACCAUUUCCUUUCUUCCAUCGUGAUUAGCGAUACUUAGCUCUAUGUCAUGCGCACGAGUGGUCAAUUCUUCAAAGGUACGGGGUUUGAUCCCUUGAAGAAUGUAGAGCAGACCCCAAUGCAUACCUUGAAUGCACAUCUCUACAGCCGAUAACUUUGAGACUCGAUCUUUGCAGUCGAGGCUUAAUGAACGCCAACGAUUGAUGUAGUCAACAACAGGUUUGUCUUUUCGCUGCUUUGUGCUACUGAGCUCUAUCAUGCUAACUGAGCGACGAGUGAUAUAGAAGCGGUUGAGGAAUUCUCUCUCCAUUUGUUCCCAGCUGUCAAUUGACUCAGGUUCCAAGUCAAUGUACCAGUUGAAUGCAGUGCCUCGGAGUGAUCGGACAAAUUGCUUCACGAGAUAAUCGUCGUUAGUGCCAACGCUGUUGCACAUCUCGAUGAAGUGGGCAACAUGUUGUUUAGGGUUACCUUUUCCAUCAAACUGCAUAAACUUUAGAGGUUGAUAGCCUGUUGGCAUUCGAAGGUUGUCUAACCUUUUGGUGUAAGGCUUGGAAUAGAUAAAUGUAUCUUGAGAAGGCCCACCAUAUUGAGCCCUGAUGGUGUUCGUGAUCAUGUCCUGAAGUUGUUGGAUAGAUAAAGAACCCACCGAGGCUGUGUUGCCUUUUCCGUGCGACUUAUCACCCGACUCUGUUUCAUGACCCAAUCCUUUCUCGCUAGAUUCAGCUUCAUGAUGUGAUUCUUUCUUAUGCACGUCUUCACUAGGUUCCUUAUCUUGAUGUGUCUCCCACUUGUUAAUGAGAGAAGCAAUCUGCACAUCCUUCUCUUCGACCAUCUUCAUCAAUUUCGUGACCGCUUCGCUCAUAUGGGCCAGCUGUUCUUCAAUAGACAUUGCUCCCGUCACCAUGACCUGCAUAGCCAUAGAAUAAGACUCACCUACAGACGCCGAGGCAAUCUUCUUCUGUUGGUCGUCAGGCGGGGAUCCAUGGUAUGAACUUGUGCUCGAGUCAGCAUCUGAAACAAGCGAGAGUGAGCGUUCUCUUGAAUUCUUCGAACAUGAAAAACUCUUUUCUUCGUUCGAAGAGUUUCUCUCAUCCGCUUUGGCGAUAGUCUUCUUUGCCAAAUUGAUGACUGGUUCACGCCUUCGGUUCACAUCUUUCGCCUUGGCUUGAGUCGGUAUGGAAGUGACAUGUCGAGUUACGGAUAUCGCCUUGGCCUUGCUCCGGGUGACGACCCCAGCAGAAUUUUCGCUUGAGAAGGAGGCGCUCACGCUUUUACCUCUCGUCGCGGGAACGGAUUGAAUCUUCUUGGAAGCCAUCGUUUUUCGAUGUGUUGAUUGAUUUUGGAACUGGAGAAAGAGAUGAGAGGCAAAGAUGGUCCCACUGGGCGUGCCAAAUUUGUAAACACGAAUUUCCUGCGACAAAUGAGACAAGAACACGUGUACAAAAUAAUUUUGUAUUUAUGAAAUUUAGGGUUACAAUCUCUGUAUUGAAUCCUCUGAUUCGAUCUCCAAUGUGUUUAAAGAAAAUAUGUGUUUGAUACAAGGGUCGUAGAGACUUGAUCUUGAUCAAACAGGUAGCACGAAGCUUGUUUGGUGUUUGGGAUUUUUCUAUGGUAAAGGAACCGGCACGUAUUUAUUGUGCUUGGUAGCUCUUCCAAAGUAGGGUGAAAAAUGCAGAGAGUUUUCUGUUUCUUCUGAGUGCUAGGUUUUUUUUUUUUGACUUUCGUCUUGAGGCCUCCUAUUUAUAGGCUCUUGUAGGAUGCUUGACCUAAAUAACUUUCCCUAUUUAAAACCUUGUUUUGUGGGAUUUUGAUUUGAUUUAAAUCAAUUCCCAUAAUCUGACAAUUUAACCAGAUUAUCUUCAAUUGAUUGACCUGAUUAAUAUUUGAUUUAAAUCAUAGUCAAUCACAGAAGAUUCUUUCCCUUAAUUUUGUUUUCAUCUUGAACUGUUUGAUGCACUCCGUCGGAUGUCGCCACGUGUCAAUUUUUGACAACUAAUUCGAUUUUGAUGAGUCAUACGCCACAUGUGCGAAUUAUGAGGCCCACAAUUCAAUCCACCGAACCCUAAUUAUUUUCUCGUCCAAUGGAAUUUAUUUCAACAAAAUUUCUUUGUCUACAGGUGGACUUGGGUCGACCAGAAAACGCGAGGUCAUGAGUUUUCAAGAUCUCCCGAGCUGCCUCAGCUGAAGACACAACAAGCACCGGGACACUUCCAAAGUGGAGAAGCAUGAGAGGGCCAUGGCGUUGGGACAAGGCUUGAAGUGAGCGAUGAGGGUACGAGCCUAUCUGGUGAAGGUUUCCAAUGAUAGGUAGCUUUGGUGGAGAAGGUGGUUGUGUUGAUUUUUGGGUGGUGGUUUUAGUCGAAGAGUACCAUGUGUAUAGGAGGACAAGGAAAAUGGCCAGCAGUGUGAAGGCCAAAGGUUGCAAAAAGGAGGAGCUUUCAUUUAGCUCUUGCAAUAAUUGCAAGGGAUUUAGCAUCUUCAGAGUUGGUACUAGAAACGAAUGUGUUGUGUGUGUUUAAAUAAAGGCAAAGAUCAUAAGAAAACAAAACAACAUAUAGGAUAGGACUAUCCAAUGUAUUUAAAAGUUGAAACCACCGCCUCACAAAUUUGUGUGCCAACUUGGAGCCGCAUAAAAGUUUACGGAUGUUUAUACCCGG